rnacentral:lncRNA from 1 species
GUCCAAAUGCUAAUACCAAGGUCCUAUAAUUCAUAUCUAAGCCAUAGAGGUGAUUUGGAAGGGUUUAAGGGCAUGAAAAACCCCAUUAACAUGAGUUUACGGCCUAAGCUUAUGCCUUGGCCGUAAACUCCUUCAAAGUCCUCAAAAUCAAAGAUUUACAUGUUCUAAGUCCAUAUCUUGAAGUCCCUUAGCCAUAUCUAAAGUCCAAUUGAGUUUUGGAAGGAGUUUAAGAGCUUAAAACCCCAUAAAAUGGAGUUUACGGCCCAAGCUUGCUCCUUGGCCGUAAAAUCAUGUUCUUGACCCCAAAACUCAAUUAAGUCAUCAAUUUGAAGGCUAAAGAUGUUGAAUAACAUGCUAGAGAGGUUACCUUAAAGAUUUGAAGCCUUAAACUUGUGAUUAGGACCUUAAUUCUAGCUUGGAGGAGAGAGGUUGUAAGAGUUUAGUGAGAAUUUGGCCAAAGGCUUCAAAUGGAGUCCAAAUUAUGUUUAUAUAGUGUUUGGGAAUUGGACACGAUAGAAUUCUACCCGAUACCGACGUUAAGUGAGGUUUUUGGUCGUACCCGAUUGAGUUACCGUAACCCGAUAUGGUAAUUUCUAGAAAUAUUCCGAUCACUAAAGUUGGGUGUUAAAAUUAUUUCUAUAUGUAUUAAGACACCUAUUAAGUCAUUUUAAGUCAAUAUAAAUUAAUGACUUAAUAAAAUGGCGAAUAUUGGAAACUAAAUUGAGAAUGACGUUUGGUUGAUCGGAUCGAAUUACAAGUUGUGGUACAGGAAUUGACAUGAAAUUUCGGGUUGUUACACAUAGUCACGCAGUUGAGUUUUCAUCCAUAUGACUUGUGAACAACAGCUGGCGGCAGCGACGUAUUCAGCUUUUGCGGUUGAUGUGGAUACACAAGUCUGUUUCUUUGAAGUCCAACUCACUAGUCUACCUCCUAGGAAUUGACAGCUACCAGAUGUACUCUUUCUAUCUAGCUUGCAUCCUCCGUAGUUUGAGUCGGUGAAAGCGUUUAGAUGAAAAUUAGAUUUAGCUGGAUACCAAAGGCCGAUUUUGGGAGUGCCUUUAAGGUAUUUGAAGAUGUGUUUCACAGCAACUACAUGAGAUUUCAUAGGAUUUGCUUGGUAUCUAGCACAGACACAUGUAGAAAACAUGAUAUCAGGUAUGCUGACAAUGAGGUAUAAGAGUGAUCCGAUCAUUCCACGAUAUCUUUUCUGGUCAACGGGUUUGCCAUUUAAGUGUGCAUCAAUUUUGUAUCCAAAGGCCAUUGGGGUUUUUGCGGUAUUGGAUUUGUCCAUUGAAAAACGAGUGAGCAGGUUUUUGACAUAAUUCUCUUGGUUGAUGAAAAUGCAUCAGUUGACUGUUUGAUUUGAAGUCCGAGAAAUGUAGUCAUCUCCCCAAUCAUGCUCAUUUCAAAAUUGCUCUUCAUUAAAUCUGCAAACUUAACACUUAAAGAUUCAUCAGUAGAACCGAAAAUAAUGUCAUCAACAUAUAUUUGUACAAUUAACAGAUGUUUAUUAAAUAUUUUACGAAAAAGGGUUGGAUCGAUUGAACCUCUUUUAAAACCUGAUUCUUCGAGAAAUGUUGACAACGUGGCAUACCAGGCUCAGGGUGGUUGUUUCAAGCCAUAGACAGCUUUCUGCAGUUUAAAGCUAUGAUUGGGAAAUUUGGGAUCUUCGAAACCUGGUGGUUGUUGGAUGUAUACAUCGCGAUCUAUCUCUCCGUGUAGGAAUGCACAUUUAACGUCCAUUUGGAAUACUUUGAAAUUCUUAUGUGCAGCAUAUGCAAGAAAGAUGCGAAUUGCUUCAAUUCUGGCAACUGGAGCAUAUGUUUCAUCGUAGUCGAUUCCUUCUUGUUGUGAAUAUCCUUUGACUACAAGACGUGCCUUGUUUCGGCAAAUGAUUCCUUGAUCGUCAGUCUUGUUUCUGUAUACCCAUCUUGAACCUAUAACAGUAACAUCGGGUGGAGUAGGAACAAGAUUCCAUACGUCGUUUCUUUCAAAUUCUCCUAGCUCUUCUUGCAUAGCUUUUACCCAGUCUGGAUCUUUUAUAGCAGAAUGUAUCAUUUUGGGUUUAGUCGUGGAUAAAAAGGCUCCAAAUAAACAUUCAUUUGUGGAUGCGGCUCUAGUCUGAAUGCCUAAGUUGGGAUCUCCGAUGAUUUGGUAUGUUGGAUGAUUUCUGGUCCACUUUAUUAAGCGAUUCUCUUCCGCUAUAAUAAUUGGAGUUUCAGUAUCCCAUUGUUCUUCUCCAAGAGUUUCAUCUUGGAAUAGUUUUGAAGGUUCCCACAUAAAUGAUGCAUCAGGGUUGUUUUGGCUAUUUGGGGAUUGGGUAUUUAAAGGAGGAUUUGGUGUUUCUUCCAAAGAGGAAGUAUGUGUUGGUGGUUCCCCCUCGAAUUGAUCUACAUCAUUUUGGUUUGUUCCUAUAGGAUCAAUUGAAGUAGUUAUAAGUUCAGAAUUGUAAGCGGUUUUUGGUUGUUCAAAAAGCAAAUCAAAAUCGAUUUCAAUGUCUAUGUCAGGAGAAGGUGUUUGUUAAAUUGGAUUUUGAAAAAUAUUUUCAAUCAUUUUUGAACCAAAAUGUUCACGAUCCAAUUUCCUGACAUAAAAUUCAUCGAAAUGAACAUCCGUACUUUCUUCAAUUACUCUAGUACGUUUGUUCAGUACUCGAUAAGCAGCUGAAGAAAACGAGUAACCAAGGAAAAUUCCUUCGUCCGACCUUGAUUCAAAUUUUGAAAGGUGAUCUUUAUUGUUCUUUACAAAGCAUCGACAACCAAAAAUAUGGAAAAAUUUGAUGUUUGGUUUUCGGUUGUUAAUGACUUCAUAUGGUGUUUUAUGAAGAUGUUUAUGGAUUAAGGAACGAUUUUGAGUAUAGCAAGCUGUGGCUAUUGCUUCUGCCCAGAAGUAUUGUGGCAGAUCAGCGAAGAUAAGCAUUGAUCUUGCAGCUUCACAUAGAGUUCGGUUCCUUCUUUCGACAACACCGUUCUGUUGUGGAGUGUAUGGGGCUGAGAAGUUAUGUUCAAUUCCUUUGUCUUUGAGAAAUGAAUCUAGAGUAUUGUUUUUGAACUCUAAACCAUUAUCACUUCGGAUUCUUCAAACAGGUCGUUUCAGCUUCAGCUCGAUUUGUUUGAUGAAGUUGAUCAUCUCUUUAGGUGCUUCUGAUUUUAGUCUUAAGAAAAAUACCCAAGUAAACCGUGAGAAACCAUCAACGACAACAAGAAUGUACUUCUUCCAUUGUAUGCUUUGGGUUUUGGCAGGGCCACAAAGGUCUAUGUGCAACAAUUCUAGUGGUUCGGAUACACUAGAUUCUGAGAUGCUUUUGUGAGUGGAUUUGGAAAGUUUUCCUUUUUCACAUGCGGCACAAAGAGUUUCGUUAUCAAGCUUCAGAAGUGGUAGCCCUCGAACAAGAUCAUCGCCGAUUAAUUUGUUGAUGUACCCAAAGUUUAGAUGGGAAAGGCGACGGUGCCAUAACCAACUAAUAUCUGCUGGGGCUUUAGAUAGCAGACAUAUAUCGGGUUUACCGUAGAUAAGAUCCAUGUCAAGUGGAUACAUAUUUCCGGCACGGUCAGAAUCAACUAUAACAUCUUUUGUUUUGGCGUCCAUGAUCAAGCUUCGUUGUUUGGUGAAAAGAACUUCAAGAUUGUUAUCACACAGUUGAGAAACACUGAUGAGGUUGUGUUUCAGGUCAUCGACGAAGGCAACUUUCUUUAUGGUAAAAUUACCAUUUGUUAUGUUUCCAUAACCUUUGAUUUUUGCUUUCAUGUUGUUACCAAAGGUAACAUCUUGAUUGGUUUGUAUAUGUUUGAAGUCACGUAAGUAGUUCCGGUUUCCUGUCAUAUGCUUGGAGCAGCCACUAUCAAUAUACCAUGUAUCAUCAUUAGGUUCUCCAUCAUUAAGUACCUGAAAUCAGACAGAAAGUUUAGGUACCCAAAUCUGAAUGGGUCCUAGUUUGUCAGUUGUUAUUUUGGGUGCUUUGCUUGAUGAAUUUCUUUUAUCAUUUGACUUCACAUUAUUGUAAUGGUUUGCUUUAUGACGAUGGAAUGGUUGAGGUUUGAUUUGAUCUAUCAAUUUUACCCAAAAUGUGAUUUGUUUUUGAAUACUUGUAGGUUGAUAAGAUUUAUGAUUUGGUGAAAGAUAUCCUAGAUGUGAAGGUUUGUUUGAAAAUUUUUCUUCAUAUCUGGGAUGUGACGGGCGGUUUUGAAAAGCUUUUUGAUGAUGAUGGUUUGAAACUUUCUGAUGUGAUGGUUUUUGAAAGUUCCUUGAAUGAUUAAAAGUGAUAUCUUGAAAGCGGUUUUCAAAAGGUUUUGGAAAAGGUUUUGGUUUUUGUUUGGAAACCUGUUUAUGAGGUAUGACGUAGGGUUUAACUGGUUUCUUUGGUUGGUUUUCAAAAAUGUUUGGCAUGAUAAGUGGGGUUUUGGUGACUUGAAUGGAUUUUUUGCUUGUUUGUUGUUUCUUGGAGUAUUUUUGUCCCAGACUAGUUUUUCCAACAAUUGAUGAAGUCAUUGUAGGAAAAGCAGUUGGUAUAGAAGUACUACCAUCCUCAUAAGAGGAAUUUUCUCCAUUCAAAAAGUUUUGGAGUUUAGUGGUUCCAUCAGUAUGUUUGAUUUGGUGAGUAAAAGAACUUGCAGAGUCUGUUUCAGAAUUCACAACUCUUUUGAAAGACUUUUUGGAAACACUGAAAGCAGUAUCAUCUGGACUACAGUUGAUAACUGUUUCGUCAUCUGAAUCUUCCUCAUUAACAGAUGUGAAAAGAUCAGGUAGAGUAGAUUCAUAGUUUUCAUAAUUCGUCAUGUUUUUGUGUUUUGCUUGUUCAAUUUCAAAGGAUUCUCUUCCAAUUCCUGGUCUAUAAUUCGUAUCAAUUUUGCCAGUUCCUAAGGUGUUUGCCUUUGUGAAAAUAUCAUCACUUAGUUUUCUAGCAACUUUGAUAGAAUCCAUAUUCCAUAUCAGUCUUUUAUUCUCGGUUUUAAGAGAAUUGAUUUGUUUUAAAGAAUCAGUCAGUUUUUCAUUUAGAAUAUUGUAUUUAUCAGUUGAUUCUUGAAAGUCUUGUUUCAACCGAAGGAUUUCCAUUUCUAAAACAUCUUUUGUUUUAGAAGAAAUGAUUGACUGAUUUUUUAGUUCCAAAUCCCUUUUCUGAAUUAGGGACAGAUUUAAUUGUUCCAAGACGUGAUUAUAAUCUUCUGAUUUUCUUUCAACGUCUCUUUCCAAUUUGCUUUUAGUUCUUGUUGAUUCUCCAAAUUUGAGUUGCAAGGUUUGUAACUCAGAGUUGCAAGGUUUGUAACUCAGAUUUGCAAAUAUCAUAGUUCUUGUUGACUCAAAAAUUGUUUUGGAAAAACCAAGUUCACAGAUCAUAGACCAUACCUGUUCUAUGACGUUUGGAGCUCAUGAAGGUAUUUCAACACCAGCUAUGAAGCAGAAGUUUGAUUGUGCUUGUUCAUUGUCAGCUUCGUCAUCAGAUGUUGGCCAGUAUUCCACGCUUGGUUCAUGGAUUGCCAUCAAUGCUUUUUGCUUUUCUUGGUUUUCCAGUUUCUUCAAUUCAUCGGCUCUUUGAGCAUAGUAUGUUGAGUCUUUGAUUUUGGUUUUGUUUUUGGCUCGGCAUUCUCUGGCAUUGUGAUUUGUUCCUUUGCAGUUGUGACAAAUGAUCACUUCUUCAUCACUGUCAUCCUUUUGACUUUUAAUCAGAAGUCUUUCAGGAGCUUGAGUUUGGGUUUGUUGGGAAGGUUGACAAUGGUUUUGUUGGAAUCCAAAAUUUUGGUUGUUUUGAAAACCAUUGUUUUGAUUGUUGUAACCUUGAUUUUGGAAACCUCUGUUUUGAUUUUGAAAACUGUUGUUUGGAUUGUGAUUAUGACCUGAGUUGGGAUCGUUUUGAAAUCCUUGGUUUUGAAAACCUUGGUUUGAGUUAUUUUGGAAAGAAGGGCUUUGAGAAUUUUGUCCAAAGUAAGGUCUUGGUUGAAAACCUGAGUUAUUUUGUCCAAAAGACGGUCUUGGUUGAAAACUUGAGUUAUUUUGUCCAAAAGAUGGUCUUGUUUGAAAAUUUGGUCUAAAAUUUGAUUGACUAUGAAUUGGGAUAAAUCUCUGGAGAUUUAUGUUUGCAACCAAAGCACACAGUUGUUGAUAAUCUGCUUCAUCAUUUGAAUUAGACAGGAAGGAUUGGCUUUGAAAAAAUGUAGUCUGAUUAAAAUGAUUAAAGUUUUGAUCAUUGUAAGGUGUUUGGUUUUGAGAAGUUGUGGACACAAGACCAAGUGGUCCUCCAAAAGAUGCAAUGGUUGGUGGGUCAAUCGAUGAUUCAUACGAUUGAAGUUCUCCAUACAAAUUGUACAAAGAUUCGGUAUGAAUAGCUGGAUUUCCCUGAAUAAUGAGUUUAACCAUUUUCCAGCUUUCGAAAAGAUUGUUUAAAAACUUGAGAUUUAUCUCGUGUUGUGUUUUUUUGAUACCCAAAUUGUUCAUUUUAACCAUAAUCAAAGUGAACCUAUCAUGAGUAUCAUGGAUAGUUUCUGAUGAAAGCAUUUUGAAAUUAUCGAAUUCAUUCAAAACAGAUGUUCUUUUGUUUCCGAUAAUUCUUUUAUUUCCACAAAAACGAUUUUUCAAAUUUUCCCAAAUAUGAUUUGGGGUUAACAUCAUAAUGUCAUCCAUUUGACUUAGAAUACUGUGAGGUAUUCCAGAAACAAGUUCCUUUUUGGCUUGGAGUUCCAAGUUUCUUAUGAUAUCAGUUUGAGUGGCUUUAUUUGUAGCAAGAGUAGCCAAAUUUUCUGGAGUAACAUAUGUUCCUUCUACACACUUCCAGAUAUCUUCAUUUAUAGCGUUAAGAUGAAGAUUCAUACGGCCAACCCACAAAUUAUACUCUUCAGGAAUAAGUAUGGGUGCCCGUGAACCAGAUCCUAAGCUAUUUGCAAUGGAGACAGAGUUCAUGUUGGAGUAAUUUGCCAAAGAGAUUUUUUUGAAUUUUUUUUUUUAAAGGAUUUUGAACAAGUGAUAUUAAAAUGAAAUUUUUAAAGAAAAGCUUAUGGAAGGUUUAUAAACGCUAUAACCAAAAGUUUUUUGACAAAAAUUUCAAGGUAAAUCACACAAGCUCUGAUACCAAUUCUUGGAUAUUAUUCCUUUUAUAUCAGCUCAGAUACCGAUUGUUGGAAAUAUAAAAAUCUGAUAACCACAACAAAAGGCUCGGGUACCGGUUACUGUGUGACAGAUAUAUGAGUUAAAGGUAUAAGAUAUAGAUAUAUAUAAAGAAUAAUAAUUGCGGAAUAAGUAUAAAUAUGAAAGCUAUAAAUGACUGAAAGCUAUAAUAAUAUAAAUGACUGUAUUUAAAUGACGUAAAACUAUAAAUAAUAUAAAUGACUGUAUUUAAAUAACAUAAAGAUAUAAAUAAUAUAAAUGACUAUAUUUAAAUGACAUAAAGCUACAAUAAAGUAUAUAAGUAUAUAAAUAUAUAUCAAGUAGGUUCGUCAAUAAAUUGACUGAACUGGACUCGUGGAAAGACUGGUCGAUAUUUGUUCUCCUGGAAGAACCGGUCGAUAUUGAGACUCUUAGAACGACUGGUCGAUAUUUGUUCAAAGAUCAAUCCGGUAUUUGAUAAGUAGUAAAAAGUUCAUUUUCAUGUAAAAUGGAUUGUUUACAAAACAGUGCAAAGUACACGAGUCAUGUAUUUGUAUACGGGUAUCGGGUGUUUUGAGGAGAUUUGAUGAGGUUGGAGUGGGUAUUUGGAGGGUGUUAGGAGGUGGAAUAAGGUUGUAAUUUUGGUGGUGUAAGGCAGCAAAGAUGGUGAAGUUGAAGGAGCUUUGGGUGGUGAUGGAUGUAGAUUUUCGGAGUAAAUCUCUCUGGAUAGCCAAUUCUCUCUCGCGUCUCUUUGGGGUUUCCCGUGGUCAAAAUCGUCCACGAAAAUUUCUAUAUGCAGGUAAGGUUCUGAAGAAUUGAUGGUGAAAAUCUCCCUGGUGGUAUUUUGGCUGUGUUGUGCUCGGCUUUUUGUUUUCUAACAUGAAGAUUCUGAACUUGAAAACAGAAAUCUCUCUGGAUAGCCAAUUCUCUCUCGUGUCUCUUUGGGGUUUCCCUUGGUCAAAAUCAUCCACGAAAAUUUCUAGAUGCAGGUCCACUUCUGGAAAAUGUGUUAUGAAAAUCUCCCUAGUCUUAUUGUGCUUGUACGAAGCUCAUUUUUCUUUGUUUCCGACUUGAAGAUUAUGAUGUCGAAAAAACAGCAAGGUGUUGAUGGUUGCGGUGAUUUGAAAUGGUUUUUGGAGGAGGUUUAAGGAGGGUAUUUGGAGGGUGUUUGGAAAGUAUUUUGAGGUUGUUAGGAGAUUGAUAUAAGGAGGUGAAGUUUUGGAGGUGUUCUUGGUUGGAAGAGUUUUUUGUAUUGUGAUGUAUGCUGUAUGGAGAGAUAUUACAAAAUAAUCAAAUGAAGUAUAAUUCUCUCUUAAACAUUGGCUCUCACCUGGCUAUACAUACACACGAUCAUAUGCUCAUAUACAGAAACAUUAAAUAUCUAAAAUGCACUUGAGUUUAAUUAUGAAGGAAAAUGGGUAUAGGUUUCACGAUAUGUUUGCAAGUGGUAUGCUUCCUUUUUUGACUUUUCAACAUGGAUCGUGUGUUUGUGUUUGUACUUCUCAUUUCCAUUUCCACACAACAAUACGAGAAAUCUCAUAAAUUCAUUUAAAAUAAAUGAAUUUCCAUAAUAGUCCCUUGAGGUUUUCAAGUCUUGACAAUUUUUAGCCUUAGUUUGUUUUGUCUUCAAACAACCAAAUAAGCGGCUAUUUUCCGUCUUUGCAUAUUCCGCCUUUCACGUACUUUUGUAUUUUCCAUUCGAUCAUGAAUCCACGCAACCUGAAAUAAUUGAUAAUAGUUGUCAGAUAAAAUAAGAAUAGUUCGUUUUAUUUCAACGAUGGUCACAUACAAAAGCAUUUUUCAACGACAAAGAUUGAAGGACUUAGGAAGGCUUGUCCGCCCUAUUUCCUUUUCUUCGUUGAGAUGUGGUCUGGUGGGAUCCGAUGGCCGUUCAAAGGUCGUUUGAUUCAUUACUUAUAUGUUAUGUAUACGAGCAUAGACAUAUAGGUGUACUCUAUUCUGUUCAGUUACGAGUCUCCACCUCUAGUUCAGCACUUAUAUAUGAAACCCACUACCCACUCUUUGGGAUGCAUUUUCGGGACACGGCCUUCUCCGUCGUCUAGUUGGUAAGCAGAGUCUCCUGUAGGGACAGCGGACAUUGUGUGUAUAGAUCUAUACGGGACUGACACCCCCGCACCCUGACUGCUAGCUACAGUCCACGACCCACCAAGCCAAGGGGUGACAAAUGUCAUAUUUUAUAGACGCUCGUAGGGCGUCAGGUACUCUAGUUUCGGUUAGUAUGGUUACGAGCAUCUCAGGUUGCCUUAUAAUUCAUGGCCGUAAGGUAACGGUAUUUCACCAGUAACUUACACUGUAUGCCGGAAACUCAUUCUAAGAAUAACACUGUUUUUAGACCUCGCUAGCUGUACUUUUCAUUUGAUACUGUCUGCGGUCUGUAUUCUCUGUUUAGACCUUGCUAGCUGUAUCUUUCAUUUUAUACUGUGUGCGGUCUGUAUUCUCUGUUUUAGACCUUGCUAGCUGUAUCUUUCAUUUGAUACUGUCUGCGGUCUGUAUUCUCUGUUUUAGACCUUACUAGUUGUAUCUUUCAUUUGGUACCGUCUGGGGUCUGUGUUCUUUUUGUUAGACUGAGCCAGGCGUGUCGUUCGUUCGAUACUCUCCUGGAGUCUAUGAUUCCUUUGCCUUAGUCAGCAAUCCUCACUGCUGAGGCAUAUGUUAUUUCCUUGAUUUCUCUUGCUUUCUUUAAUAAUCAAUUUAUGUAUUUUGAUAAUGAUAGCGAUUAAGGGAAAACUACUUUUUACCACAUAACUCCGUCCAGUCUUGGUAGAAUACUGCUUUUAUUAAAGAAAAAUAUAGGAUUUUCUGGAAAGCACACUAAUGUAAUGGAUACUCUAAAACUAUCACUUUUAUUAAAGUUAUUUGAUUACAAUGACACUAAAUACUUAUGAACUCACCAGCAUUUGCAAAAAUGCUGAUACUCGCUUUUCAAAUAACUUGUAUUCUUAGGUCAGCAUUAGACAGGUACAUCCCCGGAGCAAUUGAAGAAGAUAGCUUAGUACCAUGUUGUACUUAUUAUAUUUUCUUGUAUUACAUCUGAUAUAUUGUAAUGUAAAACUAUUACUAUUAAUGCAAUGUUUUGUUGUACUUUGAUUACUAUAAUGCAUAUAUUGUGAUACUUGACGUCACAUCAUCCACCCCAGAACGAUUCCGCCGUUCCGGUUUUAGGGUGUGACAUAUAUAUUUAAUGCAAUGGAUGAUGUUGUUUGCUUAUUUACUGUUAUACUGUGUUGUGAUACUUUACAUGACGUCUUCCGCCCCUGAACGUUUCCGCCAUUCUUGGUUUUGGGGUGUGACAAUCACCUUCUUAAUCUUUAUCAGCAACCAUAUAUCCUAUGGUGCUUUUCCAAGAACAAUAUGAAACCUAAGUUUCAUGUAAGUGUGAUCAUCAUCAUCAUUAUCAAACUUCUUUGCAAUCUUGUACUGAGCCAAUACGAACAUCAUUUCGUUCACAGGGAAAUCAAGCUGGCUCAUGUCUGUGUUGGUAACCACAUAGCUUUGUUUGGGCUUUCUCUCGAAAUCGUACAUAUGAUUGAAAGAAAUUUUUUCUUCAAUGAUCUCAUAAUAUUAAUGCUUGCUUGGAUCAGCCUUAAUCAUCCCAGGAGGAUCAUUUACUCGAAGGCUUAAUAUGAUUUGAAUAGCCCUAUGUUUCUCCAUUUCCGCUUAAAUUGAUGCCUUCCUCUGUUCCUUUGAUUUUUCAACAGCAAUCGUUUUCCCUUUGACUUUGUUGGAAGAACUAUCAACUGCUUCCUUUAGUUUUGAACCUCUACUACCACUAGUAGAAGAACCGGUCAUAAUUCCUUUCGAAAUUGGCUUUGUAGUCAAAACCGUUGAACUAAUUGGCCCAACAGUCGAAACAAUUGGCUUUGUUGCUGGAAUUUUUAUUGGGAAAACUUUUCCAACAACCUUGACGUUUUCAUGAGAAACAUCAUCACCAACCUUCCUUUCUUCCACUUGCACCCCUAUGACAACAGGCGGGGCAUCUGUUGGUAAAAUGCUCGAAAUUCUGGAUAAUGGGGCCAAUUCUUUAUAUAGAAUAGCUUCAAACUGUGUAAACUUUUGGGAUAAAAACUCUAGAGUGAUUAACGGAGAGGAACUGUACUUUGUGAUUAAAGCCUUCAACUCAUUCAACUGAGUAGUGAUCUUAGCUAAACUGUUCGAUUCUUGAGUGGACAAUUGAGUAAGUUGAGGACUCAGGGCUUUGUAUAAUUUGACAAACUUGGUGACCACGUCAGCAAUAAUAUCAACUUGCGGAUUUAGAGAAGCAUAAUCACGUUGCACCACUUCAAUCUCCUUGGCCAUAUCUUCACGAAGCUCUUGACGCUUGAAAUUAACAUCUUCUCGCACCUUUUUCACAUGUUGAACGAACAUCACAUGUCAUUCUUUUGCCAGACAUUUGAAAUCUUUCACUGCCCCCUUAAAAUUCGAAGAUUGAGACUUCACUCUCAACUCAUUAUUUUUAUCAUUAUGAUCCACCUUCUCCAUUAUUCUAGACUUAGAAGCUUGAAUGAAUCCAUAAACUUUGUUAACUACCUUGGCUUCGAAAGCUUUUAACAUACCAUCAAUUUCCAAACCCGACACAGAAUGGCUUCCCCCCGUAUCAUCUUGAGACUAAAUAAUUGAAUUCAACUUUUUAUUCAGGAUCUUGAAUUGCUUCAUAGACAAUAACAUGUGAUCUGGAAAAUUUUUUUCCUCAUCAUCAAACUCCAAAUCAUCAAAAGUACCUCCAAAACCUCCUUCUUCAUUAUAAGAUUCAUCAUCAGGUUUGGGUGGAUCAGUUGAUUGGGAUGAGAAAAGAGUAGUAAAGGGAUGAUUGAUAACAUGUCAAAGGUGGGUGAAUUGGUGGUAUUUGAAACAGGAUGGAUACAUGGUGGUAAUGAAAUAGAAGUAUCCAUAUGAGGGUUUUCAGGAAUACCUUGAGUUGGCUGUGGAUUCUCUUUAUUCUUAUCGCCUUCACCCUUGUUGACAUUUACAUAUGUAUCAAAUAUGUGUGUAGUGAUGUCUGAAGUUUGAACCUCCUCAGUAAAUGACUUGGUUAACGAAACAUCGGGUGGUAUCACUUGAGUCUUCUCAGGAGUUGAAACUUCUUUGGAAAGAGUAGCUUUGGGCGUUUCAGGAAUGGCUUCGUCUUUAGAAGAUUCCUCUUGAAUAACCAACAUUCUUUUCUUCAGCUUCUUCUUCUUGGAAAUACGCUUUGCCAUAUCUUCGGUUAUUCGUUUCAUUGAAGUAGGAGUAAUAGGAGCUUGAACUUCACGAAUAAGUACCCCUUGAUGAGUAACAUUUGAUUUACAAACCAUCGUUACAGAAAAACAAGAUGAUCCGUCGGAAGACUUUUAUGAACGACAUGAUUUCUGCUUAAUUCUUUUAAAAACACCAGGCUUUGAAGGAAUGGUAUCCUUAUAUUGUUCAACAACAAUAGGCUCUACAGGCUAAUCGAAACUUUGUCCUUUGUCAUCGAGUGUUUCUUUGGACACUUCUUUGGCUUUUGUUCUUGCACAAGCUUCUCAAGAAAGGCCUUUGCAUCGUUUUUUGUUCAUCUUCACUUCUUAGAAGGACCAACAUCCUCUUUUGCUAUCAACUUACCGUUUUCGACACUCGGAUUAAUGGUCUUCAAAUACUCCACUAAUACCGAGUUGGCUGGAUCAACACGUUUUAACAUUGCAUCAAGGAUCCUAGUAAUGUUUGGAAACUCACAGCAUCAUCUAUAAUCUCCUUUGGAAAGUCAUACUUCAAGAACUCAGGUUUUUCUUCAUCAGCUGGCACCUCAAUCCCUUCUUUUUCAAAAACAUAACGAAGAAUCAAACUCUAGUAUCUUGCACAUGAUAUUCCUUGAAGCACAUUGGUUUUCUCCACACUUUUCAAAAACUCCUUUAGCAUUUGAGUAGAAUAAUCCACCGAAAUAUCCUAAUAAAGACUAGCAACCAUGGCAUAUACCUCUAUUCGUCCUUUAUCCAACCCAACACUGCAACCAGUCAAGCAACAUAGAAAAAUACCAAACAGAAAAUUCCAAAUACUUGGAAGGCCAACUUCUUGAAAUCACUGAUCUUGGUGAGUGGAGGUUGAUGACCCAUCUCAUUGAACAUGUGGAUAAUUUGAGCAAACGAAAGAUCAGUGUAUGGUGGAGAAUUGGGAAUUUCAAGAAUUUGACAGAACAACUUCUUUAACAGACGAAUCUUCGUAUCAUUCAGCAGAUUAAACGUGAUAGCAUCCAAAGCUUUGUAAUACGUUGUAGUGGAUCCUACUUGUGAAAGCCAUGAUAGAGGAACAUCAAACAAAUGGAACAUGAUAGUAGACAGAACAAAACUUUUCAAGGUGAUGACUAACAUCUUCAAUUCUUCUGGAUACAAUGAUAGAUCCCCCUCGACUUGAUAAUUUGUUCCUUGUAUCUUCAUAAUCGGUUGUGAAGUAACAUCUUCAGUUGUCUUCAGUGGGAGUAGCCAUGAUUAGGGUUUUGAAUCUUUGAAGAACAAAUAGAGACUUCAGAGACAAUUUGGAAAUUUUCUUUACAAAGCAUAAAUUUAUAAAGAACCCUUGACUCUACUUUUAUAUGUAACCCUAAAAUUUGAAUGUGAAGCGGGAUAACCAUUAAAUGAGAUCCAACGUGGCACCUUGAAACUCACACCACUAUUCUGAUAAAGAAGCCAUGCUUGAAAAAGUAACUGUCACUUUUCCUCAAAAACCAGAAAGAAUACAAGAUGUCGCAUCAAACAGCCUGUAUUGUGUAUCCCAAUAGAAUUGUAAUCUUCACAAGUCUUCAGUAUGGAGGUAAGGCUCUUUCACUUUUAGGAUUAAAAGCGAAGUUAUGUGCCAGAAUGUCAAAAUCAUCAGCUUGAGUUGGCGUUACUCAUAAACUCGAGGAUUUCGUGAGUGAAGUGUUUCAAAAGAAUGAAAUAAGAUGCAAAUUAACAAAAAUUUUGGAUUCUAUGAUGUGGAAAAAUAAAAUUUCGACAAAAAGGCAGUUAAACCCCGGGAAAAGGUUGCUUCGUUAAUCAUCAAGAGAGAUGAUCAAUAGCUUGUGUAUUUUCCCGUGAAUUAUAACCGAAUACUUAUAGAGAAGUAUCGAAGGGCUUCUUUUAUAAGGCUUUGUAGGUGGCUUACAAAUUCCGUUACAUAUCAACCUAAACAUAAGGUGAGUAAUUGUAACAUAAAUUACUUGUUUAACGACUUUAGUCAGUGACAAGUAUGAUUUUGGAAAAAUAUUUAAAUUACCUUGGAAAGCAAUUGAAACUCACACAAAAAUCAUAUCCAAGAGAAAAAAAAAUUGUGCUAGAUCCUGUUGGGUAACAAACAUCUUGUGUUUCGAUAGUUUGAUCAAGAUCACUCAUAAGAAUUGAAUAUGAUUUGGAGUUUCAAAAAUUUGUACAAAAACAAUUGUUUCGUGAAAAUAUGGAACAUAGUUCUCCGUUAAUUCCUUAAAAUUUUAGAAAUUUGGUUUUCAGUUCCAUCACGGCCUCAUGAUGUAAGAUCAUAAACACAAAGUUUUGAUAUGUCUAAGUAUUGACGGGUUAUAUCAAAGACCACUUGGACAUAUGUCUUCGUGUGUGAAAGUGUAAGAAUGUUGAUAUGAAAAAGAUUGGUUUGAGAAUCGAAGUGUACCUCUGUUAUUUUCGGACCAAACAGAAAAGUCUUAACUCAUUUGAGAAGAGAAAGGUAGCUCAAUAGACUAAUAUGAAUGUAAGCCUGAUUGGGAAGAAAUUUUCGUAAUGAAAUAUUUCAUUAAGGCUUUCGUAAACCCACAUUAAGUCAUUGGAGGCUUGAGUCGAUAUGCUGCAACAUGCUUCUAGGGACAUCUUAACAAGUACAAAGUUUUCGAAAAAUUACCUAACCCUAGACCUACAAGCAUCAACUAGUAAGAAGCAUCUUUGAUAUCUGCAACAAAUAACUAAAAACAUAGUAUAAAAAUAUUUUUGUUGUUUUUGAUUUUUCAAAAAUUAAGAGACAAAACAAACAAAAAUAUUUAUGGUAUUUUGAUUUUUCGAAAAUUAAGAGACAAAACAAAAGUAAAAUCUUUUUGUUGUUUUUGGAUUUUUCGAAAAGAAAACUAUGACACUAAUUAACUAAAAAAUUUUAAAGACAAAUGAAAGAUUUUAACAAACACACGAAAAUUUUGACAAACUAACGAAAUUUUGACAAACUAACGAAAGUUUGACAAACUAACAAAAAAUUUUCAAACAAACGAAAUUUUGACAAACUAACAAUAUUUUGUCGAACUAACGAAAUUUUGUCAACCCAAGGAAAUGUUAGAUGCUGUCGAAAACAAGGGUGUUGAAGCGCUGAAUAUGAACAGUAACCUCUGAACGUUGAAUGAAAUUAUUAUGCAAUUCUAUUCAACACCUAUGAAUUGACACUUUCUAACUUUUAUUCCUUAUCACCUGGAACAGAAUUUCCUUCAAUCAUACCAAGUCUUCCCAAGAUUCUCACAAAGGAUUUUUCAUCUAACGGUUUUGUGAAAAUAUCAGCCAAUUGAUUAGUAGUUUUCACGAAAUGAACUUCAAUAUUACCAUCCUCCACAUGAUAUUUUAGGAAAUGGUAACGAAGAGCAAUGUGCUUAGUUUUCGAAUGUUGCACAGGAUUGUGACAAAUACGUAUUGCACUUUGAGAAUUAAAAUACAAUGGAACUUUCUUCAUAUUAAUUGCAUAAUCACGCAAUUGACUUUGAAUCCAAAUUAUUUGUGAUGUGCAAGUUGCAACAGCAACAUAUUCUGCUUCUACAGUGGAAAUCGAAACACAAGUUUACUUCUUCAACUGCGAGCUCACCAAUUUUCCAUCAAGUAAUUGACAUCCUCCACUCAUACUUUUUCUAUCAAGACUCAACCUCCCGAAUCAGUAUCUGAGAAAGCUUGUAUAAAGAACCCAAAUUUUGAAGGAUACCACAAUCCCAAAGAAAUUGAUCCUUUGAGAUAAUGAAAAAUAUUCUUGACUACAGUGAGAUGUGGUUCUCAAGGAUUUGACUGGUACUUGGCACAUUACAAACAGAGAACAUAAUAUCAGGUCGACUUGCCGUGAGGUAAAGUAACGAACCUAUCUGCUUCUGUAAAGAGUUAUGUCAACAGCUGGUUUAUCUUAAGAAGGUGUAAGCCUUGUUCCAGUUGCCAUUGGUACUUGUAACUUCGUGCUAUUCACCAAUCCAAACUUUUCGAGUAGAUUCUUGGUAUAUUUUUCUUGAUUGAUAAAAAUCCCUUCUCUGCUUUGACGAAUAUUCAAACCAAGAAACUUAUUGAUUUUUCCGAUCAUGCUCAUCUCAAAUUUGCUUUUUAUCUAAUUUUCAAAUUCUUUAGACAAAGUAGGGUCAGUAGAACAAAAAAUAAUAUCAUCAACAUAAAUUUGAACAAGCAUUAGACGAUUCCUAACAUUCUUUCGAAAUAAUGUGGGGUCAAAUGAUCCUUGUUUAAAUUUCGAUUGUUCUAAAAAAUAAGUUAAAGUGCCAUACCAUGCUCUUGGUGCUUGUUUUAACCCAUAAACUGCCUUAUCUAAAAUAUAACAAUGAUCAGGAUACUUUUCAUUUAUAAAACCUGGAGUUUGUUCAACAUACACAGUCUCUUCAAGUUCACCAUUGAGAAAUGCACACUUUACGUCCAUUUGAUAGACAUCAAAAUCUUUGUGAGCUGUAGAAGCUAAAAAUAUUGGAACAGCCUCGAGUCUUGCGACAGCGACAGAGGUUUCUUCAUAAUCAAUACCGUCUUGUUUCAAAUAACCUUUAACUACUAAUCAUGCUUUAUUUCGUAAAAUAUUUCCAUCCUUGUCGGUUUUGUUUUUGAAAAUCCAUUUUAAUCCGACAAUCGAAACAUUUUUAGGUUUAGGAAUUAAUCUCCAAACCUUGUUUCUUUCAAACUCAGCCAAUUCAGAUUGCAUUGCAACCUUAAUUGUCUUUGAUUCUAUUUUCAAGAUGAAAACAUUAAACAUGCAAAAUUCUUGUUGAGUAUUCAGUACCUCAUUCUUCCUCGAAUUUGAGCUCUUGUCAAAACUCCAUCUUGUGGAUUCCCAAUGACUUGUUCUUUUUGAUGACCUCUUGUCCAUUUUUCUAGUGGUGGAUAUGUUGUAUCAAAAUCCAAAUGUGUAUCUUCAUACAUUUCUUCAUUUUCAGAUCCUGUAACAGAAAGGACAUCAUUAUUUUCGUGAAAUUCAUCAUUUUGAUCAAGAUUAAUUGCAUCAUUAUUAUUUUCGUCACAAUUGUCAUUCUGAUACUCCCCCUCGAAACUUUUAUUCUCCCCUUGAAACAAUGCUCCUCCUCAAACAUGUGAAGGUAUAUUCAAGUGCUCCCCUCUCCACUUGUGCAUCUAGCAUUCUUUCGCCAUUAUUAGUUGGAGACUUCGUGAUUGUUGAUUCACCAGAAUGUUUCGAAGAUUUAGGAAUUCGAUUAUCUGCAGCAUUUACUUCAGCAUUUGCAGCCCUAUCUGGAACACCAAAAAUUAAAUCAUAAUUAAAAUCAGAUGUACUCAAACAUUCAGAUUCAUCAUUUGGUUCAUUAAUAAUUGGUUUUUAUUCGAAAUGUUUUCAACUUAUUCACAUAAUAGUCAUCAAAAGUGAGGUUAAAUGUUUCUUCAGCUUUUCGUGUGAGCUUGUUCAAUACUCUGUAUGCAACCGAAUUUUGUGAAUAUCCUAAAAAUACUCCUUCAUUAGCCUUAGCUUGAAAUUUCGAAAGAUUAUCUUUGAGAUUCAUGAUAAAACACCUACAUCCCAGCACAUGAAAGAAUCUAAUAGUUGGUUUUCGGUUAUUUAUUAUUUCAUACAGAGAAAUAUUGAGAAGACGAUGAAUAAAAGAACGAUUUUGAGUAAAACAUGCUGUCAAAACUGCUUGUGCUCAUAGAUAAUGAGGAAGAUUCGCAUAUGUCAACAUUGUUCUUGCUGCAUCGCAAAGAGACCUAUUCCUUCUUUCAACUCCACCAUUUUGUUGUGGUGUAUAUGGUUAUGAAAAAAUAUGUGAAAUUCCUUUCUCAGUUAAGAACAAAUCAAGCACAUUGUUUUUAAACUCAGACCCAUUAUCACUUUUGAUUUUUCGAACAUUCUUUUUUAGACUUGUCUUAAUUUUCUUGAUAAAUUCAAUCAUUGUUUGGGCAACUUCAGACUUUAACCUGAGAAAAUAUACCCAUGUGAAUCGUGAAAAAUCACCAACAAUAACCAACAUGUACGAUUUCUUGUUCAGAGCUUCAACAGUUCAUCGUCCACAAAGGUCAAUAAGAAGAAGUUCCAACGGUUCCACAAUUUUCCAAUCUAUCACAAUCGGAUGUCCUUUCCUAUGAUGUUUCCCUAGUUCGCAAGCUACACAUAAGGUAUCAUUGUCAAAUUUUAAAAUUGGUAAACCACGAACAAGAUCAUCUACUACCAACUUAUUUAAAUUUCAAAAAUUUAAAUGUGACAACCGACGAUGCCAUAACCAACUAACAUCAGAUGUAACCAUCGAAAGUAAACAAAAUUAAGGUUUCCCGGCAAUAAGUUUUAUGUCAACAGUAAACAUAUUGCCAUAUCGUUUUGAUUUCAGUAACACUUCUUUCGUUUCAACCUUUAAGAUGAUACUACCUUCUUCGUUAAACACAACUUGAUUGCCAGUGCCCACAACAAGUUGUGAAACACUUAUCAAAUUAUGUUGAAGACCUUCAACAUAAGCAACACGAUUUACAGUAAACUGCCCAUUCGUUACUUUCCCAUAUCCUUUUACAUUACAUUUGUGAUUGUUCCUUAACUUCACAACACCAGCAUUUUCCAAGCUUCUAUAAUCCCGUAAAUUCUCUUUUCGUCCAGUCAAGUGACGUGAGCAACCAUUAUCGAUGUACCAUAUCUCAUCGUAUUGCUUGUCACACAACACCUGCGAUCAUUAAAAGAAUUUAGGUACCCAAGGCUGUUUGGGUCCUUGGAAAUUAGUUUUAAAAACAGAAUGAAAUGAAGAACCUUUAACCCAAACACAAACUUUUGAUUUGAGACUAUCAAUUAAUUCCACAUCAUUAGGUAAAGGAACCGAAACAUAAUUUUAGAUGGUUUUGGAUUGUCACUGACACUAUCCUUCGUCAUCUCAGUUUGUGUAUAGACUUUCUUUUCUUUCAUAACUGGUUUCCAUGCUUUUACUGAAAUAUUCGAUUCAUUUGAAGAUGAACUUCCAUUUGACGAAGUAUUAACAUACUUCUGAUAAGCUUCUUGAAUUUGUUGCUGGGAAAACUUUCUUGAUUGAUACAUUUUUCCUUUUCCUUCAAGCCAAUGAUCGAUGUUUUUCUCACAAGACAACCCUUCGAUGUAUGAAACUUUUAAGGUUUAUUUCCCAGAAGGAUUGGAAAUUUUGGUUUUUGUGGAGUGAAAUCAACAUAUGAUUUUGGACAAAAGUUUUCAACUUUUCGACUUUGAACAUUAUUUUUCACCUUUUUUUUUGUUGAGAAAAACAAUUUUGAAAAUGAUUUGAUUGAUUUGAAAUGAAGUCGGUUUGAUAUUUUGUUUUUGAUAAAAUCUUUGAUGAUGAUUGACAAUUGAUUUUGAUGCAACAUUAAUGACAGAAAAUUAAGAACAAUCAACAUCCUCAAUAUCACUAAUUUCACUAAUAUUAUCAUAAUUAUAUUCAAUAUCAUCCAAAUUAUAUUGAGAAUCAGAUGUCAUUUUCUCAGUCUUUUUUGAAAAUUUUUAUUUGCUCAGUUUUGGUUAAAGUUUCAUUCACAAUAUCAACUAAUUCAUUCGAAUCCAUAUAUUCGUCUAUUUUCACAAUUCCAUAUGGAUAUCUAUCAUCAGGAAUUUUGUUGAACUCUGCUAUUGUUUUCUCACAAUAAUAUGAAAUGUUGUCAACCUUCUCUCUCUCAUACUCUAGAAAAGGCAAUAAUUUUCUAUGUUGUUCCUUGCUAAUAUCAGACGAAUGAUGUAAUGCAGUAAGUUUAGCAUAAACUCUUUUAGCAGAAUUACAAUAUAUGUUUUGUUGGGCUAACAGGACUUUUACAUCACUACUUAGAGAAUCCCUAUCAAACAUAAUAUUUGUAACCUUCAAUUCUAAACACUCUAUUUUGAUAAUUUUUUAUUCUAGCAACUUCUGUGUCUUUAACAACUGCAUGUUUAGUUUUUUAGCUUCGUUACUAGUAGACACCACAAUUGAAUAAAAGUAAGCAACAGUAUCAUCAAAACCAAUUAUUUCAAAAUCAUAAGCACUCAAAGGAAUAUUGAAAUAUUGAAGAGUAUUACGUACCUUGGUAGUCAUUGGAGAUUUAUCAGCACUUUUGGUCAUGAAACAAUGACCAUUCACUUCUUCGUCAGAAUCUUCCUCCAGCUUCGCAAACAUUGCCCCAUGUGUAGGAUUACGCAUCUCUUCGUCAUCAGAUCUUGAUGACCAGAUCUGAUAACUGCCAUCUUCUUCACUUUAACCUUUAGCAACUAACGACAACCCUUUUGCCUUUUUAGGCACCUGUUCCAGCUUCUCUGCAUAGUACACUAGAUCCUUGACUUUAUUCAUUUUCUACGCUUUCUUACGAAGCAUGCAAUCAUUAGCCAACUGAUUUGCCCCGUUGCAGUAAUGACAAUCAAUGCGUAAAUUUCGCUUGAGUUUCUUCUCUAUCUUGACUUUAGCAGCUUUCACAUCAUUUUUCUCAAAUUUCUUCUUCUCCUCACCCACUGUCUCCUUAAAGAAACUUCCUUUCAUAUCUCCCUGCUUGACCUUGGGAUUGAACGGUUUCAUGAAAAACUUUUUAACUUGGUUGUUUGAGUAAAAAGCAAUCGCCUCAUCAUCAGAAUACAUGAUAAACCCUUCUUCAUCGUCAGAAUCAACUUUUUCACUUGCUUCCUUUUCAGACACUUUUGAAAUAAGAGCUAAAGGACCUCCCAUCCUAAGCUUCGACUCUUCAGCUAUCUCAUUCACUUCAAUUUCGUGUGUGUUCAGCUGAUUAUACAAAUCAUUCAGAGAUGAAGUAUCGAAACUUUGUUGAUUCUUCACCAUCAUGCUUACAAUCCUCCAUUCCUUACGGAGUCCCAUUACAAAGGUGAGAUUGAGCUCCAUAGCAGACCUUGUGAUUCCAUGACGGGAGAGUCAAGAUGUAUGACUCUGCUUCAUGUAAAAUCCACUAUAUAACUCUAUUAAGUUCCUAUUUGGAGAUUCUAAAUAUAUGAUGUGAUAAGAUUACAUUUGAUAUUUUGUAGAAUCGAAGAAAAGAAAGGAAGCUUAAAGGAAGGAGGGCGCUGAGUCUGAUCACGCAGAAAUGGAUUAAGAUCGCAUGAAUUCGAAGAUCAGAGCCGUAACUUUUAUAGUUAUGAUAGAUUGAUUAGGAAUAUAUGUAAUAGCAUAGUUUUUAUUUGAAUUUUCAUUCUAAGGCUAUAUUUUUCUGCAAUAAAAUAGACUUUGAUUUUUUCUUAUCUAUAUCUCCUUGCAAUAUCAUUUGUGAAAAUUGAUGCUUGUUUGUUUCAAUUAUAAGAAAUAUUAAGUGGAUGUGAUUCUUACUUAUGUUAUUUAUGGUAGUCUCGUAAUUUUCUAAGUAAGGAAAGAUUCCCAUCACCCAAGUUUCAAUUGGACUGAAUCUUGGAAUCAUGUGAUUUGUCACUUGUGAGCAGUUGGAAGUAUGUAAGGAAUGGACUGCACUGACAUUAUUAUGAUUAGAUGUGAUUCUAUUAAUAAUGAGUUCUCGUAUGGCAAAUAUGGAAUUGUUUCCAUAUAUGGGAGUUGGAUAUUAAGAAUCUAUGUCUAGAUUAGAAACUUUUAUGCAAGAAGGAUGUUCAAAGGAAUGUACUUUGAAUGUAAGACUUUAUAUCUAUGGAAUUGUCUUGCAACAAUCUCUAAUAGAGGACCUUGUAAUUUCAUUGGCAAAGUCUUUGUAACAUUGGCGCUAGGACAUUACGAAAGGAUCGUUGCAUAAAAGGUUAGAAUAUAACAUAAUCUAUAAGUGGCAAGAAUUUUGGUAUUCUUAUACUUGUGGUAAGGAUUAGGAACUGUGAAAUCAAUAUCAUUGGAAAUGUAUUCAUUUGAUUUAUUUCACAAAGUAAGGACCAUAUGUAAACAUAGUGUGCAUGCUAAGAGCAUCGGACAACUGUUGUUAUAAUUCAAGUAAUAAGUUGAUUAACCGAAACAUUAUACAAUGAAUAAUGUGUAAUCAAUAUGGUGAGUAAAUAAAAGGAGUUUUAUUUCUACUCAAACAUUUGGGGCCAUAUUGGAUUCGAUUAUUAUUUUGUUUCACUUUGCAUGUUUUGACUUCCUGAAUAACAAGAUUAUUCGAACAUUCCACAGUCGCUCAUACUUUGGGAGUAUGUAUGAAAGAAGAUUGUCAUUGUCACACCCCAAAACCGAUAACGGCGGAAUACGUUUCGGGGUGGAGGACGUCAUGUACAGUAUUAUCACAAUUGCGUAAUAGUAAAAACAAGAAACAUACAACCAUUUCAUUACAUAGUGAGUUUAAUUACAAGUAUGUUUUGUAAUGUUUAGCAAACACCAAAAGUAAUACAAAAAUAAGAGAUGGAUCUUGUAUGCUCCACCUUCUCCAAAAUGCUGCACCUGUACCUGUCUAUCUUUGACCUGAGGAUACAAGUUAUUUUGAAAACGAGUAUCAGCAUAAAGCUGGUGACUUCAUAAGAGUUUAGUGUGAGUUUUUGUAUAAAAAGGCAUUAGAACCGAUAGUAUGAAAAGCUGCAAUUUACAUUCUUAAGUAGUAGAAAAACCUAGAAAAUCCUAUAUCUUCCAGAAAUAUAUUGUGAAUGAAAACCUUUAAGAAACAUGAAAUUUUCAUCUUUGAAAUCUAUUUAUUGUAAAAGUAUAAUAUUAAAUCUCCAAUAAGUAAUGCAAUAUGAUACUUUAUGCCUGAAGUCAAUAAUAGUGGUGCAAACUUCCUUUAGUGUUAGAUUCUUGAUUACUUCGGGAUAUUAACUUAACUUUUAGUUUAGUAUUUUAGUGUGGUUUUAGUGUAUUUCUUGUAUGUUACCGAUAGCGUGAGAAGUAGAGGACCCCAUGACCUUCCCGGUCAUGCACAGUGUGAUGAAGUAGUGGCAUCCCUGGACCUUUAUGGCUCGGACUGAAGUUAACAGUCAGGAUGUAAUAGCGUCUGCCCCGUAUAGAUCUAUACAAGUAGCGUCGUCUUCUUGUCGGAAAACUCUGGGCGUAGUGCGUAGCGAAUAGAGAAUCUCGUAGUGAGUUAGUGUAUUAUCUCCUGAUUAGUGCCUUCUCUUGUAUUAUAGUGUAGUAGUCUUUGGUAUAACUUGUAGUGUGUUCUCGUAUUAGUGUAUAGUAUCAUAAUAGAGUGUAUUAUAGUGUGUAGAGUAGUAGCUACAGCGAGAAAUAGUGACCUUCACUAUACCUAUUAUAGCUAACUUAGUGUGUAUGAUUCUUGUCAAUUUAGUGGUUUAAACAUCGAAUGAAAUGAAAAUACUCGUAUCCAACACUAAGAUAUAUGAUAUAUAACUAAGAAAUCAACGACAGUCGGACGGAUAACAACUACCCUAAGCCCACAAUCAAACAAGAACAGGAAAUAAGGCGAGCUAUCGGUCCUAAGUCGUUCAAGUCUUACUUAUAUAAAUAUAUUGGCAUGGUUACAUUUUAUAUGGGAUUUAUUUAAUAAAAAUCUUGUCACAAGGGAACAUUUAGAAAAUUGAUCUUUUAUUCAAAAUAGUUUUGAAAACAAAAUUCCUUUUUAUAAAACAUAGUGGUAAAUCACAUGUGAUUUGAACUACGGAUAGUGAAUCACAUGUGAUUAAUUUCCGUAACAUGAUUAAUUGACUUGUAUGAAUUUCCAUAUACAUGUAUAGUUGACUUGUAUCGCCCCCUAAAACAUAUAAAACAUUUGAAAGGUUCAUUAAAGGGGUAUGAACUCACCUGAAAUCGCGUAAAUUGGGUAAAUCAGGUGAAAGUGUCGGUUGAGCGUUUUGUACCAAAUAACGACUUGUGCACCUUUUAGGACCCUAAUGUCAUAUGAAAUAUGUAUUUUAUAAGAAAUUAAUGAUUUUAUGCUUUUCAUUAAACUAUUUAGGCAUUCUAGCAUCGAUUCGGGGUUUUAGGGCUUAGAAGGGGUUCCCGGGAGUAGUACAAGGCCAAGAGGGGAUUGUAGGGGAGUCCAUGAGUUCACUCCCUGGGAGUUUUCGGACCAAAGGCCACUCCUCGGGAGUUUACGGCCGUAAGCCCCCUAGGCUUGGCCGUAAACUCAUGUCUUUCACCCAAAAUGCAAAGUUAGGCCUUUAUAUCAUUUCCCCAUUUUCUAGCAAGUUCUUAGGACCAAUUUGGAGGGUUAAACCCCUCAUUUUGUGGUAUUUUGGGGAUUUUACGGUUCUAGCUUAGGCUUGGGCCGUAAACUCCAUUUUGUUCUUCAAAAUGAAAUGUUAAAUGGUCCAAUACACUUCCUUACACCUUAGAUUAAUUUUUGAAGACCUUAGGUGGGGUUUUGGGGACUUUUUGGCAUGAUUAUUGGGUGUUUACGGCCCAAGCUUAGUCUUGGCCGUAAACUCCUCUUUUUGUCUCUAAAUUGUGUUGUUUAAUGGCCUUAAGCAUUUCCUAUGGUCAUAUCAAAUUUUCAACAUGCCUUAGAUAAAUUUUUUGGGCUAUUUGGCAUAGAGUUUUGGUGUUUACGGCCUAAGCAUGAGCUUGGGCUGUAAACUCCCUUUUAGGUCCCCAAAAUUUGUGUUUUCAUGUCCCAACUCACCUAGGUUAUUUCCUUAAUUAUUGUACAAGCUUAUAGGAAGGAAAAAUGGGGCUUUUGGCCAAGUUUUAGGUGUUUACGGCCUAAGGGGCUUCCUAGGCCGUAAACUCCCUUUAUUCCCCUAAAUCCUAUGAUUUUUUUGGCCUCUAAAUACAAUGAAAUACGUUUAGAAUAAGAUAGGGAAGAAAUCCUUACGUUUGGAAGCCGGAAUUCGCGGUUUUGGAGUCGGGUUCGGGUCUAGAGAGAGAAAGUAGUGAGAGAGAGAGUGAAUGAGUGGUAAAAGGGUUUAAAAGUGGUGUUCAUUUGCUUAUAUAUGUCUCGGGUAUUGCACCCGGUACACGGCUACCGGAUGCUAAAGUUUAACGGGGUCAAAUCUUUUUACCUGGGUGAAGUGGUUAAAAGUAAUAUUGCUUUGUUUGGUUAAACGGGGUUUAACACUUAGAAGUUAUAAUUACUUAUGAUAAUAUCAAGAAAUAUAAAUAACCAGAUAUUUACUUAUUGACGACCGCAAACAUGACGGAAAAAUAAUAUAUAACGACGAAUUCCGUUAGAGAAGACGGGAUUUUGUAACGGAAACAAAUUUUGGUUGUCAUAGUCAUGAAUUGGUUUGUAGAUUGUCUAAAGUGUAUUAGACAUAACAAAGGUUUGCUGCAAUAUUCAUGAGUGCUUAUGAAAAUGAUCUAAGCAUUGGAUUAAACCCACGAUCAGUUGAAUCACUUCAUGGGUUUUAUCACGAGUGAUUAGUGUGACGAUAAUAUAUUCCUGAAACCGAGACAUGUGAGUUGUAAUUUAAAAGUCGGUUGCACAUUGAAAAUUUGAAAACACACUAGUAACUUGGUGUUAUAAAACAUAUUGUUGCUUGUGAUUUGAUGAGUAAGUACAAAAGAGCAUUUGAGUCAAAGUUUAUCUUGUUCCUUUUACCCUAAGAGGGAUAAAAGCGAUAUAUGUGGGCCCCUUGAUGAUUUAAUGGUGACACCCUAAGCGCUUGGCCAAGCUAGGACUAAGUUGAUGUGUUCAGUUGUAGUAGUCUGUUGUCAGUCAUCAUAAAUCGAAAAUAGGGAAACAACACAUCGACUGAGAGAAUGAUUAUAAUCCAUGUCUCAUGCCUAUAUGAUAUCUAGAAUGGAGGAAUAUUAGAUCCCCUAUCUAAGGACAAGUCACUGACUAGGUCAGAGUUCGACAACGGUUUUGUUAGCUAAAAUUUGCUAAUCAAUUUUGAAGUUAUACUCACAACUAUAGUUAUUGGACUUAUCCAAGUGGGAGACUGUGGGAUUAGGUGUCUAAGCCCAUAACUAUAAUUGGUAUAUACUUGAAUUGAUAGUAGCAAUGUCCUUUUGGGUUAUCGUCGAACUUGGCUAUUGAAUAGGAUAGCUGUUGGAGAGAGAAGAAUGAUUUAUUAAUUUUUUACUUGGUUAAUAAAUUAAUUUGAAAUCAAGAUAAAUAAUUUAUUGAUGUAUAAUAGAUAUAAUAUAUUAAUUUGAAAUCAUAUUGUUUAAUUAAUAUUUAAUCAGAAAUUAAUUUGGAAUUAAUUUUAGGAUUAAAGGAAUUUAUUAAAACCACAGCGGCUAAAGGUGACAAUGUUCAAAAGUUAAGCAUUGAGCAUUAUAAAACCUCCCUUAGAGGUGGGGAACGAAAUAUAGAGUGUCCUAGAGUUUCCUUGGGUUCUAAGUGUGCCUUGGAAGCCUUAGGGAGGAAGUUAAGGGAUUAGGAUUAUCUAAGAUACACCUGCCUUAUCCUAAACCUUCCUUAUCACCUAUAUAAACCGCUAUACGGUUGGAUUUUGCCAAGGGACUCCAAGAAACGCUAAGUGCAGAAAUUUUCACUUCCCUUCUUUCUCUCUCUCUCUCUCUCCAUAGUAAUCCUUGGUUGCUAGGUUUGUUUGUGAGCCAAUAGAGGCGUGACACUUGUGGCGCUUGCUACCAAAGUUCAAGAUCUUUAAGGAUUUGAUUGUUAUUAGAAUAUAACAAUAAAGGUAUGUAUCCUAACCGUAAUUAUAUGUUAAUUUCGAAAAUUACAUGUCGCUCCUAGGGUUUUUAGUUUUUGUGUUCAAUGUUUGUAUGUAUAAUAGUGAAAACAUAGAUCCUCAUAUUAGGGUUACAUGCACACAUAGGAUUGUUUGCUAUUUAUAAAACCCAACACAUACUACCUUCUACAUCUAUCCGUACUUUCCUCUUGGUUUUCCAUGGGUUACCAAUGUGGUUUCCUGUUCAUGCAUACAGUUUGCAAUCAAAUGACUCGAGUCACUACUCUCAUCCUAGGCUUACCCUAGGAUAACCUCCAACCCACUCUCUGCCAUCAUCUGCUUAAGAAGCCCCUGUUAGCUCUCCCUAACUAGCUCAUAAAUACCAUUACAUAUUACUAAGACUAGAUAAUUCUUCGAACGAGAGGUCUCUCCCUACAACGGUUGGACUUAGACAAGAGUUGCACAAUAGGGAUAAAACUUAACUUCUGAAACUAUUUAGUUCUCAUAAUAUGUAACAUAUCAUAUUCAUUUACUAGUUAGUUAAAAGACAACAAUAACUCAUAUUAGCACAAAGCAAGUAGAAUUGGAGCAUUUAGUAACGAAAACCAGGCACAUCCUAAUCAGACUAUCAUAUCGCCAACUAAUCUGUACUAGCAUGCAGUUCAGUAAGCACAUACAGUAGGCACACAAGGCAUCCUUCCUAGAUCCUUAGCCCUAAUCUAGCAUGCAGUUCACGUAUUCACAAUCCAUAUCGUAACAUAACAUGUAUGGGUGUCUUAGGGACAACUUACUUGAGCUCGGCCGAUUGUACGCAUCACGCUCCUUGUUCUUUAUUAAAAGCACUUAAUUUUAAUUUUAGAAAAAAAAAUCAUAUUUCUUGUAAAAACCUUUCCUCGAUUUGAGUCCAGACACACCCGAGAGUGUGUUAGAAUCCCUCAAACUAGGGCUCUGAUACAACCUUGUAACAUCCCAAAAUUCAGAACAAAAAGUUUCAUUUUUAAUUGACUAGAUUAUAAAAACGGUAGUUUGAAACAUCAAUAGUGCCACUCAUAUCAUAAAUAAAACCAAUAAGUCAAUAACCAAAACAUGUCAUAUAAAAGUAAUAUCAUAGUACAGCUCCUAAAGUCUCAUAUGCGGAAAAUCAUAGUCUGAUGCGCUGCGAUCAUGCCGACUCCUUUCCUUUUGAAGAAGAAGUACCUGAAACCAAAACUGAAAAUCAUAAGCACGAAGCUUAAUGAGUUCCCCCAUCAUACCAAAUACCGUACAACAAACAUACUUCCAAACAUAUCUGGGUGUUGGCCUCCCCUUUGGUCUUUUCAACCAGAUAUGGCCGAGCAUAUCAGGGUGCUGGCCUCCCCAUUCAUCUAUUUAACCGGAUACUGUCGAGCAUAUCUGGGUGUUGGCUUCCCCUUUGUUCUAAUCAAUCGGAUAUUGCCAAGCAUAUUUGGGUGCUAGUGUCACACCCCGGCCUUCUGCGGAAACACCGGGUGAUGUAACGUCACUCUUCGUAUCACAGUUAUAUAACAUACAUUGAAUAGUUCUAAAGAAAAUACACACCUUUAUUGAUAAUUGAAAGUACAUUAUUGUUUUUCCUAGUACUUAUUACAUAAUAUCCGACUAUGGCAUACUUUUUAAUGAACAGAAAGAUAAUAGUAAAACUUCUCCUGUUCGAAUACAUACCAGCUUUUCAAGUUCCUGAAAACACAUGCAUUUUAAAAUACGUCAACACAAAGUUGGUGAGUCCACAGUUUUUGACUCCAUAAAAUAAUACAUUUUUACACAUUCAAAAGUAUAGUUUUGAAAGUAUCAUUUUGACUCUCCAAUAUUAGGUAUAAUAGUAUACUUAUCAUUUAAGUGUUAUACCUAAGCAUUUCUUAAUCUUAAGGUAUAAGUAGGGGAAAACUUAUACUUAACAUUAAUACUUGUAUACGACAAGGUAUAAUGUUUCUAUAAUUUGCUACCAUAAGCCUGUAACCGCUUCUAUGACAUAAUACCUCUGAUAGAACAAUACACUCAUGAUUUACCAUGAGAACAAAUACACUCAUGAUUUAACAUGAGAAACAACACCGUACGCUUCAUCGACACCAUAAUAAAAACAAAUAAAUGGAUAGUUCAUCACUUGUUUUUGGUUGUCUAUAGCUAACAGUCACAAGUGGGGUGGUCAGCCCGUAUACUAAUUAUAUACGAAAUCCUCGCUCACACGGGAUUAACGAUUAUAGUUCAGAGGAUUUCUACUAAGAUCCCCAAUCUCAGUUGAUGAAUACAAUUACUCAUGUAGACUUUGACGGCUUCCUAUAGCUCUGACAACAAAAGCAUCUUUAUGUCUAGAACCUUAAGUUACUAGACUAUGCUUUUAAACAUUAAUCCUAACUUCAUAAUAUUUAGGCAGUAUAUAACAGCUAUAUCUUGAAGUAAAAUCCAAGUUUUAUCUUGACCUAAAACAAAUAAUAACAACAUCAAACUUUUCUAGUUUUAUCAUGACAUAAAACUAAUAAUAGCAACAUACUUUGUAACUUAACAUAUAGACCUUCUGAAUAUAACUUCAGAACUAUAUCGCACACAACAUAUAUAUAGAAUCCUAAGUAUAACUCAUGAGCUACAUUAGUAUACUACUAUAAUAAUAACAUGCUAACAACUUUACGAUAGUUGUAUACUUUCAUAUACGAAAUAACUAUAUCAUUGUUAUUAUAGCUAUCUACGUUGAUAUUAAUAUACUAUUAUAUAGACAUAAUAAUAAAGUAUAUAUAUUAUUUGGCAUGCGUUUUUCCCCGAAAUAUUAGAAUGUGGGGCCGUGAAACUCACCCUGGUAGCGUGAUUUUAUGUUAUCUAAGCAAAACGGUCAGCGUGCGAGAUCGUCGGGGCUCGCGAUGCAAGAUGGCCUCAGCAAAGGAGAGAAACGGAAGAAGUUUUGGUGUAAGAAUAUCUGAAGUCGGACCUGCUAUUUAUAGUAGGGAUUUUGGACACCCACAUCGUGGGUUUUUGGACCCCCAUGUUGUGACUUAGGAUCUUAUCCUCGUAGACUUGCCAUUUGCGUUCCUAGCUUCGGAAGGUGUCACAAUUCCAGUUUCACGUCGUGAGUUUGGAUUCUAUCCCCUUGCAGCCUCGUCACACCUUCUAGAUUCCGAUAUAUGGAUAAAUGACUGCUCACGUCGUCAGUGUCAUAAACCUCACGUUGUGAAUUUAGUCAGCUUAGGGUUUCUGAAUGCUGAAUCUCCGGAAGGCCAUAACUUUUGCAUACGAACUCCGUUUUUGACGUUCUUUAUAUGCACGCGUAGGUAUUUAUGAGUACUACAACUCUAUUUUAGACUUAAAUAGCUAAAUCUAAGUGUAUUUUAAAUUCCUCUUACUAUAUAGAUUUAUAGUGUUUGAUUUAUCAUAACUUCUUCACGCGAAGUCAGAUUCAGACGUUCUCUAUAUUUUUGGAAUCGUAUGGAUGUAUAUUUUGAGUUGUAUUAUAAAGAAGAUUCAUAUUUGUAUUAGAAUUUAUCACGAACUACAUAACACGCUUACCAUAUUACUAGGUUAACAUAAUCACAUUACAUGAUUGGCAUAAUCACAUGUGAUUGUCUAUUGACCUAUUUUGACUGGUGUUACAUUCUCCCCCCGUUAGAAAAAUUUCGCCCCGAAAUUUAUCUUGUGGAUAGGGUUUUGUUAAAUACUUGGGGGUAUUUUUCUUUCAUCUGAUCUUCACAUUCCCAUGUAAAUUCAAGUCCUCGUAAAGAGUUACAUCGAACUUGCACUAUGGGAAUACGACUUUGCUUUAAUCGUUUGACUUCUUGAUCCAUGAUCUCGAUAGGUUCUUCUACAAAGUUGAGUUUGGUAUUGACUUGUAUCUCAUCGAGAUGUACCACAAGAGUGUCAUCAGAUAGACAUAUUUUGAUAUUUGAUACGUGAAAAACAUCGUGUACAUUACAUAGCUCUUGAGGCAACUUGAGUUGGUAUGCGACAGAACCAAUCUAGCUAGAAUUUCAAAAGGUCCUAUUGAUGGGUUUUAUACAAACAAUCCUAUGUGUACAUGCAACCCUAGCAUUGGACCUAUGCUUUCACUAUUAGAUACACAACGUUAUGAACACAUAAUAAAACCCUAAAGAUGAUUGCUAUUAUCGAAAUUAACCAAGAAGGAUAGAUAACAUACCUCUUGUUGUUAUAUAGUAAUAACAACUUAAAUCUUCAAACUCUAAGUCUUGAAAGCAAGCACCAAAAGUGUAGUGCCUCUAAUGGCUCACAAACACCAAGAGCAAAUGGAGAAGAUAUAGAGAGAGAAUAGGGAGAUAUAAAUCGGCCCUAUGAUCUCUUUAGGAGGCAUGGACGAAUUCAUGAGCCUUAGGGUCUUUAUAUAGGUGUAUAGAUUAGGGUUUCAGUCCUUAUCCUUAUCUAGUUGCCUGCCCACCAAGUAACAAUAAGAUAAGCCUUGAAAGCCCAUAUAUUUGGACGAUUUCAAGGAUACAAAUCCUUUACGAUUUCAUCCAACCCAUAUUAGGAUAAUCCUUACCCUACUUUGUAACUAUCACAUAAUUACAAUUCAGCCCCUCUAGUUUAAUUAAUAACACUUGAUCACAAAAUUAAUUCUUAAUUAAUUAUUGACCAAUAUUAAUUAAACAAAUAUGAUUUCUCCUUUAAUGUAUUAUUCUUAUAACAUAUUAAUAAAUCAUAAUAACCACUUUCUCUAUUAUAUCUCCAGUCAAGUUGCUUUCGUGAAGGCAACCCAAAAGGACCAUGCACAAUCGGGUCAAAUACUUACCGAUUAUGGUUACAGGCUUAGACACUAAUCGAACAGUCUCCCACCUGGAUAUGUCUAGUAACCACAAAUGCAAGUACAACUCAAUUAGCAAUCGUAGCUCUCAAAGACGCUAUUGAACUCUGAUCAUAUAAGUAACCUGUCCUUUAGAUAAGGGAUCGUAUAUUCCUCCAUUCAAGAUAUCGUAUAGACACGAGACAUGGAUUGAAAUCAUUGUCUCAGUAUAUGUGUUGUUUCUCGAUUUCCGAUUUACGACGACUGACUAAUUGAACAAAUCAAAUUAGUUGUAGCCCGACGAGCAUUUACGUUUGUCCUCACUAAAUCAUCGAGGGGCCCACAUAUAUCGCUUUUAUCCCACUUUGGGUAAAAGGAACGAAUAAACUUUGACUCAUUGUUUUCUUUCACUCACUCAACAAAACACACACAACAAUAAAUUUUAUAACACCAAGUUACUAGUGCAUUUACACAUUAUCUGUGACAACCCGAAAUUUCCAUUCUGAACAAACCAUAUCAAGCCAAUAGAUGUAGAACAGUUACAGUGAAAACUCGGAUUUCGAGUAUAAGUUUGGCAGUUUUCAGGAUUUUACACCUAAGGACAUAUUAGGAGAGUGGAUGGACUAAGGUUUUGUGCAACACUGUAAUUCCAAUACUCUAGGACAUUGGAGUUCAUUCCGAGAAUAGAAAUAUUUUAUACCAAAAAUCUCAGGACUAUAAAUAGAAUUCUGAACCAAAUUGGUUCAUUAAUUUAAUUCCAAUUAGAGAAAAGUCAAUAUUCUCUCUCACGGAUCUUCGGGUUUUCAUCCCAAAUCGUGAGUAUACUUCUCUAGUUGAUUAUAAUACUUGUUAUAAGCUUAUUAACAUAGAUUACAUGCCAAAUAUGUGAGAUCCGGGAGUUUACCGCCCAAGAACGUUCUUGGGGAGUAAACUCCAUUUUAAGGUCCUAAAGGGUUCCAACGACCCUCAAGGCUUUAGAACUCGAACUAGGAGCCUCCAAUUCAUGCCUUAUACCACAAAACAAUUAGGAUCCAUGACUAGAAGGGAGUUUACGACCAAGGAGCUUCUUAGGCCGUAAACUCCAUGUUUUAAGUGCCAAAGUGCUUUGAAACACUUCCUAAGGCUAAGAAUUAAAGUAGGACAAGUACCCUAAAGUGUUUAGAACCUAGAAAACAUAAGAAAUCACUAGUCUUGCGGAGUUUACGGCCAAGACAAGUUCUUGGGCCGUAAACACCUAUUUACGGGUCAAAUGACACCCUAACUCCUUCAUUAAGCCAAGAAACCAAUUUAGGCAUGUACCUAAAUGAGUUUUGGACUAGUUAACACACUUAGAACACCAAGAGUGAGGGAGUUUACGGCCCAAAAGGUUCUAUGGCCGUAAACUCCAUAAAAUGGUGCCAAAUGUACCAUAAACUCUUCUAAAGGCAAGUAGCAAAGCCUAUAUUUGUUCCUAGUUAAUUUAGAGACUUGAAUGCACCAUAUAAACCCUCCCAAGGGAGUUUACGGCCGUAAACUCCAAGGGAAUAUGGUCUAUGGGCCGUAAACUCCCCAAAGGAGUUCAUAUGGUACCCACACACUUGUAUAGCCUUGAAACAAUUCCCCACUAGACUUGUAGUAAUUCUAAGCUUCAGUUAGGGGCCUUAAGGAGAGUUUACGGCUAGGAGCUUACUCCCCUGUGCCGUAAACUCCAAAUCAUAUGGUCAUUUGACCAUAAACUUCCAUUAGGGGCAUUGCACUCCUUUGUUGCAACCCAUUAGCCUCCUAGCACUUGACCAAAAGUGUUUUCCUCGCGCUUAAAUGUUAUUACUUGUAUAAUUAGUGUUAUAAUCACUAAUUUUUUAUAUACAUAUGUUUUCAUAUGUAAUUAGGAUCAUUGUGUGUGUCUAAGUCUUCACUUGACACCAAGCACUUGUCCGAUCCUUCCGUACGAUAACAGUCCGUUCAAUUCCAGUCACUUACUGCAGGUGACUUCAUACCCAUUAACCAAUGAUUUAAAUGUUUUUAGAUGCUUUAGGGGGGGGGGAAUACAAGUCAAUUACUUAUAGUUAUUACAUCAAUCACAUGUGAUUAAUAACUACAAAACCAGUGAUUUCCUUAUUGUUCAAAUUGUUUGUCAAGCUGUUUUGCUUCAAACUAUUUUACAAAGUUCUGAUACUUAUCAAAUACAUUUGUUUAAACUCCGUUUUCCUUAUUAUCAAUUGCAUGUCUAGGUAUGUAUAGUUAUAUAAGCAAUGUUUAAAAAGCUUAGGAAGGCCUGCCCGCCCUAUUUCCUUUUCACGCUUGAGAUGUGGUCUGGUGGGAUAUCGGGUACCCAUCCGAAGGUCGUUUAAAUAUUAGUUAUAUAUCAUGUGUACAUAUAUAGUCAUAAAAAGUCCUUCCAGUUCAUUCGAUACCCUUGGGUAGCGAGGGUAUACUCCCAUGUUCAUACGUACCAGUACAUCACCAGUAAGUUACCAUAGGGGUAGCACAAGAAGAGUCUAUUAUUACUAGAACGAUGAAACAUACAAUGAGUCAGUUCAUUCAUGAGUCAAUACUUGCUAGAUAGAGAGAGAACAUUCGUUACAGCUAGCACACGCAGAACAUUACAGUACAUUACUAUACUAUUACUUAGAUAUGUUUUACAUGAUUACACUUACAUGAGUACGUUUACACAUAUUCGUUUACAUGAGUACGUUUACACAUAUUCGUUUACAUGAGUGCGAUUACAUACACUUUGAUAGGACAUACAUCAUUAGGUGCUAUAGCAUAGGAACAAGUUAAGGAUCUAACUAUACCGAUGAAUCACAACGCAUUGUGGUAGUUAUAUCGGGUAUACAUGAUCAUAGUAAUGUGGAUGUUCACGGUUUGAAUACAGGCAAGCAUCGUGUAAAGGUCCCAAAAUCCCUUUGACAGGGGAGCGUUUAGCCUGUGAUCUAGCCAUCACAUUAGGCCUUAUCCCUCAAAUAAGGCAAUAGGAGUACUAAGGUAGUCACUUAUUACAAAUACUACGGUACUUAUAAAAGUUACCCUAGACUUAAGGUAAUUAGUAUGGUUGUAGUACGACACUACACCAUAGUACUAUUUCAUUUUUCCCACUUACAUUCACUUCGUGAAUUUUCACACGAUGCACGGUAAUGUAGAAUCUAUAUUUUUGGUAAAUGAUAGUACGAAGUGGGGAAAACACACACUCUCUCAAGAGACAUGCGCACAGACACUAGAUCCCUUGGUAGAAGGCUACAGUUAGUAGAAAACGUAGGGUUUUCUAGGAGAGUUCAAACAUUACACAAAAACAUCUUGCAGAAACAUCUUACUAAUGUUUUCAUACAAACUCAGACAUUAAUAUACUUAUGAUCUCACUAGCAUUAAGCUGAUACUUGCUUUCAAAAUAACUUGUAUUCUUAGGUCACUACUAGACAGGUACAGCUGCCAGGUUUUUGAGAAGAUGGAGUUCGUUCAAGACUCAUCUUAUUAUUUUGAUAUGUAUAUUUUGGUGUCAAUAACUUUGACAAGAACACACAUGUAUGAAAUUAUUUUAUUAAUGCAAUGGAUGAUGUUGUUGCUUGUUUAAUAUUAUUCAUUGUUUGUGAUACUGUACAUGACGUCCUCUGCCCCGGAACGUUUCUGUCGUUCGUGGUUUUGGGGUGUGACAUUAUCAAUGUGCAACCGAUUCGCAAGAUACAACUUACACAUCUCGGUUUCAAGAAUACAAGAUAUUAUCGUCUCACUAAUCACUCGUGAUAAAAUCCAUGAAGCGAUCCAAGUGAGCGUGGGUUUAAUCCAGUGCUCAAAAUCAUAUUCAUCAGCACUCAUGGACGUUUGCUAUGUGCAAUACACUUUAGACAAUCUACAAACCAAUUCAUGACAGUCUUCAUUCAUACCUACUUCCAAUGUAUAACCGACUGUGGUCCUUCUGAAUACUUCGAUUAUUCUUAAUAAACUCAAUUAUUCUAGAAGUCAAAACAUGCAAAGAGAAACACAAUGAUAAUACUUAAUCUUAUAUGGCCCCAAACUUGUGAGUAUAAAUAAAACACCUUUAUUUAAUCAUCAUAUUGAUUACUCAUUAUCCAUUGUUUAAUGUUUCAGAUAAUCAACUUUAUAACUCGAAUCAUAACCACAAUUGUCCCAUGCUCCAAGCGUGCACACUGUGGUUUCCUAUGGUCUAUACUUUGUGAAAUGGAUCAAGUGAACACAUUUUCAAUCAUUCUCAUUUCACAAACCCCAAUUCUUAGCGUAAGUACAAGAAUAUCAAAUUCUUGUCACUUAUAGAAUAUGUCAAAUUCUAAUAUUUUAUGCAAUAAUUGUCACACCCCGCGAAAGCGGAAACACGAUGCGUGGCAAUAUAAAGGGUUUCAUAGCAAAAGUUAAAAGACAACACCAACCAUAGUAUUAAAAAUCAUUAAAAAUUUACAAUGGGUUUGAACAACUUUUAAAAGAAAUUACAAUGAAAACUGAAAUACAACACAUGCGAAUGCCCCUAAAAGUGAUGUAUCCCUAAGUGCCACCUACUUGAUGAUUCAUGAAAAAGCAUGUAAAACGAGCGUCAACUAUAAAAAUUGUUGGUGAGUACUCACAGAUGAACAAAAUAAUAUUGGUUCCAUGAAUUGAAAUCAAUGUUUUGAUAAAGUUUCCAAUAAUAAAAGUAUAUUGUUAAAUUGAGAAAAUAAGUUUGUACAAAAACAAAGUUCUUUGUCAUCAUGAGAGAUAAAGUAUGUUGCCCAAAUGAGAUGCAACGUUCAAAUUCUUAUGGAAGAUAAAGUUCGUUACUCAAACGAGUAAACAAGUUUCAUUUCUUAAAUGAGCUGUCAGUUUCGUUGAUACAAGGAGCAAACAAUUUCAUUGCUAAAACAUGUAUAUAAGUUUCCAGUAGUAAAAGUUCGUUGUUGUAAUGAGAAAUAGAGUUCAUUGCUAUAAUGAGAAACAAAGUUCAUUGCUAUAAUGAGAAACAAGGUUGAUUGCUAUAUUUGCUAAACGAGUUUAUCGCCAAAUAAAUAACAAGUUUAUUGCUAUAAUGAUUAACGAGUUUGUAUGUGUAUGAGCAAACAAUGAGUUCUCCACCAAACCUAUGACUGAAGCCCUAUCAUGAUCUAUGUUUAUCGUUCCAUAGAUGAAUAUGGUAUCAUGCACUCCAGCAAUAGGGCGAGUGAGAAGUUGUCAAUUCCUAAUAGCGCUAUCCAUAAUGACCAUUGGUUCAAAGAGUUAAUGGUUAGAGAUAAGGGAAGGGCCUUAAUACGAAAGUUCUCAUNGCAUAGACAUACAUAGAGAGAUAUAGCAAUAAAAUAGCAAUCAUGUUUGAUACAAAUCAAUUUAGAUACAACAUUCAAAUAAUAGUUUUUCGGGACAUGCUUUUCCACCCCAAAACAUAAAAAAAAACCGAAAAUAGGGGAGUACAUGAAUACUCCCAAUAUGCAAAAUAAUGUAAUCAAUUUUAUACGAGUCAAAUAAUUACAACGAAUAUAAAUAGUUUACGACAUGCUUUUCCACCACAAAACAUUUAAAAAUCGAAAAAUAGGGGAUUGGUGAAUACUCACAAUAUGCAUUGAGAUGAUGUAAAUGGUGCCUUGACUACGCUCCACUCGUACCACUAUCGAUUUCUACAAUAAUGGUAUUCGCUAGUGAGUCUCAAAUUGAAAUCUAACACUAGUAUACUUACUACUACAAUAGAAUUAUGCCAAUAGUGUGCCAAAAUUUAAUAUUGAUAAGUUAUAAAUAUUUUUCUGUGAAAAUUUAAUUUCAAUGAAUCAAUUGUUAUAUACAAAUUUAAGUGGAAAUUUCCCAUUAUUGAAAUGCUAAUAUUUAUCAUUUUAAGAGGUGUUCCAAUGAUUAAAUAUUCAAAAACUAAAUCAAUUUAGUUCUAAAAUUUCCCAAACUUUGCAUUUCAGUUUUAAAUUGAAGUCAAAGACCUUAAGAUAAAUUUUCUUGAACUUUUGAUUUGUCUAACUAUUUUUCACCAUUUUAGUUUCUUGAAUAACCAUAAAAUCAUGAAAAUUACUAAAAAGUUAAUAAAAAUUACCAAACUUCAUAUUUUGGUUCUAAAUGUAUUAAAAGACUUCUAGAUAAAUUUUCAUGGAUUAUGGAUAUGCAUAACCAUUUUUCAUAUAUUUAAUUCUCUAAAUAUAUAGAAAUUCAUGAAAAAUAGACAUCAGUGAAGAAAAUGCCCCAAACUAUUUAACCCAUUUUUAUGAUUUUUGAUCAUUUAUUUUAAUAAAAAUUGAAAUAAAUAGAAAAUAGUUUCCAAAAUUGCCAAAAAUUUUUGUAACACUGUUAUUAGUCAUUACUAAGCUAGGAAAAAUAUAAAAAUGAAUUUCUUAACUAUUUAUCCCGAUUUUAUGAUUUUUGUGUAUUUAUUCUAAUAAAAAUUGAGUUUAAGUGUAUUUAAUCUUGGGAAAAUAGAAGAAAAAUAGUAUAUAGAAAAGAAAAAUCAUCAAAAUCUUUAUGUAGGAUCCUCAUGUGCUAAAAGGUGUUCUGGUAAAUUUUCAUAAUUCUUGGAUGAGUAAAACAGCUUUUCCUGUUUUUAGUCCAUUAUAAUUACAAAAAUCGGAGAAAAAUAGGAAUACAUUAUGAAAAAUUCUGGAAAUAUUUUUCUAAGUCUUCCACAGAGUUUAUAAGCUGUGAAAAUUGGUAUGUAUCAUUUUCACAUUCUAUAAGGUGUUUUUAUGAUUUAUUGGAUUCAAACAAAAAGAAAAUUCAAAACCAUGUUAAACCAUAACAAAAAUCGAUGAAAUUUAAUGUGAAGUCAUUAGAUUUAUUGCCCUAUAUGAUUUAUUGCCCUAUUUUCUUUCAUUAAUUAUAGUAAUUCGAGAUAAAUGCAUUAUCUUCUGGAAAUUUACAGAGCAUCUUAUUUCGUUGAUGGGAAUCUGGGAAAAAUCGGAUUUGGUCAAAAAAUGAGUUUUAGAUAUUUAUUUGGAAUUAAAUCAUUCAUGAACAUAUUUGAAAGCUUUUAACAACAAACUUUGAUCAUCAAGAAUCUAUGCUUGAAGAUCAUCACAUGCAUGUUGGCUUGAAUGUCAUUAAUGAGUUUCAUAUGCUCAGAAAUCGUUUUUGAUAGAAAACGUAGGGUGCAUGUGGUGUUUUUCCACCAAAACAUGUAAAAAAGUGCAUUUCCUUGAUUUUGACUUAGGUUUAGGUUCUUGGAUUUCACCAUUUACAACAUGCAUGUUGUUUUUCGGUGAAAUCCUACCACCAUCAUCAUCAAAACCGUGAGUAGGUGCAAGUGCUCAUGAUUUUACAAUAGAAUGGGGUAGAAGAUGGAGAAAAUCCAUGAAAAACAAGUAAAACUUGAAGGAAAAGAGAAGGGGAAUGAACAAUUUUCGGGUUUACCUUUAAGAAUAACAUCAAAUGUUGAGGUCUUUUUAGUAGAAAUGGAUGAACUUUUCUGAGAUUUUCGUGAGUUUAGAGGGAGAAUGAAGAGAGAAUUCAAUGUAUGAUUGUAGAGUGUGUGAGAGAGAAUGAAGAGGUGAAGAGUGUGGAGAAGAGAGAAAUGACUAUGUGUUUUGGGAAGAGGAGGAGGGGCUUGGGAGAGGGGAGGCCGAGAUUUUGGGUGAGAGCGGCUCCCUCUCUCUUGUUUCUUUUAUAAAAAUUUAAAUAUUUUAUAAAAAUAUCAAACCUUUUAUAAAGUAUACACUAAAAUCAAGUUUUUAUUCAUAAAACCUUUAUUUUUGAUUUAUAGAUUAAGGGUAAUGUUAACGAGUUAAAUUUUAUUUGCCUUGAAUAUAUUAUACUAAUUCUAAUUAUUAGAAGAUAAUAUUACAAGGCUUAUAACUUUUUAUAGAAUUUUUAAAGUUAAAGUUUGUAAAUAUGAGUUAUUAGGGCAUUUAGGGUUUUUGAGAGUUUGUAAAUCUUUGGAUAUCAAAAUUACUUGAAUUUUGUGACUUCAAACUAUUUUAGAGUUUCAUAACUCUUAUUCAAAUUAGAAAUAUUGUUUGUAAUUUAUUUUUAUUGGUUUAUUGGCAUUCUAUAUAGUGAUUCUGAGAUUCAAAUGAAAUUGAGGAAUCAAGUAUACUAGUCCUAGUUUCAACUUUGACUUAAGUUUCUAUAAGACUCUGACCUAACUUUUACUUCUAGGUCAAGUGCAUGAUGUGUGUAUAUGAUUCAUGAAUCAUAUACACACAUCCAUUGUAUCUAUCUGUUUCCAAGAUUCUACUAGGUCAUAACUUAGCUUCUCGUUACUAAGUCUAGUAUAUGUAGUGCCUAUAUGUGCAACUAAGUCUAGUCAAAUCUAGAACCAACUCGAAUUUUGACGGUUGUCACAAUAAUCCUCUCGUGAAGUCACGACACAAAAUCACAAACACUCGGCCAUCAAAGUCACAAGGUACUCUAUCAAAAUAGUUACAGAACAAUUCCAUAGAUGCGAUGUCUCUCACUGAAAGUACAUUCCUUGAACAUCCUUUUGCGUAAACUCUUCUAAUCUAGACAUAAACUCUUAAUUUCCAACUCCUAAUUAUGGAAACAUUUCCAUAUUUACCAUAUGACAACUCCUUCUUAAUAGAAUCUUAUCUAUUCAUAAUAAUGUCGAUGUGGUCCAUUCAAUGCCAUACUUCCUUCCAUCUACUUACAAGCGACCAAUCCUCAGCGAAUUUUGGAUUAUCCUUUGACAGUUGCUUAAUUAUCUUAGUCAAAACCGAUUCUUGUCCUUUUUCCCUCUUAAUCCAUUAGACAUUUGGAAAAUUUUAGAAUGGUCAAAUAUUAUAGCAUUUGCAAUCGAUAUUAUACCUGAAGCGUAUGGGACACGAUGCAUAAUGUCUUACAUAAAGAUACGAUACUCUAUCAAUCUUCUGCCAUAAUAUUUUAUGUGUCACGUUCUUACAAUUCGAUCUAUGAGGAGGGAUACCGUAAUCAUAAUCAAAAUUUAAGUACACACUAUGUAUCCUUUGACUAAAUUUAUUAAAAUUUCUCAAUCUAAGAUUUAGAUUUUGAAACGAAGUACAAUAUUCUCUCCCUUAAUUAUAGCAAAACAACUUUUCAACCUUUACGACAAUGCAAAGUACAACGCUUGUUUUCUAUAAUUAAUAUUGCUAACUUGCAAUACUUACCAUAAUAAUCAUUCUCCCACUUACAUGAUGAUUAUUUCUUUACUAGCAUAACACUUAUGCUCCCACUAGCUUUGACAUGUAUUCAGAAAUCAGCUGAACUUUUAGAAAACAAUUUCUUAAGUUCAUAUUUCUAAUACUAGAUGCUUCGAUAAGACUUUAUCUAAGCUUCUCAAACUUAUACACUUUUCCUUGGACAACUUGUAUAUGUCUAAACGAUUCUAGGACUCAUAUUAAUAAGUCUAAGAUGCUCAGAACCAUUUGCCAUUUCCCACAAUUCUAACUAUGAAGAGGUAUGCCGUAAUCAAAGUUGAAUUUGAGAAACCCAAAUCACAUAAUUCCAUCUUCAAAAUCUCUCAUAGUGAAAGCGUUUCCUCACAAUCAUUCUUAUGAAUGAAACAAACCUUAUGACACUUAGAUUUUGUGGUGUAUUCGUUCUCAUCCAUGUGAAUUUGUCGUACCCCUAAUCACAAGAUAAUGUUAGUGACAAAUCCAAACUCUUAUGGAUAGAACUAGUUCAUCUUAAUUUCUUGCCAUCAAGGGUCCCACCAUUGCUUCCAAGUUAUUGAGCAGCCCACCCCUUCAUUUCAAUGUACUUUCCAUUGAACAAAGUGUCUUGCCCCUAUACGAUCCAUUGAGAACUCGUUGAGCUCGCAUAUACAGAAAACUCAAUUGGAAUGGCACAGAAAACAAAAUAGUGUCAACAUGAUAGGUUGUUAACCUCAAGUGGUGUGCUAGUGAUGAUUGAUAAGGUUUAUUCUUGAUUUGUUCUUGAAACCUUUCAAGACCAUUAAGACUCCCACUGACUCCUUGACAUAUAAGAUUCCCUUGUGAAGAAACAUUUCUCGACAAACAAAUAUUCAAGAGUUAGUGUAGCUUUUAUCAAGACAAAACUCUUCACAUAAUUGGUCCUAGUUGGUCUUUGUCUUGUCCAAGACAUCACAACUUACCAAUUUCAAAUGUGCAAGAAUAAGAAAACCCCUUUUUCCAAAUUCCACAUUUGAUGAAUGUUAUAAACCUUCUUAAGACUUGUUAUCGGAACGAAGUAUGAUUGACUUUUUGAUUUAACCAUUUCCACAAUUCUCGAUUCUUCUUCUGAGAUAUACUAAGAUUCACUUGAGAUAUGGUUCUUAAUCAUUAAGAUCUAUCAUAAAACAUAAUUAAAGGUACUCUCCCUUCUUCAUAGAAUAGAGAAACUAUUAUCUUUCUUCCUACUUGAUUCUUUUUAUUCGUUUUGCUAUUGAUUGAUACUCUUUUAAUCAACCCAGAAUUAUACUCAAUUUUAUAUGUAUGACCAUAUUCACUAAACUUUAGUAAAUCAUGACGAAUAUCUUUGUUACUCUUGUGGUAGACUUGAUCAAUGUACGACCUAGUGUACUCGAUCUCUUAGUCCCUAAUUUCACACUUUGUCCAAAUUAGUCUAAAUUUCCCAAAUGUGAAAGUUUUUCAUUCAUCAUACAAUGCUUGUUGCACGAUUCCAAGUUCCUAUCCACUUGAAACUUGGGUGAUGAGAAACUCUCCCUAUUUGGUAAACUCUUGACACUUCCACAAAUAACCUAAUUGAGAAUCAAAUCCAUUUUUCUAAUAAUAGAAGUACACAAACAUCAAUUUUUCACAUAUGCCAUUGUAAGGAUAAACAAAUAAGAUAAAAUCCAAAAUUUAUUUUAUUCAUCAAAGCAGCGGAAAACAUGUCCUUACAAUGCAAAAUUCAAAUGAAAAAUCUAUGUAUUCAAAUACUCCUAACAAAGCUAUCAUAACUUCCUAAGCUCAAAAUCUGAUCAUUGAAUCCAUGCGAUCGUAAUACAUUUCUUCGUGAUCAGACUCAUCUUGCUUUUCCAUCAAACUUCCUCUCAUUUCUCUAAUCCUACAAAACAUUCAAAUGUAAUCUUAUCACAUUAUGCAUAGAGAAUAGGAAUUUAAUGGAGUUAGAUAGUGGAUUUUAUACCUGAAGUGGAGCCAUACAUCUUGACUCUCCCAUUUCUUAGACUCUCCAGUUCCUUUGGGCAGCUUCAUAUCCAUUUCCCUUUCCCUUGGCAGCAGAAACAUGUGGCCUCUCCUAGAGCGUCCAUGGAAGCAUGGUUGGUUGAUUGACUAGACAAAUAUGCUCCAUUACAUCGCCAAAUCAUUUCUGAUUCAACAGCAACAAGCAUGUAAGUUAAGUCAAUGAGGGGCACGCCAAGAUCCAUCAUGUAAUACUCUCUUUUGAACUUAUCAUAUGAUUUAGGGAGUGACUGAAGAACCCAGUCCACAGCCAAUUUAUUGGGAAAAGACGCACCCAACAUAAUCAACCUAUCAAUGUGUGAUUUCAUCCCUAAGACGUGAUCACACACGGGUUUACCAUCUUUAGGUUUCAUUGCCAAUAGGGUUUUGGUGAUCUUGAACCUUUCAGAUCUUCGUUCUUGUGGGUUGGGGAGAACAAUGGGAGGAGGAGGAGGGAGUGAAAUCAAGCUAGUCCACAUUGAUUCUUCACUUUGGAACAAGCUUUUACUUUCAACAGGAACACCUUUUCCUUGGGACUCGGGAAGACCAUGGUUAGAGUUUCAAGUUAGUUUAUUGAAUCCUUAAUGAAACACCCAAAUGAGACAUUAAGUUAGUUUAUUGAAUCCUUAAUGAAACACCCAAAUGAGACAUUAAGGCUAGGAUCCAACAACAUUAUUUACACAUUAGAAAAGGGAUGCCGUAAUCCAACAUGCAAAUAAUUUGGAUGUAAGUGAAUGACGAUUCACUAAUUCUUCACCAUGAAAAACAUGAAGGCUUAAGUUUUAAAUCUAUUAAGAAUUCCUAGAUUUCCUUUUAUAUUGAUUGAACUUUUCAAUGGCAUGUAUAAAUCUCAAUAUGCCCCUCUCGUUUGUGACUGGGAUGCCGAGGGUCACAAAGUGGGUGUGAAUAACCAUGAAAAUAUACAUGGUGCCCUCAUUGUUACAGUCGCCUAUUCGAUGUGCAGGUUAACCACACACGCUCCAUCAAACUAUGAAAAACAUUGAGUCACCCUUUUCCACCUUUGCUUAGAACCAGUUAGUGUUCCAGUUAACCACACACGCUCCACUAACUUCUUAGCAAGGGUGCAAAGAGUAAUUUCAUGGGAUUGCAUCAGUUUCACUUUUGCCUAAAGUAACUAGGAUUGGGAAUUUGUAAAAGCGUUUAGUUACUUUACAUAGAUUCAUUAUACUUAUUAAUGAAGAGAGGAUUGCCCUAUCCUACCCGUUCGGCUAACGAACAUCCACCAAUCAAGGAAGCGGUGGGUAAGAGUGGAUACCCAUUAAACGGCCAUUUGAUAGGCCAUAACCUUAUACCCCCCUUUUAGNCCCCCUUAUAGACCGACUUCGUGAAGGAGGCCUACUAACGGUAAGAAUAGCUUUUCAAUUAUACAUAUAUAAUAUUAAACUUUUAAUGUUAUACAUAGUAUAAGGGUGUAUUUUAGACUUUUAAAAUACUAGGUGGUUUAAGUUACACUUUUAAUUAACCAAUAUUAUUAUGGAUUUAUUAACUCUCUUUUAAUUAUACACUUAAUUAAUUUAAUAAAACCAUAAGGGUUUAAUAAGAACUUUUCAAAAUUAGGAUUUUAGAAUUUAGACUUUCAAAAUUAAACUUUUAAUCAACAAUUUAAAUUCCAAAACUUUCAGGGCAAGUUUUGAAACUUUUCAAAACAAUUUGAGUUUUAAUCUCUCUUAAAAUUUUCGAAUUUAUGACAUACAAAUUAAAAUUUUAAAUAUUUAAAACUCUUGAUUUAAUAAUUAUCUUGAAUUAAACUAUUAAUUUAAUUAUCAAAUCAUAAGCGAUUAUGUAAAUCAUGAGGAUAAUUACUAUUUAUACAUUUAAGAUAUUCUAAUCCCUUCAAUCCUUCUCUAAAUCUCGAAAAUAAGGGAUGGGAUAAUUCAAGAUCUUUAAAUACCAUAUUUCACAAUUAAAAGGAUAAUUACAAGAUAUGGGAUAAUCCAAAUCCCUAAAAUAUAGGAUCUUAUCUUGGGGAGGAGGGCAAUUUCGAAAAUUAAGGGGUUAUGAAAAACCUUAGGUUUCAAAAUUUAAAGGUUUAAGGAAAGGAUUUGAAGAUCUUAUUCAAACUUUUGCAAAUUAGGGUUUGCAAACCCUAAUCUUGAAAAUCCUAGCCUCCUAGGGUUUAUUGGAAUUAAACCCUAAUAUGUCAAGUUCAUACAAUUGAAUAAACUAAUUGAAAUCAAGUUAACCAAAGGCUCUGAUACCACUGAUGGGUUUUAUACAAACAAUCCUAUGCUUACAUGCAACCCUAGCAUUGGAUCUAUGUUUUUACUAUUAGAUACACAACAUUAUGAACACAUAAUAAAACCCUAAAGAUGAUUACUAUUAUCGAAAUUAACCAAGAAGGAUAGAUAACAUACCUCUUGUUGUCAUAUUGUAAUAACACUUAAAUCUUCAAACCCUAUGAUCUCUUUAGGAGGCAUGGACGAUUUAUGAGCCUUAGGGGUCUUUAUAUAGGUGUAUAGAUUAGGGUUUCAGUCCUUAUCCUUUUCUAGUUGCUUGCCCAUAUCUUUGGACGAUUCCAAGGAUACAAAUCCUUUAAGAUUUUGUCCAACCCAUAUUCAGAUAAUCCUUACCCUACUUUGUAACUAUCACAUAAAUACAAUUCAGCCCCUCUAGUUUAGUUAACUACAUUUUAUCACAAAAUUAAUUCUUAAUUAAUUAUUGACCAAUAUUAAUUAACCAAAUAUGAUUUCUCCUUUAAUAUAUUAUUCUUAUAAAAUGUUAAUAAAUCAUAAUAACCUCUUUCUCUAUUAUUUCUCCGGUGAAGUUGCGUUGGUCAAGGCAACCCAAAAGGACCAUGCACAAUCGUGUCAAAUACUUACCAAUUAUGGUUACAGGCUUAGAUACUAAUCCAACACCUAUAUACCAUGGGUUUAGUUUGCCUCGCCUACCGAAUUGAAUAAUACCUUUCCAAGGAGAGACCUUCAACAUUACUUUAUCUCCAACUUGGAAUUCUAAAGGCUUAUGUCACACCCCAAAACCACGAACGGCGGAAACGUUCAGUGGUGGAGGACGUCAUGUAGAGUAUCACAACAGUGUAAAAUAGUAAACCAGCAACAACAUCAUCUAUUGCAUUAAAAGUAAAGUUUUAAUACAUGUGUGUUAUUUCAUAAUGUACAACAAUAAUAUGAAUAAUCAAAAUAAGGCGAGUCUUGUCUGUGCUCCAUCUUCUCAAAAAUCUGGCCAUCGCACCUGUCUAACUGAUGACCUGAGAAUACAAGUUAUUUUGAAAGCGAGUAUCAGCUUUAAAGCUGGUGAAUUCAUAAGUAAUUAAGUGUCAUUGUCUUGCUUAUGAAAAUCUGUUAUGCAGGACAGGUAAGCCGUUAAAUGAAAUUGUUGAUGUAAGUGUGAAAACCCUAGAAAAUCCCUUAUUUCCUAUAAGUAUGAAAUGUAGUCUUCAACCAAGUCUCGAAUGUUUUGUUAUGACAAUGUAGUCUUCUACCAAGACCCGAAUGUUUUGUUAUGAUAAUGUAGUCUUCUACCAAGACCCGAACGUUUUGUAAGUAAAAUGAUAGCUUAUCCUUUCUAUUGACUAAUACUAAAAGUACUUAGUCUAACUCAUCGUUUAUGUGAAAGUAUCACAAAAUAAACUAAACAGGAAAAAGUACUAACGUAAGUGUUAUCCCGAGGUAUUAGGGCUAACAUGCCAUCGUGUAAAGUGAAACGUAUAACCUAUCACAAAAUAAAGUAAAUAGGAAGAAGUACUAAUGUAAGUGUUAUCCCGAAGUACUAGGGCUAACACGACGUAUGUAAAUGUUAUCCCGAGGUACUAGGGCUAACACCACACACACACAUAUANAUAUAUAUAUAUAUAUAUACAUAACCUAAUGAACAUUCGAAGAUUGUCCAAUUGUCCUCUGUAGCAGCAACAGGGCGGAGGAAGGGUUAGUCCCGUAAAGGUACUCCUAGUAUAAGUAAUAACCGUAGGUAUCCGUAGAUGUUCAUUACCCACUGUUGCUAAAAGAUGGGUUCCAGAAUGGUUAGUCCCGUCCAUAUAUCCCGAGGUCCUAGGGAUAGGGCCCGUCUAGGUACCCCGAGGUACUAGGGAUAGGGUCCUGUCUAGAUAUCCCGAGGUACUAGGGAUAUGCAGGAAGAUUUACACAGAAGGUACUAAUAAAUCAUCCUCGUAGUGAGUAAAUACAGGAUAAUGCCUCUAUGUAAAAGUGUUCAUGUAUGGCAUUCAUGUAAGUGUGUUCAUGUAACAGGUAAGUAUAUGUAAACAUAUUCAUGUAUCAUGUAAUCCUAAGUAAGUAUACUCAUGUAUCAUGUAAGGUAUUUGUAUAGACUCAUGAAUGAACUAACUCUUGUGUGAUUCCUUGUAGUAGUAAUAAUGUUUGAUAUCUUCUAACUAUACCUAUGAUAGUUAACUGCAAGGUAAUUGGUUGUUUACGUAAGUUUAUGCACUCUUGCUACCCAAGAGUAUUGGAAACUAAUAUGAAGGGUGAAAACUAGAAUCUCUAACAUAUAUAUGAACAUAUGCGCAUAAGUAUAGUUUGAUUCAAGAAGGUAAAAUAAUGCUUUUGCAAGAUAUCUAGGAGUUUUUGUAACAGCCCGGAAUUUCAGGUAUUUCUUUAAAUUAUUUUUGGGGCACAUUUAGGAGGGGACUCGGCGAGUUGGUGCAUGACUCGCCGAGUAGGGCCAUGGUCUUGGUCGCAGACGCGCGACUGGACUCGACGAGUCCAAAAAGGGACUCGGCGAGUCGACGCUGUUCAGCUGAACCCUAGCCGUUUCGAUUCUGCACCGUAUAUAAUGGUAUUAUAGCCGUCAUGUCGUGUUUUUUUGGCCGAUUGAAGAUCCCCUGGGAGUGUGUGAGCAUUUGAAGCAAGAGAGAGGACUUGAGAAGGCUUGAAGAGAUUGUUAGACAAGGAGGAGCAAGGUGGUGAUCAAAGGAAUUGAGUAUUGGAGGUUUGGAGACACAGGAAACACGUUUCCAGGUAAUUUUCGGAUUGAAAUCUGUAACUUUUACGUUGAAUGCGAGUUUAGGGUUUAGGAAACCCAAUUAAGGGUUAGUUAGAUUAUAUUGUUGUUAUAAGUGUUUAAAAACCCCUGUAAUAGUAUAUGUGAAAGUCCAGGAAGCCCUAUAUCUAUAUACUUCGAAAUCAUGCGAAAUACAGGAGGCAGCGGGUUGACUGCAUGGCGGGGACUCGCCGAGUCCAAUGAUCAGACUCGGCGAGUAGCUUGAAGAUUCACUAGAACUCGCCGAGUUGUUCUUCAGACUCGGCGAGUAGCUUGAAGGUUCACUAGGACUCGUCGAGUUGUUCUUCCGACUCGGCGAGUAGCUUGAAGAUCUACUGGAACUCGUCGAGUCGUUCUUCGGACUCGGCGAGUGGUGUCAGGAUGUCUAUACUCGUCGAGUUACCCUUUGUACUCGACGAGUCCGGUCAAGAUUGACCGUUGACCUGUAUAUAUCUUAGAGGGGUCAGUUGUCUUGUUUGAUAAGAUCAUUAACUAGGGCUGUGGUAUUAUAGGGAACCUGCGGACUAGCGGAUUGUGUGCGAGUAGCUCGAGGAGGUUAUAGCCUGCGUACUACGAGGUGAGUCUUCUCACUAUACUUCACCCGGAAGGGUUUGACUGUUAGACCGGAAGGUCGCGUGUGUUAUAUUCAUGCUAUGUCUAGAGAGAUAGAUGCUUUAUAUGCGAUGUGUGCUUAUAUGUGAUGUAUGAUUAUACGGGCCGGAAGGCGAGACUUUAUGUGUUAGAAAGAACGGUAUGAUAUAUGUGCUUUAUGUGUUAGAGUAUUUGUGUUAUGUGUUAUAUAUGUGUAUGGGCCGGAAGGCAAUUAUCUUGUGGAUCGAAAGAUCCGGGCCGGAAGGCAAUGUUAUGUGGAUCGAAAGAUCCGGGCCGGAAGGCAAUGUUAUGUGGACCGAAAGGUCCGGGCCGGAAGGCAAUAUUAUGUGGACCGAAAGGUCCGGGCCGGAAGGCGUAUGUGGGUAAGUCGUAUACUGGGGAACUCACUAAGCAUUUAUGCUUACUAGUUGUGUUUAUGUUUUUCAGGUACUAGUGAUGACCGUGGGAAGGCGCCGGCGUGACACGUACACACUGCCACUGUUGGAGAUCCUGGAGAUUUAUUAUUUUUAUUUUGAAAUAAACUUGGAAUAAACCCUUUUGUCGAAUAAUGAUGUUUUAUUUUUAACGAAAAAUUUAUUUGAAAAUUUGAGCUGUUACAAUUGGUAUCAGAGCCUUGGUUUGAGGGAUUCGGGUGUACUUUUGGGUGCAACUGAACUCAGACCGGGGAUUUGAGGAAAAACUUUUUCUUAAAAAUAAUAAGGACAUAACAUUUUAUAAAGGGCAAGGCGGUAAAAACAAGGGUGGAACAGUGUGUACGAGCAGCCAGCGUCCGAACGGUAAAGAUCCCCAGAAUACCUUACGAUGUUAUGUUAUGCACUGAAUUAUGAAUUGUUAUGCAUGCUAGAAGACUAGGUAUACAUGAUAGGAAUAGAAUUGCCUGUUUUGUGAUGCCUUAGUCUAGGGAGAUUGCUUAUAUGAGAUAUUUGGUAGCGUGCAAGUAAAUAGUACAUACUAGAAGUAGAGUACCCGUUAUUCGGGAUUUGGGGAGGAAGAUUUGGGACGAAUACUGAUACGGUGUGGUCGGUAGUAUUGGGCCCGUACUACCGAAGGCACCGGAUCAGUGGAAGACUCAAAUAAGAAUCCCUGGAAAUCGGAGACUGGGUAGGGCGCGUAUUGAGUACAAUUGUACUUGGUGGAGUCUCUGAUGAUUUUAUGUUGUAUUUCAGAGACAUCAUGGUUAUCACACGCAAUGGGGCGAGUUCGAGCGGUGCGAGUGACGAGGAGAUUCGUCAGAUUAUUCAGGAAGAGGUAGCUGCGGCGGUCCGGGCUGAGAUCCCGGAGAUGUUUGGGUCUAUUAAGACCACGUUGAUGGAGGAGUUUGAGGAGCGGUGCGCCGCAAUUUCUGAAGCUGCAGUUGCUGCCGCUACCGCAGCGGUGGCUGCUGCCAGGCCGCAAGGGGGUGAUUCAUUACCAUUCAGGGAAUUCAGCAACACGAAACCCCCUGAAUUUGAUGGGACGCAGGAUCCGAUUGCAGCUAUGAGGUGGAUCGCCGACAUCGAGGGGUGUUUCUAUACUUGCUCAUGCCCGGAGCACUUGAGGGUACGGUUCGCCUUGAACCAGCUCCGUCUGGGAGCGAAGGAUUGGUGGAAGUUCGUGACAGCGAACUUCACUCAGGCAGAGAUUUCGGCGGUGACAUGGGAGAGGUUUACAGAGAUGUUCAGGGAUGAGUACGUUCCCCCGGUAGAGAGGGAGCGAUUGAUUCAGGAGUUCUUGACCCUUAAGCAGGGUACUGAUUCCGUGGCAGUGAUCACACGGAAGUUUCAUGAGAGGGCAAUGUUCUGCCCCGAGCUGGUAUCUACGGAGCAGUCGCGGAUGAGCCGCUAUUUGGGUGUUUUGAAGAGGGAGAUUCGGGAGUUUGUGUCAAACUCCACCUAUCGUACUUUCACUGAGCUUCAGGCGAACGCCAGGAAGCGCGAGAUUGAGUUGGAGACUCAAGCGAGGGAGGAGGCUGAGUCUCGGCAGGUGGAUCGACGGCCGGCCCAGUCUCAGCCGGCAGCCAAGCGGAUUAAGUUCGCUGAUUCGAGGAUGGGAGGUUCGAAGGGUCGCACUUGCGCGAAGUGCGGCAAAAGUCACGAGGGGGCGUGUCGAACUGGUGGUUGCUACAAGUGUGGCAAGGACGGACAUAUUGCCAGGGAUUGCCCUAAGGGGUUUAUGGUUUGUUUUCACUGCAACCAGACAGGCCAUCGGAAGGCCGAGUGCCCGCAACUUCGUCAGGGAGCUACACCUACUACCCGGACUACUGAGACCCGACCGGUGAAGGUCGAGGCCCCGAGGGCUCGCGGGAGAGCCUUUCAGCUGACUGCGGAGGAGGUCCGCGCUGCGCCCGAUGUUGUGGCAGGUAUGUUAUCUUUCAUGUAUUUAAUUAAAGGUCGAAAUGUUAUGCUUAUGUUAAUAUAUGUGUAGGUACUUUCCUUGUGAACUCUAUGCCUGCUCUAGUAUUAUUUGAUUCGGGUGCGAGUAGAUCGUUUGUAUCGUUAGCUUUUAGUCAGCACAUCGGCAUUAGUCGUGAGCCGUUAAGUCGGCCUUUGAGCGUUUCCAUUGCGGCUGAGAGGGUGAUUUGUGCUACGGAGGUUUUUCGGGGAUGUGUGCUAGAGAUCUUCGGGGUCGCAUUUCCGAUUGACCUAAUUCCUAUUGCGAUGGGUGAUGUCUGUGUCAUUGUAGGCAUGGACUGGUUGAGCCGAUUCAGCGCUGUCAUCGACUGCGAGCGUCAGUUGGUGACUAUACGAGACCCUAGUGGGGGAGUUCUUACGGUGUACGGCGAGGGUACCCGUUCGAGAUCAGCUUUUUGUUCGGCUGCUAGGGCGAGGCAAUGCCUACAGCGGGGAUGUAACGGUUUUGUGGCGUAUGUGAUGGAUACGCGGGAGAGUUCCGAGAGACCGAAGACAUUGAAGGAGGUUCCAGUGGUGCGCGAGUUUCCAGAUGUUUUCCCCGAGGAUUUGCCGGGAAUACCUCCUGCGAGGCAAGUGGAGUUUGGUAUCGACCUAGUUCCAGGGGCGGCGCCUAUUGCGAAGGUGCCUUAUCGUCUUGCACCUCCAGAGAUGCAAGAAUUGUCCUCGCAACUUCAAGAGUUGUUGGGGAAGGGAUUUAUUCGGCCGAGUAGCUCGCCGUGGGGAGCACCGAUUCUGUUCGUCAAGAAGAAGGAUGGUUCACACCGGAUGUGUAUCGAUUACCGGGAACUGAACAAGGUGACAGUUAAGAACCGCUAUCCGUUACCAAGAAUCGAUGAUCUAUUCGAUCAGUUGCAAGGGGCAUCUUGGUUUUCCAAGAUUGAUUUGAGAUCAGGGUACCAUCAGGUAAGGGUGCGGGAUGAGGACGUCCAGAAGACAGCCUUUAGGACGCGGUAUGGGCAUUACGAGUUCGUGGUGAUGCCUUUUGGGCUCACCAAUGCCCCAGCAGUGUUCAUGGAUCUCAUGAACAGGGUAUGCAGGCCGAUGCUGGAUCGGUCUGUGAUUGUAUUCAUCGACGACAUUCUGGUGUAUUCGCGGUCUAGGGAGCAGCAUGAGGGACAUUUGAGGGAGGUCCUUGAGGUACUGAGGUCGGAGAAGCUAUAUGCAAAAUUCUCCAAAUGUGACUUCUGGUUACGGGAGGUUCAAUUUCUGGGGCACGUUGUAAAUCAGGCAGGGAUAUUGGUCGAUCCGGCCAAGGUGGAGGCGGUGAUGAGAUGGGAGGCACCAAAGUCACCUUCGGAGAUCAGGAGUUUCCUUGGGUUGGCAGGGUACUAUCGAAGGUUCAUUAGGGACUUCUCCAAGAUCGCAGUGCCACUUACCAAAUUGACCCGAAAGGGUGUUACAUUCUCAUGGGGACCCGAGCAGCAGACUUCCUUCGAGACACUUCGUCAGAGACUGUGCGAAGCACCAGUAUUAGCCCUUCCUGAAGGGAUGGAGGACUUCGUCGUAUAUUGCGACGCAUCGAUUUCAGGACUGGGUGCAGUGUUGAUGCAGAGGGGCCAUGUGAUAGCCUAUGCAUCGAGGCAGCUGAAGCCUCACGAAGCGAGAUAUCCCACGCAUGACUUAGAGUUGGGGGCAGUAGUGUUCGCCCUCAAAAUUUGGCGUCACUACCUGUACGGGGUUCGUUGUACCAUAUACACGGACCAUAAGAGUUUGAAGUAUUUGAUGGAUCAACCCAACCUAAACAUGCGCCAGAGGAGAUGGUUAGACGUGGUUAAGGAUUAUGACUGUGAGAUCCUAUACCACCCAGGCAAGGCUAAUGUGGUAGCCGAUGCAUUGAGUCGUAGGGCGGAGGGUACUCCAUUGCGGGACGUAUGUUUGAGAUUGACGGUGGUGACUCCGGUAUUAGAUACUAUUCGUGGGGCACAGGCCGAGGUUGUGAAGUCUGGGAUGCAGAAACAGGAGCGGGUCGUCGGGUUAAUUUCAGAGUUCGUUACGGAUGGGCGGGGACUUCUGACAUUUCAGGGUCGGAUCUGGGUGCCAUUCGUGGGCGGUACGCGUGUCAUUUUGAUGGAGGAGGCACAUAGAUCGAAAUUCUCGAUCCAUCCCGGUGCUACGAAAAUGUAUCUGGAUUUGAAAAAGGAGUACUGGUGGCCUUGCAUGAAGAGAGACGUUGCUUGGUUCGUGGAGAGGUGUUUGACCUGCCGUAAAGUUAAGGCCGAGCACCAGAGACCGCACGGUAAGUUGCAACCCUUGGAGAUCCCUGAGUGGAAGUGGGAUCAGAUCACGAUGGAUUUCAUCACCAAAUUGCCGAAAACUGCCAGGGGAGUCGAUGCGAUUUGGGUGAUUGUGGAUAGACUAACAAAGAGUGCACAUUUCCUUGCCAUUAGUGAAAGUUCAUCAGCAGAGAAGUUGGCGGAGUUGUACGUGAGAGAGAUAGUAUCUCGGCAUGGAGUGCCGACCUCGAUUGUUUCGGACCGCGAUGUACGUUUCACUUCCAGGUUCUGGAAGAAAUUCCAUGAGGAGUUGGGUACUAAACUGCAUUUUAGUACCGCAUACCAUCCCCAGACCGACGGUCAAAGCGAGCGGACGAUCCAGACAUUGGAAGAUAUGCUUAGAGCGUGUGUGUUAGACUUCGGGGGUAGCUGGGAUGCGCAUCUGCCGCUGGCUGAGUUUUCCUACAACAACAGCCAUCAUUCGAGCAUUGGUAUGCCACCUUUUGAGUUGUUGUAUGGUAGGAGGUGUCGGACUCCCAUUUGCUGGGGAGAAGUGGGACAGAGAGUGAUGGGCAGUACAGAGAUCGUACUUCAAACGACUGAACAGAUCCAACGGGUGAGGCAGAGGUUAUUGACCGCCCAGAGCCGACAGAAGAGUUAUGCGGACAGACGCCGGUCCGAGCUCGAAUUCCAGGUCGGCGACUUCGUUCUCCUAAAGGUUUCUCCUUGGAAAGGGGUGAUUCGGUUCAGGAAGAGGGGCAAAUUGGGGCCCCGGUUCAUAGGUCCAUUUCGGGUAAUUGCAAGGGUAGGUCGGGUAGCUUAUCGGUUGGAGUUGCCAGCGGAGCUGAAUCAGAUUCACAAUACCUUCCACGUAUCGCAGCUGAGGAAGUGUAUAGCCGAUGAGGCAGCAGUGGUUCCGCUAGAAGAUAUCCAGGUAGAUGCGAGUCUGAAUUACGCCGAGAGACCAGUAGCUAUCAGGGAUCGGAAGAUCAAGGUUCUACGGAACAAGGAAAUACCUCUGGUGUUGGUUCAGUGGCAACAUCGGAAAGGAUCGGAGAUGACUUGGGAGCCGGAAAGAGAAAUGCGGGAGCAACAUCCGGAGUUAUUCGCAGAAUGAGAGACUUCGAGGGCGAAGUCUAGUUCUAGUGGGGGAGAGUUGUAACAGCCCGGAAUUUCAGGUAUUUCUUUAAAUUAUUUUUGGGGCACAUUUAGGAGGGGACUCGGCGAGUUGGUGCAUGACUCGCCGAGUAGGGCCAUGGUCUUGGUCGCAGACGCGCGACUGGACUCGACGAGUCCAAUAAGGGACUCGGCGAGUCGACGCUGUUCAGCUGAACCCUAGCCGUUUCGAUUCUGAACCGUAUAUAAUGAUAUUAUGGCCGUCAUGUCGUGUCUUUUGGCCGAUUGAAGAUCCCCUGGGAGUGUGUGAGCAUCUGAAGCAAGAGAGAGGACUUGAGAAGGCUUGAAGAGAUUGUUAGACAAGGAGGAGCAAGGUGGUGAUCAAAGGAAUCGAGUACUGGAGGUUUGGAGACACAGGAAACACGUUUCCAGGUAAUUUUCGGAUCGAAAUCUGUAACUUUUACGUUGUAUGCGAGUUUAGGGUUUAGGAAACCCAAUUAAGGGUUAGUUAGAUUAUAUUGUUGUUAUAAGUGUUAAAAACCCCUGUAAUAGUAUAUGUGAAAGUCCAGGAAGCCCUAUAUCUAUAUACUUCGAAAUCAUGCGAAAUACAGGAGGCAGCGGAUUGACUGCAUGGCGAGGACUCGCCGAGUCCAAUGAUCAGACUCGGCGAGUAGCUUGAAGAUUCACUAGAACUCGCCGAGUUGUUCUUCAGACUCGGCGAGUAGCUUGAAGGUUCACUAGGACUCGUCGAGUUGUUCUUCCGACUCGGCGAGUAGCUUGAAGAUCUACUGGAACUCGUCGAGUCGUUCUUCGGACUCGGCGAGUGGUGUCAGGAUGUCUAUACUCGUCGAGUUACCCUUUGUACUCGACGAGUCCGGUCAAGAUUGACCGUUGACCUGUAUAUAUCUUAGAGGGGUCAGUUGUCUUGUUUGAUAAGAUCAUUAACUAGGGCUGUGGUAUUAUAGGGAACCUGCGGACUAGCGGAUUGUGUGCGAGUAGCUCGAGGAGGUUAUAGCCUGCGUACUACGAGGUGAGUCUUCUCACUAUACUUCACCCGGAAGGGUUUGACUGUUAGACCGGAAGGUCGCGUGUGUUAUAUUCAUGCUAUGUCUAGAGAGAUAGAUGCUUUAUAUGCGAUGUGUGCUUAUAUGUGAUGUAUGAUUAUACGGGCCGGAAGGCGAGACUUUAUGUGUUAGAAAGAACGGUAUGAUAUAUGUGCUUUAUGUGUUAGAGUAUUUGUGUUAUGUGUUAUAUAUGUGUAUGGGCCGGAAGGCAAUUAUCUUGUGGAUCGAAAGAUCCGGGCCGGAAGGCAAUGUUAUGUGGAUCGAAAGAUCCGGGCCGGAAGGCAAUGUUAUGUGGACCGAAAGGUCCGGGCCGGAAGGCAAUAUUAUGUGGACCGAAAGGUCCGGGCCGGAAGGCGUAUGUGGGUAAGUCGUAUACUGGGGAACUCACUAAGCAUUUAUGCUUACUAGUUGUGUUUAUGUUUUUCAGGUACUAGUGAUGACCGUGGGAAGGCGCCGGCGUGACACGUACACACUGCCACUGUUGGAGAUCCUGGAGAUUUAUUAUUUUUAUUUUGAAAUAAACUUGGAAUAAACCCUUUUGUCGAAUAAUGAUGUUUUAUUUUUAACGAAAAAUUUAUUUGAAAAGUUGAGUUGUUGGAGUUUUGAACAAUAAUUAAGAAUGACUUGAUGUCAUUUUAAUAAACAUUUCAAAACUAAUACUUUUGUUAUCAAGGUAUUAUAAGAUAGAAAACCACUUCAUGUGUCACCUUUAGAAAUAUGUGAAAUCUACUGAGUGAAAACACAGUUAUAAAAUACAUAAGAUUGAUUUAAAAUCAUUUAAAACACUGAUUAAAGGGUAUGAACUCCCCUGUAGUUGGUGAUUAGGAUGAACUGAACGGUAUAGGAUUGCUAGAUGUCAAGCGAGGACUUGUACAUAGACUACGAUCCUAAUGAACAUAUAAUCACACAUAUAUGCACUCAAUAAGUCUCAAAUCACUAAUUGAUAAUGUUAAGACAUCCUAGACAUAAUAAACACUUUUUAUAAGUGUUUUAAGCCCUAAGGAUUUCAUCUAAGCUAAUGUGGGACAAGGCCCUUGUGUUUAGGGUUCCAAAGGACCCCAUAUAUGAGUUUGCUCCUCAUAUACUAACACACAUGGAGUUUACGGUUGUAAACUCUUGAGUUUACGGCCAUAAACUCCCAACCAUGGGGGUAUGGUGUGUUUUGAAGUUCCAAAUGAUUCCUAGAUUUAUUCCAACUUGGUGGUUAAAUUCUUGGUAGGGUUUAAGGUCUAGAAACACUCCUUAGAGGAGUUUACGACCCUAAGGUCAUUUCCUUUGGAGUUUACGGCCGUAAACUCCCUUGGAAUGGUGUUCUUGAUGUUUUCAAGCCUCAAGCAUAGGUGGUAUAAGUUCUAGGCUUUUAUUCCAAGCAUAUGAAGACAUUAGGCACACUUUGGUGCCCUUCUUUCAUGUUUACGGCCGAAGAACCAAGUCUUGGCCAUAAAUUCACUUUGAUAGGUGAUUCUUAUGUGUUUAAGGCUCUUGAUUUAUUGGGAACAAGUCUAGGUAAAAGUCUAAAGCUUUAGGUGCCUUAAAAGCACCAUUUUGAGCUUGAAUUUGGAGUUUACGACCUAAGAAACUCUUGGGUCGUGAACUCCCAAACAUGGGUGGUUUUUGCUUGAUUUCAUGUCCCUAACACACUUAUAAAGCUUUCUAAGGAAGUAGCAUCACACAAGGGUCGGCCUAGGUUUCGUUUCGGGAGUUUACCGCCCAAGAACACCUUGGGGAGUAAACUCCUAAAUGUAGUGAUUUAGCCUUCUAAAUCAUGUUAUUAACACAUAUAAAGCUUUCUAUAACUACUAGAAAGAGGUACUCACGAUUCGGGAUAAAAACCCGAAGAUCCGUGAGAGAGAAAAUGGCUUUUCUCAAGUUGGAAAUGCCAAUAAUGAAUGAAUUUGGUUCAGAAUUCUAUUUAUAGUCCUGAGAUAUUUUUGGCAGAAAAUAUUUUUAUUCCUGAAAUGAUUUCUAUUAGAACAAUGUUCUAUCAGGAUUGUAUGAUUCUAAGCAAAAUAUAAAUAAGAACGUAGUAAUGAACACAAGUAUUGCACUGAAUAUGUCGAAUGAUUAAUGCAAAGAUACCCCAGAUGAGCUGGAUAAAGAGCUUCAAUCUGUAGAGGUAUUAUAGGGUUACAAGAAACAACGUAAUCGACUAUUCUAUUUUAUUCGCAUACAUGCAUGCAUAUAUUUAUAUUAAAAUCCUAAGAACUUAUCUAGAUAAAAGGAAACUAUUCUAGAUAACUACGGAUGGACAAGCCUAAUCCGAUUACAAAAUCAAAAGGCCCAAGACGCAACACUAAAAUACUCAACAAUCUCCCCUUUUUACUACAGAGGACUUUUUCACAGUUUCAAAUAUCCUUGGUAUAAUGGCCAGAAUAUGGUGUCUAAACGUUAUGUACCACCGAAGCAUAUAUGUGAAGUUCUUUUUAUCCGCUGUUGAGUUGUCCUUGCAUCGAUGAAUGAUAUUGAUUAUAUGCUCCAGACAAUCUGUUGAAAACAGAUGCUUGUCAACCAAUGCAAACAAAAACUUGGACUUCUCAGCCUUCGUGAACAUGAAAGUCAAAUUUGUUGAAUCAAUCUGCCCUAACUUCAUCUGAUUCACAUCAUCGGGCUUAGACGUUGGCUUGACUGACGGUUUCUUGUUCAUCACCUUUGCUAUCUACUGAUCCAUAGUGGCAAGCUCAUGGACAUAAGAGGCCAACAUUCUUUUUAGAUGUUUUAGAAUCGGCUCAUACUCCCUUUGAUUUGAGAGCAGAAUGUAGUAUAGCAGAAUCCAAUCAUAUGGAUUAAGGUUGGGAAGAUCUUCCAGAGAAAUUAAAUAUUCCGUAUUUGUUGUGCCACAGUUUAUCUUGAAGUUUACAUUCACAAACCUCCUAGUAGGUGACGGUUUCAGUACCUUGACUUUUGUAAUUUUCUGUGCACUCCAAGUCAAGUACUGUGGUUGACCAUUCUUCAAAUAAAAAUCGACUAACUCUCUGUCAACCUUCAGAUUCUACCAAGACCCGAAUGUUUUGAAAGUAAAAUGAUAGCUUUUCCUUUCUAUUGACUAAUACUAAAAGUACUUAGUCUAACUCAUCGUUUAUGUGAAAGUAUCACAAAAUAAAGUAAACAGGAAAAAGUACUAACGUAACUGUUAUUCCGAGGUACUAGGGCUAACAUGCCGUCGCGUAAAGCGAAACGUAUAACCUAUCACAAAAUAAUGUAAAUAGGAAGAAGUACUAAUGUAAGUGUUAUCCCGAAGUACUAGGGCUAACACGACAUAUAUAUAUAUAACCUAAUGAACAUCCGAAGAUUGUCCAAUAGUCCUCUGUAGCAGCAGCAGGGCGGAGGAAGGGUUAGUCCCGUAAAGGUACUCCUAGUAUAAGUAAUAACCGUAGGCAUCCCUAGAUGUUCAUCACCCACUGUUGCUAACAGAUGGGUUACGGAAUGGUUAAUCCCGUCCAUAUAUCCCGAGGUACGAGGGAUAGGGGCCGUCUAGGUAUCCUGAGGUACUAGGGAUAGGGUCCUGUCUAGAUAUCCCAAAGUACUAGGGAUAUGCAGGAAGAUUUACACAGAAGGUACUAAUAAAUCAUCCUCGUAGUUCUAAGUACAAGUAUCCAGGUGAGUAAAUACAGGAUAAUGCACCUAUGUAAAAGUGUUCCUGUAUGGCAUUCGUGUAAGUGUGUUCAUGUAACAGGUAAGUAUAUGUAAACAUAUUCAUGUAUCAUGUAAUCCUAAGUAAGUGUACUCAUGUAUCAUGUAAGGUAUUUGUAUAGACUCAUGAAUGAACUAACUCUUGUGUGAUUCCUUGUAGUAGUGAUAAUGUUUGAUAUCUUCUAACUAUACCUAUGAUAGUUAACUGAAAGGUAAUUGGUUGUUUACGUAAGUUUAUGCACUCUGGCUACCCAAGAGUAUUGGAAACUAAUAUGAAGGGUGAAAACUAGAAUCUCUAACAUAUAUAUGAACAUAUGCGCAUAAGUAUAGUUUGAUUCAAGAAGGUAAAAUAAUACUUUUGCAAGAUAUCUAGGAGUUCUGAACAAUAAUUAAGAAUGACCUGAUGUCAGUUUAAUAAACAUUUCAAAACUAAUACUUUUGUUAUCAAGGUAUUUUAAGAUAGAAAACCACUUCAUGUGUCACCUUUAGAAAUAUGUGAAAUCUACUGAGUGAAAACACACUUAUAAAAUACAUAAGGUUGAUUUAAUAACAUACUGUUUUCUANCCCCCCCCCAUUAAAACGUUUAAAAUCAUUUAAAACCCUGAUUAAGGGGUAUGAACUCACCUAUAGUUGGUGAUUGGGAUGAACCGAACGAUAUAGGAUUACUAGAUGUCAAGCGAGGACUUGUACACACACUACGAUCCUAAUGAACAUAUAAUCACACAUAUAUGCACUCAAUAAGUCUCAAAUCACUAAUUGAUUAUGUUAAGACAUCCUAGACAUAAUAAACACUUUUUAUAAGCGUUUUAAGCCCUAAGGAUUUCAUCUAAGCUAAUGUGGGACAAGGCACUUGUGUUUAAGGUUCCAAAGGACCCCAUAUAUGAGUUUGCUCCUCAUAUACUAACACACAUGGAGUUUAUGGUUGUAAACUCUUGCGUUUACGGCCGUAAACUCCCAACAAUGGGGGUAUCGUGUGUUUUGAAGUUCCAAAUGAUUCCUAGAUUUAUUGCAACUUGGUGGUUAAAUUCUUGGAAGGGUUUAAGGUCUAGAAACACUCCUUAGAGGAGUUUACGGCCCUAAGGUCAUCUCCUUUGGAGUUUACGGCCGUAAACUACCUUGGAAUGGUGUUCUUGUUGUUUUCAAGCCUCACGCAUAGGUGGUAUAAGUUCUAGGCUUUUAUUCCAAGCAUAUGAAGACAUUAGGCACACUUUGGCGCCCUUCUUUCAUGUUUACGGCCCAAGAACCAAGUCUUGGCCAUAAACUCACUUUGAUAGGUGAUUCUUAUGUGUUUAAGGCUCUUGAUUUAUUGGGAACAAGUCUAGGUAAAAGUCUAAAGCUUUAGGUGCCUUAAAAGCACCAUUUUGAGUUUGAAAUUGGAGUUUACGGCCUAAGAAACUCUUGGGCCGUGAACUCCCAAACUUGGGUGUUUUUUGCUUGAUUUCAUGUCCCUAACACACAUAUAAAUGAGUCUAAGGCAGUAGCAUAACACAAGGGUCGGUCUAGGCUUUGUUUCGGGAGUUUACCGCCCAAGAACACCUUGGGGAGUAAACUCCAAAAUCUAGUGAUUUAGCCUUCUAAAUCAUGUUAUUAACACAUAUAAAGCUUUCUAACACUACUAGAAAGAGGUACUCACGAUUCGGGAUAAAAACCCGAUGAUCCGUGAGAGAGAAAAUGGCUUUUCUUAAGUUGGAAAUGCGAAUAAUGAAUGAAUUUGGUUCAGAAUUCUAUUUAUAGUCUUGAGAUAUUUUUAGCAGAAAAUAUUUUUAUUCCUGAAAUGAUUUCUAUUAGAACAAUGUUCUAUCAGGAUUGUAUGAUUCUAAGCAAAAUAUAAAUAAGAAUGUAGUAAUGAACACAAGUAUUGCACUGAAUAUGUCGAAUGAUUAAUGCAAAGAUACCCCAGAUGAGCUGGAUAAAGAGCUUCAAUUUGUAGAGGUAUUAUAGGGUUACAAGAAACAACGUAAUCGACUAUUCUAUUUUAUACGCUUACAUGCAUGCAUAUAUUUAUAUUAAAACCCUAACAACUUAUCUAGAUAAAAGGAAACUAUUCUAGAUAACUACGGAUGGACAAGCCUAAUCCAAUUACAAAAUCAAAAGGCCCAAGACGCAACACUAAAAUACUCAACAAUCUCCCCCUUUGCAUCCUUGGAGCAGAAACUUCAUCCCCUUUUCACUACAGAGGACUUUUUCACGGUUUCAAAUAUCCUUGGUAUAAUGGCCAGAAUAUGGUGUCUAAACGUUAUCUACCACCGAAGCAUAUAUGUGAAGUUCUUUUUAUCCGUUGCUGAGUUGUCCUUGCAUCGAUGAAUGAUAUUGAUUAUAUGCUGCAGAUAAUCUGUUGAAAACAGAUGCUUAUCAACCAAUGCAAACAAAAACUUGAACUUCUCACCCUUCAUGAACAUGACAGUCAAAUUUGUUGAAUCAAUCUGCCCUAACUUCAUCCGAUUCACAUCACCGGGCUUAGACGUUGGCUUGACUGACGGUUUUUUGUUCAUCACCUUUGCUAUCUCCUGAUCCAUAGUGGCAAGCUCAUGGACAUAGGAGGCCAACAUUAUUUUUAGAUGUUUUAGAAUCGGCUCAUACUCCCUUUGAUUUGAGAGCAGAAUGUAGUAUAGGAGAAUCCAAUCAUAUGGAUUAAGGUUGGGAAGAUCUUCCAGAGAAAUUAAAUAUUCCGUAUUUGCUGUACCACGGUUGAUCUUGAAGUUUACAUUCACAAACCUCCCAGUAGGUGACGGUUUCAGUACCUUGACUUUUGUAAUUUUCUGUGCACUCCAAGUCAAGUACUGUGGUUGACCAUUCUUCAAAUAAAAAUCUACUAACUCUCUGUCAACCUUCGGAUUCGGAUGAGGAACCUCAGCAGUUACAUCGAAACAAUGAAAGGUAAAUGUUUUUCUUGUGAUUGGCAUGUCGAACUGCGAGUCCUUUGAAUUAUCACAAUCAAACGAAGCAAUCAGUUCCAACCAGUACAUAGCAGGAAACUCAAUCGCAUGAUUGAUGAGUGUAUCUCUGUCCCAUUCUAGAAACAGAGUCUUCUUGCAUUGCAAGACAUCCUCCUCUUCCUUAUUCUUUGCCUCUUGUGCCACCUUCAUCGGUUCAUCGAGCUCUUUGUUCCUCUUCUUUCUUUUAAGGGCUUCAGCGAUAGUCUUUUCAGUAUCACUAUCACUAUCAACUUGAACUUGCUUUCCAGAAACCGAAGCUAAAUUAUCCUUCAGUUCUGUUUUAUCUUUCAGAUUUGCACUCUCUUCUCUCCCUUGUUUCGGAAGAACGACCUUCUCCGAGACACCCUUCAUCUCACUGAGAAUGGUAAUUGCAGGAAGGAGUUUGGACUGAAGAUGCUUCCGGAUGGUUAAGGUCAAUAAGGGAUGAUGAACGUCAAGAAGAGUAGUCAAGAUAUUCUUCACAUCACCAGCACAACUUUGAUAAACUGCCCUUUGAGUCUUUAACAUAUAGAUCUCUUUUUCUGCCUGAGCCAGUUGAACUUUUUGGAGAUCAAUUAUGGCUUGGUGUUUUAUCAGGUCCUCCUUCAAUGUACUUUCUGCAGAAAGAGAAGCAAAACGAGAAUCCAGAGAUUGGAGAAAAGAUGUGGAUUGUGUUUUGAGAUCAGUACGAAGGGCUUCAAAUUUUGUGGUUUCAUCCUGAAGAGUUUUAGAGAAGGAGUCCACCGAAGCUUGAUAUUUGGCCGCAUUUGUGUCAGUAUGAGCUUUCAGAGAAUCAAGGAAAAGCUGAGUUGUGUGAACAACCUCAAUAACCUCCUUUGUGGCCUUGGAACAAGAAGUGGUUGACUUAUCAACUGCUUCUGUGGAUUUCUCUAUAGCCUCGGUGUAUUGCUGAAUAGUAGUCUCCAAGAAGGCUUUUAAAACAAUAUUGCCAUAAGCUUUGCUAUCAGCAAGCAGUCGAUCUAACUUGUCAUUGAUGUCCUGUAUAUGUUGACUGAUGACAGGAGCAUCAGGAUCAUUAUCUGUUGGAAUUCUAUAAGGACUGUAAUACAACGAUUCAUAGUCCUCAUCAUCUCCACUGAGAGUAGCACCAGCGGUAGAGGAUGGGGUCGAGGAUGGUGGUAUGUUGAUAACAGGAGUAUCAAUCACAGUAGUAGCCCCGGUAUCAGAUACAUUGACUUGCACUGGGAUUAUGGGAAUGGUGGUAGUGAUAGAUUCGGUUAUUAGAGGAGUUGAGAUAGGUAUAGUUGAGACAGGAACAGAGGUAAUAAUGGUUGAAGGGGGUAGAGAAGUUGGUUUAGUAAGAAUAGGUGGUAUAUCGGUGGGAGCAGAAAGUGGAGCUUUCUGUUUUGGUGAUGGAGGUGGGGUUGGAGAUCUUCGAGGUGUGGACUCUCUUGUUAAAACCUGAGGAUUCUCCGGUUCUGCUUCUUGAUGUUCAACCAUAUCAGAUCCAGGAGAAAGGCUCCCCUUGGGUCUGUUAGCCAUCUUCUUUAUAUUCUUCGGUUUUGGUUGAAGAGAAUUCCCUUCACCAGUCUUUCGCUUUGAAGAUUUUGGCUUACCCUCCUUAGAUUCUUCUUUCUCUUUCUUUAUUACCCGUUUGCCUCUGUUAGCAGGUUGAUCCAAGGCAUCCAGUGCAGCUUGUUGGUCUUCAGUCAGAACCCUUGGACCAAGAGGAGAGCGUUUACAGUAUUCAGCCAUCACAUUGCUCUGUGCCGAAACACACCUGUACAUGGAUUCCAGAAUCAAUCCAUAGUGAUGAAACUUACUUGGAUCAGAUAGGAUGAUCGUCUUUGUAUGGAAUGAGGCAAUAGAGGCAAGAAGAGCAUCCUUCAUGAUAGGUAUCUCCAAAGAAUCCAUGGCCUUCUUUGUAAUAAGGGUCCAGAAACGACCACAAGAGAUCUCUGAAUGACGGGUCGUUGUGUUUAAACUCUGCACUACUUGGGACCAGAUUAUAGUGCCAUAAUCUAGGUUGACCUCGUUGUAUAAACCAUAAAGAAUGGUAACAAAGCCUUUGCUUGUUGUGUCUGAACCACCACAUCAUUCCGCCAAACCCUUGAUUAGCAAUGUCAGCAACCCAUUCCAUUGCGAUGGUAAACACGAUUUCUUGCCCUUUGCAAUCGUUGUAAGCACAUCUGUGUAUCCCAUCUCAUACAUCAUCGUGAAUAGUUGUGUUGUAGUGAUGAAAUCAGGCGAGAUGAUCGAAGAAUCAACUGCAAGCCCCAUAAUGGAACAAAACUUUGCCUUAGAGACUGAGGAUUUCUUGUCAAGAAUUGUGAAGUAGAUGCGAUCUUUAUUCUUGUCAUAAGUCGCCGAUGAGUAGACUUGAGAAAGCAGCGACAUUGGAACCGCUUCAACCUGGGUUAGGGCCAACAACAGGAGGGAAUACUUUAGACAUUCCGCACCAUGCAACAUAUAUGAGUCAUAUAGGAAUGGUGUCAUUUCGAUAAUCAUGUUUUCGCUGGGUUUGAUUGCAAGCAAGGAAGAUGUUGCAGUUUGAUCAUGUGCAGAUGAAGUCGCCAUUGAUGAACGAAGAAGAAGAUGAACAGUGUGAACAUGGAGGAGGAGGUAAUUCGUGAUUGGUAAAUGACAAAUGAAACGAUCUCCCCUAUUUAUACCGUUGCCUGGAGAGAGAAAAAUGUGAUGAUGAGGUUGCUAAAGCGUCUCCUUAAAAAGCGCGAUUUGACAGUGUGGUAAUCCCAGGAAAACGUCAGCACGUGUGGGUUUUGAAAUGGAGCAAAUGUACACGCUGAAAGCUUAUCUUCAAAUCGUUUGAAAUUCCAUAUAUCCUCUUGUUUGGUCACAAGUGAUAACCAAAACUUAUACCAAACAGCAAUAAGAAUGUUGGAAAAUAUUAAUUUUCGUGCAUAAGAGUGUGAAAGAUAAAGAAAUAAAGCAAGUGUGUACUGGACGUGAGUGAUGUCUGUGUAGAAGAUAGAAAGCAGAGGAUUCCGAGUAAGAAUCACUUCCUUCGAAGUCAAGAGAGACUUGAAGUGCUUGUGUGGUUUCCCGAAAAAUACGAUCAACUGUUUGUUAAUAAACAUUGAAAGGCUUCUUUUGAUCAUAGGUAUUGGGUGGCUGUCCUCCAGCCGAACAUUGAGUUUUAACAUAAACCCAAUUGUUGGUAAAGGUACCUGUGAGACCAAUGUGAUCUGUUGAACAGGUAGGUGCGAUUUAUUGAAUGACUUAUAGGAAGCAGAAAUCUCAAAAAAAAAAAAAAAAUGGACCUCUUUGGGAAGAAAUGUCUUGGCGGUAGACAAUUUCAUAAAAGAUCACGCAAAAUAGAAAGAGAUUUCCUUAGGUAACCAGUAAAUGCUUGAGUAUAUCACUCACCGUCAAUUCGUUUUUGGUGUCGGAUUUUGGGUUUCACUUAGAACAUGGUAAUCGUAUCCAAGAGCAUAAACACAAAUGUUGUGUAACCUUAAACCUCAGUGGUAAAGACCGAAAGUCUCAAGGGUUACGUUAGUGAACCGAAGGUAGAUGGAGAAUAUGAGGAGGUGGUUUUAGGAAUCGAAUGUACCUUCUGCUAGAUAAGUGUGACAGAGCAGAGAAACUCUUAACUCAUAUUAGAAGAGUAAGGUAGCUCUAGACCGAGUGAGGUAAGAUAGCCUGAUUUGGAAGAAACGAUGGGUAUCGAUUGAAUCAUUAAGGCUUACUCAAGAUCAUAGAGGCUUAAGAUAACAUACAGUAGCAUGCUUCUAGGGACACUUAACUAAGUUGUGUGAAAGUUGAAACAUACCUGCUUUAGAGCUAUCGACGAUUAUCCUUGUGUUUACCUAUUAAUGACAGACAACAAACAAAACAAACAAGCAAUUGAAACAAAUAAAAAAGAUAAAAUAUUUUUGAAUUUUUGAAAUUUUUCAGAAAAAGAAUAAAAACAGAAAGAUAAAGUAUUUUUGAAUUUUUAAAUUUUUCUGAAAAAGAAUAAAAACAGAAAGACUUACAAAAUAUACAACCGAAACCUUAUCUUGAGAGAAGCAAAAUAGAUCGAUCAUUCAAUUUUCCUCUGUUCCGGAGAAUUACGGAGCCGAAAUGGACAGAGCGGUCUGUCCAUGUCGGUUCCCAAAAAUCAAGAGCAGGGAUAGACCGAGCGGUCUGUCUAUUUCGGUUGUCUUAAUUUUAAAGAGAGAUUUGAGGACUCGGUACCGACUCUCCUUCCAUCAUACCCAAACCUUGUAAGAUUUUAUUGAAGGUUGUUUCUGGUAAGGAUUUAGUAAAAAUAUCUGCCAGUUGAUUAGCAGAACGAACAAAAUGUACUUCUACGUUCCCAUCUUCUACAUGAUCCUUGAUGAAAUGAUACUUGAGUGCAAUGUGCUUGGUUUUCGAAUGUUGCACUGGAUUAUGACAGAUCCUAAUUGCACUUUCAUAGUCACAAUAGAGAGGGAUCUUUUUCAUACUCAGCCCAUAAUAUCUUAACUGACUUUGAAUCCAAACAACCUGAGAGGUACAUGAUGCGGCAACAAUGUAUUCUGCUUCUGCUGUGGAUAAAGAAACACAGGUUUGUUUCUUUGAUUGCCAACUGACAAGUUUUCCGUCAAGGAAUUGACAUCCUCCGGUAGUGCUUUUCCUGUCCAGUCCACAUCCUCCAAGAUCAGCAUCUGAAAAGGCUUGUAUGAAGAAUCCAGAUCUUGCAGGAUACCAGAGACCGAGAGAUGAAGUCUUCUUCAGAUAUCGAAAAAUAUUCUUCACAGCAAGCAUGUGGGGUUCUCUUGGAUUAGCUUGAAACCUGGCACAAUAACAAACAGAAAACAUGAUAUCUGGUCUACUAGCUGUUAGAUACAUAAGGGAUCCUAUCAUUUGUCGAUAAAGAGUUAUGUCCACAGCCGGUUUCUCCAGGGAUGGAGUUAGCUUGGUGCCGAAUGCCAUAAGAACCUUUACUUUUGAAUCUCCCUUCAUUCCAAAUUUAGUCAGCAGAUUUUUGGUGUAUGCUUUCUGGUUUAUAAAGAUACCUUCUGAUCCCUGUCUAAUAUUCAAACCGAGGAAAAAGUUAAUUGGACCCGUUGUGCUCAUUUCAAAUUCAGUCUCCAUCAACGUUCUGAAUUCAGCAGUUAGGCUAGGAUUCGUGGAACCGAAGAUGAUAUCAUCGACAUAAAUCUGAACAAUCAUCAAAUGUUCGCCUUCCUUCUUUCGAAAGAAGGUUGAGUCAACCGAACCUUGUUUAAAGUUUGACAUUUUUAGAAAGCGAGUAAGCGUUUCAUACCAGGCUCUUGGUGCUUGCUUUAGCCCAUAGACAACUUUAUCCAGCACAUAGCAAUGAUAUGGGUACUUUUCAUUCACAAAACCAGGUGGUUGCUCAACAUAGACAGUUUCUUCUAAUUCUCCAUUCAAGAAUGCACAUUUGACAUCCAUUUGGAAAACUUCGAAGUUCUUGUGAGUGGCAUAUGCUAGAAAAAUUCGAACAUACUCUAACCUUGCAACAGGAGCAAAAGUUUCUUCAUAAUCAAUCCCUUCUUCUUGACAAUAGCCUUUUACAACUAACCGAGCCUUGUUACGAACGACAUUCCCUUCUUUGUCCAGCUUAUUCCUAAACACCCAUUUCAAGCCGACAACAGAGGCAUCUUUCGGUGUAGGAAUCAAUCUCCAAACUCAGUUUCGUUCGAAUUCAUUGAGCUCAUCCUGUAUUGCUUUAACCCAAUCAGAAUGAUAAAGUGCAGCAUUUACGGUUUUCGGCUCUAUUUUGGAGAUAAACGAAUUAUACAUACAAAAUUCCACUUUAGAGAAUAAGGAUGUUUGUUUCGCAUUCAGCUGAGAUCUAGUAAGAACACUUUCAGAGGAUUCACCAAUAAUUUGCUCUUUGGGAUGGUCUUUUGUCCAUUUUGUUAGCGGAGGAUAGAGCGAAUCAUAUUCUAGAUUUAGUUCUGCUUCAACUUCAACUUCAACAUCUGACUGAUCCCUUUCACCUUUGUCAGUAGAACUGUCACUUGUUUUCUCCUUCUCCGCCUCGACUGGCGAAGUGAAGUCUUUGUUUUUAGCAGAAUCGGUAGUGGGUAUCUCCCCCUCGAUUGGACUUUUACCUGUUGAUUUCGGUUCAGUUGUUUGAGUAUCUUUUGAACUAGUAGAUAUUGAGGCGGAAUUGUGAUUCUUCCCCUCAGCAGGAACUUCAGAUGAUUUGAAAGUGGUAGAGUUCUCCCCCUGGAACAUUGAAUCGGUGUUUGAGGUACUGGGUAAUGGUUUAGGAGUAGGUGUUUCGUUUUCCAUUGAUUUGGUAGCUUCAUCUAUGACUUUCUUCAGAUUAUCUAGUUUGUUGUCUGUUGCUGUUGCCUCCGAAUGUAUUGCCAUUUCUGGUUCAUCAAAUAACCGAAUGUAUUCUUCAAACAUGUUGGAUAUUGGAAGUGAGACCUGUCCAGAUUCCGGAAAGAUGUCUCCUGAAGCGUCUUCUGUUCUUUGAACUUUCUUCAUGUAAUUGUCAUCAAAGGUGACAUAAUAAGUUUCUUCUAUUCUUUUAGAACGCUUGUUCAACACCCGGUAUGCUUUUGAUGACAGAGAGUAACCCAGAAAGAUCCCCUCAUCGGCUUUAACAUCAAACUUAUUUCGGUUUUCUUUAGAAUUAAAGAUAAAGCACCUAGAACCAAAAAUGUGGAAAAACUUGACGUUUGGUUUCCGAUUGUUUAAGAUCUCAUAAGGAGUUAUCGAGAAUCUCUUGUUGAGCAGGGACCGAUUUUGAGUAUAACAGGCAGCAGCAAUGGCAUCAGCCCAAAAGUAUAGAGGUAGAAAGGCAUAGCUGAGCAUGGUUCUUGCUGCUUCACACAAUGAUCGGUUUCGUCUUUCAACAAUCCCAUUUUUUUGAGGUGUAUAAGGGGCCGAAAAAUUGUGUUUUAUCCCCUUAUCAGCCAGAAAGUCUUCGAAAUCCUAGUUUUUGAAUUCCAACCCAUUGUCACUUCUGAUGUUUCUCACUGUCUUCUUUAAUUGAACUUCCACUUGCUUGAUGAACAUCUUCAGCUUGGGAGUUGCAUCUGAUUUCUGUUUAAGAAAGAAAACCCACGUGAAGCGUGAAAAAUCAUCUAUAAUAACCAGAAUAUACUUACUUCCACCGAUACUCUUUAUAGCAUAAGGUCCAAACAAGUCGAUAUGUAACAAAACAAGUGUUUCCACUAUCUUAGUAUUAAUGCGUGUAGGGUGACUUUUUCUGCUCUGCUUGCCCAUCUCACAUGCCGCACACAAAUGCUCUGUAACACUCGUGUUUCUAGCCUAGGCAUUUAUAUUGAGUUGAUAGUCUAGGUUAACCGUUGUAACUCAUUUUGAAGAAAUGAAAAGGAGUUAUGUGAAUAUUAUGUGAAUUAUGUGUUUUAUGCUUAAGUAUUAGAGCUUAAUUAAUUAAGAAUAAAAAUAAGCGUCAAAAUUAAAGUGUGAGAUAAGCCCGAUAUCUUUACAUAAAGUUGUAGUGGUCGAAACAAGGAUUUCAGGGAUAUAAAGAAUACCAAAAUCCGAGUUAUAACGAAGAAGUUAUGACCUGUCGAAGUUUCACGACAAAACCGGCACGGUGCUGAAUGUCGUAAAAAGUGAGUUUUUGAUAAACUACUUUUUUAGCCUUAGUAAUCUAAACGAAAGUUGUAGUAUUCGUUAAACCGAGAAGUUCGAUAAAAAGAACGCCCAAAUCUGACUUCGUAUGAGGAACUUAUGAUUUUUCGAAGUUUCAGCGUAGCAGUAGACAGCUAAAAACUCGAAUUUUAGAUCGAGCGAUUUUUAGCCGACACAACCUAAACGAGAAUUGAAGGUCUCGUCAUUAGGAGCACAACGGUAAAAAGUCUGACGAAAACGGACGUCGGAUGAAGAAGUUAUGAAUUUUUAACGGAUUUCCUGUCCCGGUCUGUUAAAAAUAAUAAUAUAAAAAUUAAAGUCAAAAUUAGCCGACGAAGUCUAAACGGAAGUUGUAGAUCGUAAUUUUAGCUACGCGUGCAUAUAAAGAACGUCAAAAACGGAGCUCGUAUGCGAAAGUUAUGGAUUUUAGAAGUUUUGGCACGAAAACCGAGAAAUUUCGCAUAGUCACAAUUGCCACGUCACCCUCGCUUAGAAAGUGACACGUGUCCUGCUGAGUCACCUGGCUGCUGAGUCAUUAGGCUGCUGAGUCACCGAGGCUGCUGAGUCAUGCGAGCCACGUGUCCUCUUCUGAUUCGACCGAGGAGGAGGCCCAAUCCGAAGCAGCCAGCUCCCCAGCCGAAGCUUCGCCCAGCUGCCGCGUGUGUCCGAGCCUCGCAUAGCCUAGCUCCGAGCCUCGCAGGUGCGCCAGCAAGCCGCGGUCCACUUAGAAGCCGACAGCGAGCCCUCGCAUGUGCGAGCCAUGUGCGAGACCCCCCCUGCGAAGCCUCUUAGCCGUCGGAUCAGGAGACUUCUCAGCCGUUGGAUCAAACUUCGGACCCUAUAAAUAGAAGGGUACCUGCGAGGGUUUCCGGUUACUUUUGGAAUUUAGCCAUUUUUAGCCCCUCUCUCCAUAUUUUCUUCAUCUUAACAUCCCGCAAAGCCCCGGUAUCAAUUGUAAAGCCCGGAAUACCCCACGAAGUGCCCGAGAAGCCCGGAAAAUUUAUCUUUUCGGUUUCGAAGCCCGACUUUUGCAGAGCCCGGUUUCUCAAUAAAACUCCCGGUUUUAUUAGAAACGAUCGUUUUAGGAAACGAAUUGCUGCCCGAUUUUCACCAAAAUAAGUGAGUGUGUAGUUACUUUCAAUUUACACAUAGAUAUGAAGUAUUUACCUUGAAAUACGUGUUAUGUGUAAAUAUGCUAAUUGUUUAUUCGAGGUGACUGUUGAAUUGAUGUUUUAUACAAGUUUUAAACUGUAUAUGCUUUUUAUCUACAAAAUAUGUUGGGUAGAACAUGGGUAGAUGAAAUAGUUGAUGUGUGUUAAAAUGGUGAGAGGCCUCGAUGUUGAUGUUGUUGUUGUUGUUGUAGUCAUCUAGCGAAGUAUAGAUGACGACCACGGACUUUCUAGAUAGUCCAGUGGAACACUAGCAGGUUCGCAACUUGUAGGUGUUGAUGAAUUAAAUGUUCAUUGGCGUACUUCAUCCCCCUCAUGGUUGCCUUAAGGACAUGUAUGGCUGAGGAAACCCCUUAGCAGUAGUGUCCAUCCCGAUGAUAAUCCUUAGGCUAGGUCCCUUGUGAUAGGUGUUUAGGGACGUAAAGUGAGGACAACGGGAAUGGGUAAUCAGGGUUAUUGUUGAUUGGUGAACUUAAUAAGUAUAUUAUUAUUGUGGGUUGAAAACCCUAUAUGCUCACCAGGCUCCCAAGCCUGACCCACUCAGUUUUAUGAUUACAGGUAGUGGACCCCGAGCAUAGUCGGAGGAUGACGAGAGAUUUUUGGAUUAUAGGCCAGUAGUUGUAAAUAACUGUUGAAAGGCUUAUAAUGUCUUGUUUAUGCUUUUGAUCUGUAUCGGAACAUGACAUCCCGAGGUUUUGAUAUAUAUAUGGAAAAUAUAUACCUUCUUAAUGAAGGAUUUUGAUAAACUUUUAUCAUAUAUUGUUUGGGGACCAAUUCCGCAAUAUCUUAUAAAAAGAUUUCUCUGAUUUUAUUUUAAAAAGCAUAAAUUAAAUCGGUCUUUUCUGGCCGAGAAAUAUGGGGAUGUCACAGUUGGUAUCAGAGCAUUAGUUUAAGCGAACUAAGAAAUUGUAGAAUUUCUAGACUUGAACUUAGAAUGCUAAGUGAUGAUUGUGAGAUGAGUGUCUACCAUAUUUUAGACACGAGCACUAGUUUAUUUUAGGGAAGAUGCCUAAAAUGCCCUUAUGUGCUAAAUGCUAUGUGUUUGCCAUGUGUGCCAUUAUUUGUUCGGAUCUAUGGUCUGUUGCCGACCGGAUCUGGAAACCUUAUGUGUGUAGGAUUCUAAGUGUAUGAAUACGAGAUUAGAACUAACAUGUAAACGUUUCGGAGUGAUAAGGGAAUUGACAUGUCUAACAAGGAUAAAGACCUAAAUUUCGCCUUAUUCGGUAUAUAGAUUGUAAUGGCAAGAACUCGGAGUGGAGCUGGAAAUGCAAACAGAAACCAACAACCUCAACCUCCAGUGGUGGAACAGGUGCCUAUAGUAGGAGCUGCACCCGAACCCAUCACCAUGGCUGGAGUACGAACUAUGAUUCAGGCCAUGUUGGCUGAACAGAGGGAGGAAUUGAGGCAAAUGUUGCUGAACGACAGGGAUGAACCUUCAGUUCCUGUUGAACAACGUGAACUAAAUGACGAUCGAUCUGAAGAAGGGAACAAUAGCAGAUCGGUUGGUCAUAGUGAACCGCUUGUGGUUGGGAGGAAUAACCACGAGGGUAGAGUGGAGAGAAAUGGGUGCAAGUAUAAGGACUUUAUGACUUGCAAGCCAUCGACCUUCAAUGGAAAAGAAGAUCCUGUCGGAGUAAUGGACUGGAUCUCGGAAAUGGAGUUGGCUUUCAUGACUUGUGAUUGCCAAGGCAAGUUACAAACUACGUUUGCAGUACGUCAGUUCAGGGGUAGUGCUGCCCGUUGGUGGAGCACUUUGGGGAAAACCCUAAGCCCUAAUGAGCCACUGCAAUUAACUUGGGCAGAGUUCUUAGUGCACUUCAAGCGCAAGUACUGCUCGGCCCAAAACGUACUUGAGUUAGAAAACCAAUUUCUAACGUUGCAGAAGGGGAGUAUGACCGUUGACGAAUAUACAAAUAACUUCACAGACAAAAUGGAGUUUGCUUUGCGUAUUGUCCCAGAUGAGUUGGCAAAAAUAGACAGGUACGCAAAGGGACUUCCAUGGGAGUAUGCGGUGCCAGUACGUCAGGCACUUACUUUGGAGGCAGCUAUCUGGGCUGCCAAGUCUGUUGAAGAUAUGAUAAAAGGGAGAGCCGCCAGCAAGGUUGAAGUUGGCGAAAAGAGAAAGUUUGAAGGAACUUCAGGUUCCAAUAAAAAGAACAAAUUCUCGAAGACUGGUUCGAGAAAGUUUGGAGGAGGAAGCGAAGCCAAGUGGUGUGACAAGUGUAGGAAGAAACAUGCUGGGAAGUGCAGCGUGGAAGUCACUUGUUACAAAUGUGGAAAGCCAGGGCAUUAUGCCAAUGAAUGCACCUUCAAUAAGAACGUAUGUUUUGGGUGCAAUGAAGAAGGGCAUAUUUUGAGGGACUGCCCGAAGAAGAAGGACGCAGCAAAACCCAAUCUACCACCAAAGCCGAAGGCGAGAGCCUUUCAGAUGACCCUCGAAGCUGCGAAAGAAGAAGCCGAUGUCGCUUCAGGUACCUUUCUCGUAAACGAAUUGCCUGCCCAAAUUUUGUUUGAUUCUGGAGCCAAUUACUCCUUUAUAUCGCAUGAAUUUGGUAGAAAGCUAGCUUUGCCUGUAGAUAUGCUAGUUAAUGCUAUAAUAGUCGAGAUUGCUAGUGGCAAGUUUGUACCUGUUAGCCAUCGUAUGAAAAACAUCCUCAUUGACUUGGAUGGGAAUAAGUUCCAAGAGGAAUUAUUGCCUAUCGAGUUAAAUGGAUUCGACAUAGUUUUAGGAAUGGAUUGGCUUAGCGCCAACGAUGCAGAAAUACUAUGUAGAAAGAAGAUAGUAAAAGUAAACCCACCAGGGAGAGAGUCGUUUAUGGUGUACGGAGACAAACGCAGAGUAAACUCUGGAAUCAUUUCCCUAAUGAAAGCCAGAAAGUGUUUGGCCAAGGGAUGUACAUCAUAUCUAGCAUUCGUGAUCGAUGCCAAGAUGGAAAAGAAGGAGGUGCAGAAUAUUCCGGUGGUGUGUGAUUAUCCGGAAGUCUUUCCCGAAGAUCUUCCCGGAUUGCCCCCUGAUCGACAAGUAGAAUUUCGUAUCGACUUGUUACCAGGAACGACGCCGAUAGCGAAAGCACCUUAUCGAUUAGCGCCAACCGAAAUGAAAGAACUUAUGACACAACUUCAGGAGUUAUUGGACAAAGGUUUCAUUCGACCUAGUUCAUCACCCUGGGGAGCCCCUGUGUUAUUUGUAAAGAAGAAAGACGGAAGCAUGAGAAUGUGCAUCGAUUACAGAGAGCUGAACAAAGUGACGAUAAAGAACAAGUACCCGUUGCCAAGGAUCGAUGACUUGUUCGACCAGUUGCAGGGUUCGAGCUAUUUCUCGAAGAUCGAUCUUAGGUCGGGAUACCAUCAACUAAAGGUGAGAGAGCAGGAUAUCGAAAAGACUGCUUUUAGAACGAGAUAUGGACACUAUGAAUUUUUGGUUAUGUCGUUCGGACUAACCAAUGCCCCAGCAGCUUUCAUGGAUUUGAUGAAUAGGGUUUGUAAACCAUUCUUAGAUAAAUCCGUGAUAGUAUUCAUAGAUGAUAUCUUGAUUUAUUCGAAAAGCAAGCAGGAGCAUGAAAAGCAUCUGCGUGAAGUGCUAGAAGUCCUGAAAAAGGAGAAGCUGUAUGCAAAGUUCUCCAAGUGUGAAUUUUGGAUUCAAGAAGUCCAAUUUUUAGGUCAUGUGGUUAACCAAGAAGGAAUAAUGGUUGACCCAGCAAAGAUUGAAGCUGUAAUGAAGUGGGAACAACCAAAAAGUCCUACGGAGAUUCGAAGCUUUUUAGGAUUAGCUGGAUAUUACCGAAGGUUUAUCCAAGGCUUUUCUUCGAUUGCUACUCCAUUAACAGCUUUGACCCACAAAGGAGCCACUUAUGCUUGGAAUGAGAAGCAUAAGGAAGCCUUUGAGAAGUUGAAGAAGAGAUUGUGUGAAGCACCGAUUCUUUCAUUGCCUGAAGGAGUUGAUGACUUUGCAGUUUAUAGCGAUGCAUCCGGAGUUGGGUUAGGUUGUGUUCUGACCCAAAGGGAUAAAGUGAUCGCGUAUGCAUCGAGGCAAUUGAAGGAACAUGAAAAGAACUACCCCACUCAUGAUUUGGAGUUGGCAGCGGUAGUAUUUGCCUUGAAGAUAUGGAGGCAUUAUCUUUAUGGCACCAAGUGUAAACUUUUCACUGAUCAUAAGAGUCUCCAAUAUCUCUUUAAUCAGAAGGAAUUGAACAUGAGGCAACGACGCUGGCUAGAGUUACUCAAGGACUACGACUGUGAGAUACUUUACCACCCUGGUAAAGCAAAUGUUGUUGCUGAUGCUCUCAGUCGGAAGGUAAACCUUGAAAAGAAAAGGCCAAGAGCGUUGAGAAUUGAAGUUGUCUCGACAAUUGUGGAAAGUAUAAAGAAAGCUCAAGAGGAAGCUUUAGAGAAAAAUGACCGAAAGGAAGAACGUUUGGGCAAAACGUUAGUGUUCGGUACAAACAACCAAGGGUUGAAGGUAUUUCAAGAUAGAAUUUGGGUACCUAAGACGGGCGGAAUAAGAGAUCUUCUGAUGGAAGAAGCUCACAAGACCAUGUACUCAAUUCAUCCCGGCAGUACGAAAAUGUAUAGGGAUCUAAAACCCUAUUAUUGGUGGCCGACGAUGAAGCUCGAUGUUGCUAAGUAUGUGGCCGAGUGUGUAACUUGUGCUAGGGUUAAGGCACAACAUCAGAAACCGUAUGGGAGUUUAGAACCUUUACCCGUACCCAUGGGUAAAUGGGAAGACAUCACCAUGGAUUUUGUGACUAAACUGCCCAGAACAAGGAACGGUCACGACAUGAUUUGGGUGGUCGUUGAUCGCUUCACUAAGAGUGCGCAUUUCAUAGCGGCCAAAGAGAAAUGGUCUAUGGAUAAACUUGCGAAUUCUUACGUGAAGGAAAUUGUGAGGCUUCACGGUGUUCCGUUAACGAUUGUGUCCGAUCGUGACAGCCGUUUUACCUCAAGGUUUUGGAGGAGUCUACAAGAGGAAUUGGGUACCAAGUUGUGUUUGAGUACAGCUUACCAUCCGCAAACCGAUGGUCAGAGCGAGCGAACGAUUCAAACAUUGGAGGAUAUGCUGAGAGCAUGUACCCUAGAAUUCCAAGGUAACUGGGAUGAACACUUACCUUUAGUAGAAUUCUCCUAUAAUAAUAGUUUCCACUCAAGCAUUAAGAUGGCACCUUAUCACGCUUUGUAUGGGGAGAAGUGUCGAACGCCAUCAUGUUGGCUGGAAGCUGGGGAAAAGCAGUUUAUGGGACCUGAAAUAGUCCAUGAGACUGCUGAAAAGUUGAAAGUGAUAAGGGAAAGGAUGUUAGCUGCUCAAGAUCGACAAAAGAGUUAUGCUGACAAGAAAAGACAACCGAUAUCCUUCGAUGUUGGAGAUUCGGUUUUACUUAAAGUCUCGCCGUGGAAGGGACUUAUAAGAUUUGGUAAGAGAGGGAAGUUGAGUCCAAGGUUUAUUGGACCAUUUAAAGUUCUUCAGAGAAUCGGGAAUCAAGCUUACAAGCUAGAGUUACCGGAAGAACUAGAGGGUAUUCAUAACACCUUUCAUGUGUGUUAUUUGAGAAAGUUCACAGGAGAUGUGCCCGACAUAAUUCCGAUUUCUGAGUUAAGGUUGGAUGAAAACAAGAGGUUGAUCGAAGAACCUGAGGCAAUCGUUGACCGUAAGACUAUGAAGUUACGACGCAAGAUGGUCGAUUUAGUGCUUGUGCGCUGGAAACAUACGAAUGGACCAAAUCUCACUUGGGAAACGGAGAGUGACAUGAUGAGUCGCUACCCGCAGUUGUUUGGUGAUAUGUGAUUCCGGGGACGGAAUCAUCCUAAGGGGGAGAGAAUUGUAACACUCGUGUUUCUAGCCUAGGCAUUUAUAUUGAGUUGAUAGUCUAGGUUAACCUUUGUAACUCAUUUUGAAGAAAUGAAAAGGAAUUAUGUGAAUAUUAUGUGAAUUAUGUGUUUUAUGCUUAAUUAUUAGGGCUUAAUUAAUUAAGAAUAAAAAUAAGCGUCAAAAUUAAAGUGUGAGAUAAGCCCGAUAUCUUUACAUAAAGUUGUAGUGGUCGAAACAAGGAUUUCGGGGAUAUAAAGAAUACCAAAAUCCGAGUUAUAACGAAGAAGUUAUGACCUGUCGAAGUUUCGCGACAAAACCGGCACGGUGCUGAAUGUCGUAAAAAGUGAGUUUUUGAUAAACUACUUUUUAGCCUUAGUAAUCUAAACGAAAGUCGUAGUAUUCGUUAAACCGAGAAGUUCGAUAAAAAGAACGCCCAAAUCUGACUUCGUAUGAGGAAGUUAUGAUUUUUCGAAGUUUCAGCGUAGCAGUAGACAGCUAAAAACUCGAAUUUUAGAUCGAGCGAUUUUUAGCCGACACAACCUAAACGAGAAUUGAAGGUCUCGUCAUUAGGAGCACAACGGUAAAAAGUCUGACGAAAACGGACGUCGGAUGAAGAAGUUAUGAAUUUUUAACGGAUUUCCUGUCCCGGUCUGUUAAAAAUAAUAAUAUAAAAUUUAAAGUCAAAAUUAGCCGAUGAAGUCUAAACGGAAGUUGUAGAUCGUAAUUUUAGCUACGCGUGCAUAUAAAGAACGUCAAAAACGGAGCUCGUAUGCGAAAGUUAUGGAUUUUAGAAGUUUUGGCACGAAAACCGAGAAAUUUCGCAUAGUCACAAUUGCCACGUCACCCUCGCUUAGAAAGUGACACGUGUCCUGCUGAGUCACCUGGCUGCUGAGUCAUUAGGCUGCUGAGUCACCGAGGCUGCUGAGUCAUGCGAGCCACGUGUCCUCUUCUGAUUCGACCGAGGAGGAGGCCCAAUCCGAAGCAGCCAGCUCCCCAGCCGAAGCUUCGCCCAGCUGCCGCGUGUGUCCGAGCCUCGCAUAGCCUAGCUCCGAGCCUCGCAGGUGCGCCAGCAAGCCGCGGUCCACUUAGAAGCCGACAGCGAGCCCUCGCAUGUGCGAGCCAUGUGCGAGCCAUGCGAGCCAUGUGCGAGACCCCCCCUGCGAAGCCUCUUAGCCGUCGGAUCAGGAGACUUCUCAGCCGUUGGAUCAAACUUCGGACCCUAUAAAUAGAAGGGUACCUGCGAGGGUUUCCGGUUACUUUUGGAAUUUAGCCAUUUUUAGCCCCUCUCUCCAUAUUUUCUUCAUCUUAACAUCCCGCAAAGCCCCGGUAUCAAUUGUAAAGCCCGGAAUACCCCACGAAGUGCCCGAGAAGCCCGGAAAAUUUAUCUUUUCGGUUUCGAAGCCCGACUUUUGCAGAGCCCGGUUUCUCAAUAAAACUCCCGGUUUUAUUAGAAACGAUCGUUUUAGGAAACGAAUUGCUGCCCGAUUUUCACCAAAAUAAGUGAGUGUGUAGUUACUUUCAAUUUACACAUAGAUAUGAAGUAUUUACCUUGAAAUACGUGUUAUGUGUAAAUAUGCUAAUUGUUUAUUCGAGGUGACUGUUGAAUUGAUGUUUUAUACAAGUUUUAAACUGUAUAUGCUUUUUAUCUACAAAAUAUGUUGGGUAGAACAUGGGUAGAUGAAAUAGUUGAUGUGUGUUAAAAUGGUGAGAGGCCUCGAUGUCGAUGUUGUGUUGUUGUUGUAGCCAUCUAGCGAAGUAUAGAUGACGACCACGGACUUUCUAGAUAGUCUAGUGGAACACUAGCAGGUUCGCAACUUGUAGGUGUUGAUGAAUUAAAUGUUCAUUGGCGUACUUCAUCCCCCUCAUGGUUGCCUUAAGGACAUGUAUGGCUGAGGAAACCCCUUAGCAGUAGUGUCCAUCCCGAUGAUAAUCCUUAGGCUAGGUCCCUUGUGAUAGGUGUUUAGGGACGUAAAGUGAGGACAACGGGAAUGGGUAAUCAGGGUUAUUGUUGAUUGGUGAACUUAAUAAGUAUAUUAUUAUUGUGGGUUGAAAACCCUAUAUGCUCACCAGGCUCCCAAGCCUGACCCACUCAGUUUUAUGAUUACAGGUAGUGGACCCCGAGCAUAGUCGGAGGAUGACGAGAGAUUUUUGGAUUAUAGGCUAGUAGUUGUAAAUAACUAUUGAAAGGCUUAUAAUGUCUUGUUUAUGCUUUUGAUCUGUAUCGGAACAUGACAUCCCGAGGUUUUGAUAUAUAUAUGGAAAAUAUAUACCUUCUUAAUGAAGGAUUUUGAUAAAACUUUUAUCAUAUAUUGUUUGGGGACCAAUUCCGAAAUAUCUUAUAAAAAGAUUUCUCUGAUUUUAUUUUAAAAAGCAUAAAUUAAAUCGGUCUUUUCUGGCCGAGAAAUAUGGGGAUGUGACAUGCUCCUUUUCAAAUUUGAGAAGAGGAAGACCUCGAACGUAAUCACCAAUCACUAAUUUGUUGAUAUCUUUGAAGUUCAGGUGAGAUAGAUGUCGAUGCCAAAGCCAACAUUCAUCAGUGUUUGCCUUUGAUAGCAGACAGAUAGCUAGUGUCCCCCGAAUAGGAUUAAGAUUCAGAGGAUACAUUUCUCCUUUUCGUGCAGAUUUCAGCAGAACUUUCUUGGUUUGUUUUUCUAUUAUCUCAGAUCCUUCAUCAUCAAAUGAUACCUUCAGACCUGUGCCCACAACUAAUUUUGAUACACUGAUGAGGUUGUGCUGCAAUCCUUCUACAUAAGCCACUUUUCUAAUGGAGAAGUUUCCAUUAGUUAUCAUCCCAUAUCCUUUGAUUGUUCCAUAGGAAUUGUUUCCAAACUUCACCGAUCCACCAUCCUUUAGAGAUCGAAAUUCCCUUAGUUCCUCCUUUCUUCCUGUCAUGUGACGCGAGCAGCCACUGUCUAUAUUCCAUUCGUCGUCAAACUGCUCGUCACUGAUUACAUGCAAAUUUAACCAGAUUUAGGAACCCAAAGUUUCUUGGGUCGUGGUGAGUUUUUCACAGAGAAAAGAAUAACAGUAGAAGCAUCAACUAAAUAAGUCCGUUUAACAAGAGUCGUUUGAUCUUUUCUUUUGAUGGUAAACACUUUGAUUUUUUUUAUCUUCUUUAAAUUUUAAUGUAUCUUUUGGUGUUUCUUUAGAUGGUUUAGUGUUUUUCGUUGGAUUCCUAGGUUUAGUGGAGGAUCUCUUAUUUUCAUUUUCAGAGUCUGAAAACAGCUUUCCUUUUCCUUUGAUGUCCUUUAAGUAAUUUGUUUCAUCUUGGGAUCUAGAGGAUCCAUGUCUAGAAUUGGGACCAAAACUGGUUUUAGGACCGAAUCUGGAUUGAGAGCCGAAUCUGGGUUUAGAACCGAACAUGGGUCGAGGACCGAAAUUGGGUUGAGAACCGAACUUGGGUUGAGAAUUGAGACUUGACUUACGGUUUUGGGAUUUGGAAUAAUAGGAAUUUGGACUGAAAUUUUCCUUUGACUUUUCCUUUCCUUUAUCCAUAGAUUCUUUCCUAGAAGGUUCAUAGUUAGGAUUUUGAGAAUUCCAAUGCCUUUUCCGUUCAUUCAGAUUCGAGGCAUAUCUUUGAUUUCUGAGUCGUUUCUGUUCAGCUAGUUCCUUCUGAGAUUUGUGAACAUUGAAGCUGGCCUGUGGUUUCUCCUUAGUUUGAACUUUCGGUGCUUCCUGUCUCUUGAGUGGACCUCUCGGUUCAUUCCUCUCGAUUGGAACAUCAGGUUCAACUAUCGGUUCUUCAGGAACAUCUUUAGUUCCGCUUGUGUUAGGAAUAUCGAAACUAGAAGGUUUAUUGAUGGGUUCUGGUAUGUAUCGUCCUUUGACUCUCCAUGUGGUUUUCUCAGACAAUCCCACAGUUUCAUCUGCAUUAUCAAUGGGAGCAGACCAGAAAUAGUCUCACAUCCUUCAGCGUUAUCAUCGUCAACUAUUAUCCUUAAUUCUGUUGUUUGUCUUUGAGUGACUCCAGUCACAGCAUAAACUUGAUUUGGCACGGUCUGUACCUUUUGAUAAACCAAGGAUUUUUCUUUGAGUUUCGGUUUCUGUUCCUUUAACAGAUGAGCAAACUCAACCGAAUUUUUUGAAAUAAGAGGUUUUUCGCUAUGGAUUUCAUUUUUCACAAACUUAGAACAAUCCAGUGACUCCAGUCACAGCAUAAACUUGAUUUGGCACGGUCUGUACCUUUUGAUAAACCAAGGAUUUUUCUUUGAGUUUCGGUUUCUGUUCCUUUAACAGAUGAGCAAACUCAACCGAAUUUUUUGAAAUAAGAGGUUUUUCGCUAUGGAUUUCAUUUUUCACAAACUUAGAACAAUCCACAAUGUCCUCUACUGAGAUUUCACUCAUUUCACUCUCCGCAUCAAAUUCGGAUGAAUUAUCUAAGUUUAUUUUAUUAUCUUUAACAAUUUUGGCAUUUGACUCAUCGAAUGUUCGUAUAGUUUCGGUUUUAAUCUUUAACCUGUCAUUUUCAUCUAAGAUAUCUUUUAACAUACUUUUAUGUUCCUUAGAAUCGAUGAAAGUUUCUAUCUUAUCUAAACCUAGCCUAUACGACAUGGAUGUUUCUUCAGAGGAUACUUCUGAUUCACACUCUGCUAUAACCUCAUCUUCCUUAAAUUCAAGGAAGGGCAAAAUCAUUUUAUGUAUUUUCUUUCCAAUUUCACAAUUUAGAUGUAAUUGAGCAAUAUUAGUAUAAAGACGCUUAGCAAUUAAACAGAAAACAUUUCUUUGUUUUAACAAUUUUAAAUUGUCUCUUUGCAAAUAAAUACUCUCAUCCUUAGCCCUAACUAACUCUGCUUCCUUCUGCUCAAUCCAGAUCCUCCUCUCCUCACUUUUUGAAGACACCCUGCCGAGUUGGUCAGUUAGGUUAGAGUUUGCUAAGCGGGUUUGCAUGAGGCUACUACUUAGGUUGGAAAAUUUAGAAUUUAGUUCAUUUAAUUCUUCUAAAUAUUCAGUUUUGGGAAUUUUAAGAGAUUCAAGGAUAGAAUGUACCUUUUUGAUCAAUCGAUCGCAGUCGUUGAUCUUCUCACUCACCGGCUUGGCUGCAAAACACUUGUUUUCUGUCAGGUUCGGUUCUGUGUCAGCACUUUCGAUUGAUGGACCAUUAGUGACGAUAAAGCAUUUUCCACCAAAACCUUCAUUCUUUGCCACAAGCGCCUUACCAUGAGUGGGUCUUCUAACCUCUUCAUCUUCAGAGUCUGUUGACCAGACUUCUACACUACCGAACUCAUCUUUCCCUGCAUUUUCUUGUACAAUUAGCGCAUUCAUCGAACUGUUGGAAGCCUUUUUCUUCUUGACUUCUUCUAAUUUACGCAUGUAAUACGCUUCAUCAUCUUCACCGUCUCUCUUUUCAGCCAUCUUACUUAGCAUGCAAUCUUUGGCAAAGUGGUUCUUGCCGUGGCAAUAGUUGCAGUCGUAUCCAGAGUCUCCUGCAAGCUUGUUUUCCUUUUUCUUUUCCACCUUUUGAGAAGAGACUUUCGGUUCAUCUUUUAUUUUCUCAGAACUAUAACUUCCCUGCCAAUUUCAGUUCUUAUUGGUGGGAAAUUUUCUUCUUGCGAAUUUCUUUGGAUUUGUUAUCAUUAAAGCAUACUCCUCACUUGUAAGAUCACAUUCUGACAUGUCUGACUCUUCUUCUUCUUCAACAACACUUUUUCCUUUAGAGACAAGAGCCAGCGAUCCCAUGCCAGAGACCACUUUCACCUCCUUAGUUACAACACUUUCAUGUGACUUUAGUAUCCCUACUAGUUUCGCCAGUGAGUACGAUUUGAACUGUUCAUGCGCCUUCACAGUGGAAACCACAACCAUCCAUUCUGGUCUGAGCCCGUUCAUGAAUGUAACUUUCUGCUCGAUCAGCUUCCUCUCAAUUCCAUGCUUGAUCAUCUUACUUAAAAGAUGAUUGAACCGAUCAAAGGUCUGAAUGAGCUUCUCUUCAGGUUUCUGUUCAAAAACUCCAAAUUCUGACAGCAACAAAGUUUGAAUUGAGUGUUCCAGAUCUUCAUCAGUUGAGUAAAGUUCCUUCAACCUAUCCCAGAUCUCUUUAGCAGUUAUGCAUGAGCCUACAAGCCGAAAAGUGUCAUAUUGUAAGGCGAAUCUUAUCAUUCGCAUGGCCUUAACAUUACAUAGGAUCUUGUCCUUCUCAUCUUGUGGCAUCUUCUAAACAUCUGUCAUGAGUUUGUUGUAAUCCUUCUGAGUCUUAACGAUCGUGUUUGUUUCUGAAUGAACAAACGGUCCAAGAAUGAUAGCUUCCCAGAUGAGAUAGCCAUUAUCUUCAGAUCCAACCACGUAAUCUUCAAAGUGAUGAGCCCACACUUCGUAGUCUUGAGUGUAGAGUAUGGGAACUCUAGUUGUAGAUCUGAUGCUGUUUGAGAUGUUAAUUGGGUUUGUAUGCGUAUCGUCGUGGGACCUAGUGAGCUACUAGAAUCAUACCUGUAAACUUGAGAUUAGGGUUUUAUCAAAAACUAAGUAGUCGUCGUUAAGAAGACGAUGACUUCGAUAAAAGCGGAAACCCUAAAGAUUUGAGAAUACAGAAGUAAAGUGUAUUGAACACACAAUCUCCUACUCUGAUACCAAUUGUUAGAACAAUGUUCUAUCAGGAUCGUAUGAUUCUAAACAAAAUAUAAAUAAGAAUGUAAUAAUGAACACAAGUAUUGCACUGAAUAUGUCGAUUGAUUAACGCAAAGAUACCCCAGAAGAGCUAUAUAAAGAACUUCAAUAUGUAGAGGUAUUAUAGGGUUACAAGAAACAACGUAAUCUACUAUUCUAUUUUAUACGCAUACAUGCAUGCAUAUAUUUAUAUUAAAACCCUAACAACUUAUCUAGAUAAAAGGAAACUAUUCUAGAUAACUACGGAUGGACAAGCCCAAUCCGAUUAAAAAAUCAAAAGGCCCAAGACGCAACACUAAAAUACUCAACAAUUUCUCAUAUAACAGAGUGUUGGAAUAACAGUGUUGCACGAAACCCUAGUGCACCCACUCUCCUGAUAUUUCCUGAAGUGUAAACCCUGAGUUACUCAAACUUACACAAAAAAGUCUAAAAAUUAACUGUGACCACUAUAACAUCUAUUGAAGUGAUAUAGUUUGUACAGAAUGGAAAUUUCGGGUUGUCACAACUUAUGUCUUAUGUCAGCAUAGCUCUUUUGACGAUCACGUGCAGCCUUUAAUCGAUUCUUAAUUUGCACGAUCUCUUCGGUUGUCUUGUGGAUUAUUUAUGGCCCAGUACAUAAGGUAUCGCCUGUACGUUCUCUGGCCAUCUGCGUAUCUCCAACUUCUGACCAACAUACUGGGGAACGACAUUUUCGUCCAUACAGAGCCUCAAACAGUGCAGCCUUGAUGCUGGUGCGAUGACUAUUGUUGUAGGAAAACUUAAUUAACGGUAAAUGAGUAUCCAACGCAUCCCCAAAGUCAAAUACAUAGGCUCGGAGCAUAUCUUCUAAAGUCUGAGUGGUUCUCUCACUCUGACCAUCAGUCUGUGGAUGGUAAGUUGUACUCAUGUUUGAUGGGUUUUUGGUAAAACAAAUAAACUAGAAAUCAAUUUCCUAAGUUCGCAUGCAACCUACUUUGGAUCUAUGUUUUAACUAUUGAACAUACAACAUUGAAUUGCAAAAGAAGAACCCUAGAGGAGGUGACUUAUUUCAAAAUUAACAAACUAGGGUUUAGGAAUUACAUACCUUUAAAUUGUUAUAGCAAACAAUUGACAAUUCCCCUGAUCUUGAUCUUCUUGGAAGCCUAGCACAACAAGUGUAAUGCCUCUAAUGGAAUCACACCCAAACUAGCAAGAAGGAAAGUAGAGGAGAGAGGGGAGAGGGAGUAUGCAAAAUCUUGGCCUUAGGGGUUCUUCAAAAGAAAGAGUACCCAAAAUGUGAACCACGAGGCUCCUUAUCUAGCUGAGGGAUCUAGGGUUUAGGGCAAACCCUAAUGUUCCUUUCUUAGGGCCUAAGCAAACCCAAGGGCCUUAUCUUGGACCCCUAGGACGAAUUCUCUAGGGUUUCACCUAGGGUUUUUGUCUACCUCCUUCCAAGGGGGUUCUAGAGCCUUCCACUCAACUUUUAGAUAAUUGCAAACUAGUCCCUGCACCUUACAAUUAAUACUUUUAACCCCAAAAUUAAUUCUAAUUAAUUUCUGGCUAACUAUUAAUUAAACAAAAUGAUUUCUAAUUAAUAUAUCAAUCUUUUAACAUAUUAAUAAAUUCAUUUAUAUUAAUUUAUUAACCUUAUAAUAAAUUAAUAUCUCUCCUUUCAUAAUUUCCUUGUCCGGUUGCUAGGUUUGAGGGCAACCCAAAAGGACUGUGCUGCUAUCUAUUCAAGUACAUACCAAUUAUAGUUAUCGGCUUAGACACCUAAUCCCACAGUCUCCCACUUGGAUAAGUCUGUAACUAUAAUUGCUAGUAUGACUUCUAAAUUUGACCAGCAAAUUGUAGCUUCCAAAAAGCUGAUGCCGAACUCUGACCCAGUCAGUUACGCAUCCUAAGAUAAGUGAUCUCAUGACCCUUCGUUCUACUAGAUAUCCCUAGACAUAAGACAUGGAAUACAAUCAAUCUCUUUGUCCAAAAUCUUUGUUUCCCAAUUUCUGAUUUGUGAUGAUAUAGGACAUCUAAUCGAACACAUCAAUUUAGUCCUGGUAGGGCCCAGCACAAAAGUUAACACCAAAUCAUCGAGGGGCCCACAGAUAUCGCUUUUCCCAUUUGGGCAAAAGGAAUGAAUAAAAAUUGACUCAUAUGCUUGUAUCUUUUACUCAUCAAACCAUAUAUGAUAAUACGUUUUAUAACACCAAGUUACUGAUUCAUUUUUGUAUCACCAAUGCAUAGCCGACUUGCAAAUUACAACUCAUAUAUCUCUAUUUUAAGAUCGUAGAUAUUAUCGUCUCAGUAUUACUCGUGAUGAAUUCCAUGAAGUAAUACUCUGAGCGUGGUUUUAUCCAAUACUGAAAUCUCACUCUCUGAGUAUUCAUGAACAUUGCAGCAAUUCUUAUUGCUAUGUCUACCCUUAGACAAUCUGCAAUCCAAUUCAUGACAGUCUUAAUUCACUACUUACUUCCAAAAGUACGAGCGAAUGUGGAGUUCGAACAAUCAUAUUAUACAGGAAGUAAAACAUGCAAAAUAUGAAACACAAUAAUAAACAAUUGACAAAAGGUAGUAAACUCAUAAAUAAUACUUUAUUAUUUAAUCACCAAAAGUCAAUUACAUUUGCUUUGUAACAUGUUUCUGAAAUAGACUAGUCUAACUACUAAAACUAAUAUCAUCUUUCAACCCUAUGCUUCUGCUGAAUAUGCUUAGCCCUACUCCGACCCUUUGUGAGGAGGUCUACCGGGUUAUCUUCAGAUGACUCCCUCUUUACAACAAGAUGGCCUUCUUCUACUCUAUGUCUGAUGAAAUGGUACUUUCUAUUGAUAUGUCUGGUCUUACCAUGGUCUCUGGGUUCCUUAGUUAAGGCAACCGCUCCCUCAUUAUCGCAGAACAGUUCCAUAGGCUCCUAGAUGGUUGGAACAACUCCGAGAUCCCUAAUGAUGUUCCUCAACCAAGCUGCUUCUUUAGAUGUUUCACUCGCUGCUAUGUACUCUGAUUCACAAGUAGAAUCAGCCACCGUAUCUUGCUUGGAACUCUUCCAAGUAACCGCUCCUCCAUUCAAUAGAAAUACCCAGCCAGAUUGAGAACGAAAGUUAUCACUGUCUGUUUGAAAGCUGACAUCACUGUAACCAUCCACUCUCAAAGUACCAUUGCCACCAAGUACAAGGACCCAGUCCUUUGUUCUUCGCAAAUACUUGAGUAUAUGCUUUACUGCUAUCCAAUGAGCUCUACCUGUGUUUCCUUGAUAGCGACUAACCAUGCUCAAAGCAAAGGCCACAUCAAGGCGAGUACAUGUCAUAGCGUACAUGAUCGAUCCGACAACGGAAGCAUAAGGUACAAAAAUUAUGUCAGCUAUUUCCUCGUCUGUACUAGGGCAUUGAGUCUUACUCAAUUUUGUGUUGCCCUGGAUAGGUAGCUCUCCCUUCUUGGAAAUUUCCAUACUAAACGUCUUUAGUGCCUUAUCCAAGUAUGUGCUCUAAUUCCAAUUAGUCUCUUCUUUCUAUCGCUUAAUAUCCUAAUCCCAAGAAUAUAGGCAGCUUCUCCAAGGUCUUUCAUGGCAAAACACUUUCCAAGCCAAGACUUAACUUCGUUCAAGGUUGGAAUGUCAUUACCAAUGAGUAAUAUGUCAUUGACAUAUCACACCAGAAAAGUCACUAUACUCCCACUAGCCUUGAUAUACACACAAAACUCAUCUUCACUCCUAGAGAAACCAAACUCUUUGACUUUCUCAUGGAAGCAAAGAUUACCACUGCGAGAUGCUUCUUUCAAUCCAUAAAUGGAUUUCUCAAGCUUACACACUCUAUUGGGAAACUUUAAAUCGACAAAACCCUCUGGUUGAUUCAUGUAAACAUCCUCAGCCAGCUUCCCAUUAAGGAAAGCAGUCUUGACAUCCAUCUGCUAGAUUUCGUAGUCAUGAAAGGCAGCUAUGGCGAGCAAUAUCCUGAUAGAUUUAAUCUUGGCUACAAGCGAGAAUGUUUCAUCAUAGUCAACCCCUAGGGUUUGUGUGAAACCUUUCGCAACCAGUGUAGCCUUGAAUGUGUGUACAUUCCCAUCCAUGUCUGUCUUCUUCUUGAAGAUCCAUUUACACCCAAUUGUCUUUCGACUCAGUGCAUUAUCAACCAAAUUCCAAACUUGGUUGUCAUACAUGGACUUUAUCUCGCUGUCCGUUGCCUCUUUCCACUUGGAAGCCUCUGGGCCUGCCAUUGCUUCCUUAUAAGAGACUAGUUCAUCUAAAUUCACCAGUGUCCUAUCACUGAUGAAUGUGUCACCGUCUAAAGUAAUAUGAAAACCAUACAACUCAGGUGGUACGCUCACCCUACUGGAUCUUUGAAGAGGUAAUGAUUUAUCAACUGGUUCAACAGGAACUGUUUCCUCUGGUUGAGUGCCAAUGUCAUCUAAGGUCAAUGGUACUCUCACUUUCCUCUUUGAAUAUGAGUUCUCUUUCUAGAAAGACUCCUCUUCGUGCUACAAAAACCACGUUCUAACUAGGUCUGUAGAACAAAUAUCCAAAAGACUGUUUUGGGUAACCAAUAAAAACACAUUUCUCACUUCUUGCUGCUAGCUUGUUGUGAGUCUCUCGUCUUAUGAAAGCUUCACAACCCCAGACUUUAAUAUGUGCUAACGAGGGAACUUUCCAUGUCCACAUUUCAUGAGGUGUUUUGGCAACCUUCUUUGUUGGCACAAGAUUUAGGAUGUGGGCGGCUUUUUCUAAGGCAUAGCCCCAGAAAUGAAUUGAAAGUGAGGCAUGACUCAUCAUAGAACGAACCAUGUCCAACAAGGUUCGAUUACACCUUUCAGCCAGACCACGUAACUAUGGUGUCCUAGGAGGAGUCAAUUAUGAGACUAUCCCACAUUCCUUUAGAUAGUCAUUGAACUCAAUACUAAGAUACUCUCCGCCUCUAUUGGAUCUAAGUAUGUUUAUUGUAAUGCCCGUGUUUCUGGGCUUGCCAUUUUUAGCAAUGUAAUAGUCUAGGUUAACCUUUGUAACCCCAAUUCGAAAUAAUAAAAUGUAUUAUUUGUGAAUUAUUUGAAUUAUGUGAUUUAUGUGUGUAUUUUCUUAAUUUUUAUAAUUUAAUGAAUUAAGAAUAAAAUAAGCGUCAAAAAUUAAAGUGUGAGAUAAGCCCGACAUCUUUGCAUAAAGUUGUAGUGGUUGAAACAAGGAUUCCAGAGAUAUAAGGAAUGCCAAAAUCCGAGUUAUAACGAAGAAGUUAUGACCUGUCGAAGUUGCAAGACAUAACCGGCACGACACCGAGUGACGUAAAAUAUGAAUUUAAGAUAGAGCGAUAUUCAGCCUUAGCGAUCUAAAUGAAAGUCGUAGAUUUCAUUAAACCGAGAGCGUGCAUAAAAGGAACGCCCAAAUCUGACUUCGUAUGAGGAUGUUAUGAUUUUCUGAAGUUUCGACGUGGUAGUAUGCAGCCCGAAUACUCGAUUUGAGAUCGAGCAGUUUUUAGCCGAAACAAUCUAAAUGAGAAUCGAAGAUCUCGUUGGUAGUAGCGAAACGAUGAAAAGAUAGGCGAGAACGGACGUCGGACGAAGAAGUUAUGAUUUUAUAACGAAAUUUUCCUGUCCGAACCUUCUAAAAAUAAUUAAUAAAAAUAAAAAUCAAAAUUAGCCGACGGAGUCUAAACGAAAGUUGUAGAGCGUAGUCUCACCUUCGCGUGAAUAUAAAGAACGUCGAAAACUGAGUUCGUAUGAAGGAGAUAUAUAUUUUUGAAGUUUAAUAAAUAUUUAAUAUUUAUUUUUAAUUUAACUCCGAUAUUAUCCGAAGAGAAGUGAGGCGGUCUAUCCGAAGUACGCAGCACGUACUGCUGUACACCCCGCGUACAGCGAAGGGCACUCGAGUAGUCCGAAGUCGUAUGCAGUGACGUAAGGAGACCCAUGACGUAAGCGCUGGCGACCCCCCGAGGCGUACGCCCCGCAUACCCCGAAGUUACGCCCCGCGUUCGUGCGAGGGUCAGCCUAUAAAAGGGGAUCCGAAGGCAGCUCAUUCUUCAUUCACAAUUCCAUCAUUCUCUCUAGUCCUUUGCCUUGUUUUGCAUGCCGUUUGUACCCCGAAGCCUCGGUAUUAUUUCUGAGCCCCGAAGCGAGAUCCGAAGCCCCUAGAACCCCGAAGAGCAUUAUUCCCGAGCCGAAGCCCUGCCCGCGAGGAGCCGGUUUUUGUGAAGAUCUUCCAGAUCUACGGAGAGACGCUACUUCUGUAAGCCGUAGUGCUGUCGGAUCAUCUUCUGCUCAAGUGAGUGUGUAGUUAUUUUCUUUGCAACGCAAUAUUAUGAAGUAUUUAAUAUAAAAUACGUGUACGUGUAAAUAUUUUGUGGUUAUAUGUGUGAAUGUAUAUUCACUCUCUUCUGUCACAUAGAUCUGAUAUAUUCUCUAUGAAAUACGUGUUAUGUGUGUAUGCCUCAUCUGUUAUGUGGAAUAUGUGUUGAUUACAGCAUGCUAUACAGGUUUUUAAACAAUGUAUAAAAAUGUAUAUUUUUAUCUACUAAUAUGUUGGGUAGAACAUGGGUAGAUAAUUGGUGUGUAAUAAACAGAUUAGAGACCUCGGUGUUAUUGGUGUUAUUCUAGUCAUUCAGCAGAGUAUGGAUGACGACCACGGACUAUUCUAGACUGUCCUGUGGAACACUAGCAGGCUCAUUACCUGUAGGUGUUGUGAACGACGUGUUCACCGGUGUACUCUAUCCCCCACAUGGUUGCCUUUAGGACACUUAUUGUUGAGGAAGCCCCUCUGCAGUAAUGUCCGUCCCGAUGAAAAUCCUGAAAUAAGUUCCUUAUAAUAGACGUUAUUUUUAGGAACGUAAGGUGAGGAUAACGGGAAUGGGUAAUCGGGUUUAUUGUUGAUUGUUGAAAUUAAAUAUAAUUAUUGUGGGUUUGAAAACCCUAUAUGCUCACCAGGCUCCCAAGCCUGACCCACUCAGUUGAUUUGUAUUACAGGAAGUGGCGCAAGAGCUUAAGAUGGGCGAAUCAUCAAGUUGUUUUGUUUACAAGUCUGUAUAUGUAUAUAUUUGUUGAACGACUUGUAAUGUUAUCGUUUAUGCUUUAUGAUCUAUAUCGGAACAUGACAUCCCGACUUUUGAUUAUGAAAUGAAAUCAUAUUUCUAUAUGAAAUGUUUUGAUAAAUAUCUAUUUUAUCAUGUUUUGUUUUUGGGAACAAAUUCCGCAUCUCUUUUAAAAUCAAACGGAUUUACUCUGAAAAUGGUUUAAAAAGCAUAAAUGAAAUCGGUCUUUUCUGGCCGAGAUUUUGGGGAUGUCACAAUUGGUAUCAGAGCAUUAGUUUAAGCAAACUAGGAAUUUGUUGGAUUUCUAGACUCAAACUUAAGAUGGUAAGUGGAGAUUGUGAGAUUUGUGUCUGAUAAAUUUUAGACACGAGCACUAGUUUAUUUUAGGAAAGUUGCCUAAAAUGCUUUUAUGUGCUAAAUGUUAUAUGUUGCCAUAUAUGAUAUUAUUUGUUCGGAUCUACGGUUUGUUGCCAACCGGAUCUGAAGGUUUAUGUGUUUAGGAUUCUAAGCGUAUGUAUACGAUAUUAGAACUAGCAUGUAAUCGUUUGGAGUAAUAAGGUGAAAUUAUUCGGUGUGUAGAUCAAAAAUGGUGAGAACAAGAAGCGGAGUUGGAAAUGCUGAUGAAAACAGGAAUCAACCGCCUGUAAAUCAACAAGUACCUGUCGUAGUUGAUGCACCUGAGCCGAUAACAAUGGCUGGUGUACAAAUGAUGAUUCAAAUGAUGUUGGAUCGUCAGAUGGAAGAAAUAAGACGCCUGCUUAGGUAGGAUCGUGAGGAACCGUCAAUUCAAGCGGAAGAGCCCGAGGAGAAUGGAGGGCAGUCUGAAGGAGAAAACUUUAGUGGGAUCAUUGGUCAAGACGAACAACCAGUGGUUAGACGCAAUAACCAGUAUGGAGGAAAUGAUGGUCGUGGGUGCAAGUAUAAGGAUUUCAUGGCAUCCAAACCACCAUGUCUAUCCGGAAGCCCGACGCCGGUGCAAGUUAUGGACUGGGUCUCCGAAAUGGAGACUAUGUUUGAAAGUUGCGAAUGCAGCAACAGGCAGAAGACCGCUCUUGCGAUCCCUCUGCUAAAAUCUGGCGUGUUGAGUUGGUGGAAGCUGUUAGCUGACUCUAUGCCCAAGGGAGAAGCAAGCAAAAUGUCUUGGGAAGACUUUGUGGAACAACUAAAAAUGCAAUACUGCUCCGAGCAGGACCUUCUGGAAAUCAGUAAUGAGUUUCAGAAUUUGAAGAAAGGGAAAUUGAGCGUUACUGAAUACGCUGCAAGUUUCACAGAAAAGAUGAAGUUUAUCCCAUAUUUGGUGCCUACAGAACUCUCUAAGGUCAACAAGUUUGCCCUUGGACUACCAGCGGACUAUGGUCCAAUGGUUAAGCAAGCAACCACAUUGAAAGCCGCCAUCUGGGCUGCUAGAAAUGUUGAGACCCAGAUCAGGGAAAAAGGUCUGGAAAGGUCAGAGGUUGGCGAGAAAAGGAAAAUCGAUGGAUUUUCAGGGUCCAGCAAGAAAAGUAAAUUCUCGAAGUCUAGUUCGAGGGGAAGUGGAGGAAAGGUAGAAGCGAAAUGGUGUGACAAGUGCAAGAAGAAGCAUUAUGGGAAGUGUGGCGGGGAAACCACAUGCUUCAAAUGUGGAAAGCUAGGGCAUUAUGCCAAUGACUGCACCUUCACCAAAAAUGUUUGUUAUGGUUGUGGUGAGGAGGGGCACAUCUCAAGGGAUUGUCCGAAAAAGAAGGAAGCAGCAAGACCCAACAUUCCGCCAAAGCCAAAGGCGAGAGCAUUCCAGAUGACACUGGAAGCUGCUAAAGAUGAAGUUGAUGUCGCUUCAGGUACCUUUCUCGUUAACAAAUUGUCUGCCCAAAUUUUAUUUGAUUCUGGAGCCAACUACUCCUUUAUAUCGCAUGAAUUUGGUAGAAAACUAGCUUUGCCUGUUGUUAGACUAGAGAAUGCUUUAUUAGUCGAAGUUGCUAGUCGCAUGUUUGUACCUGUUAGCCAUCAUAUGAAAAACAUCUUAAUUGACUUGAAUGGGAAUAAGUUCCACGAGGAAUUAUUUCCUAUCGAACUUAAUGGUUUCAACAUCGUUUUGGGAAUGGAUUGGCUUAGCGCCAAUGAUGCUGAAAUUUUAUGCUAGAAGAAAAUAGUGAAAGUGAAUCUACCUGGGAAGGAAUCGUUUAUGGUGUACGGAGAUAAACGUAGAUUAAAUUCUAGAAUCAUUUCUCUAAUGAAAGCCAUAAAAUGUUUGACCAAGGGGUUACAUCAUACUUAGCAUUCGUGAUCGACGCUAACAAGGAAAAGAAGGUGAUGCAAAAUAUUCCUGUUGUGUGUGAUUAUCCGGAAGUAUUUCCUGAAGAUCUUCCUGGAUUACCGCCCGAUCGACAAGUAGAAUUUCGUAUCGACUUGUUGCCCAGAACAACGCCAAUUGCAAAAGCACCUUAUCGAUUAGCACCGACGGAGAUGAAGGAGCUAAUGAUGCAACUUCAGGAGUUAUUGGACAAAGGUUUCAUUAGACCUAGUUCAUCACCCUGGGGAGCUCCGGUGUUAUUCGUAAAGAAGAAAGAUGGAAGCAUGAGGAUGUGCAUUGAUUACCGAGAGCUGAAUAAGGCAACAAUAAAGAAUAGAUAUCCGUUGCCAAGGAUUGAUGACCUAUUCGAUCAACUACAAGGUUCAAGUUAUUUUUCAAAGAUCGACCUAAGGUCAGGAUAUCAUCAGUUAAAAGUAAGAGAGCAGGAUAUAGAGAAGACUGCAUUCAGAACGCGAUAUGGACACUAUGAGUUCUUGGUUAUGUCGUUUGGACUAACCAAUGCUCCAGCAGCAUUCAUGGAUUUAAUGAACAGAGUUUGUAAUCCGUUCCUUGAUAAAUCUGUGAUAGUGUUCAUUGAUGACAUUCUGAUUUAUUCGAAAAGCCAAGAGGAGCAUGGCAGACACUUGCGAGAAGUGUUGGAAGUCUUGAAGAAGGAGAAGUUGUAUGCGAAGUUCUCCAAAUGUGAUUUCUGGAUUCGUGAAGUCCAAUUCUUGGGUCACGUGGUCAACCAAGAAGGGAUAAUGGUUGAUCCAGCGAAGAUCGAAGCUGUGAUGAAGUGGGAACAACCGAAAAGUCCCACGGAGAUCCGAAGCUUUUUAGGAUUAGCCGGAUAUUACCGAAGGUUUAUCCAAGGCUUUUCUUCGAUCGCUAGUCCAUUAACAGCUUUGACCCACAAAGGAGCUACUUAUGCUUGGAGUGAUAAGCAUAAAGAAGCAUUCGAGAAGCUAAAGAAGAAACUAUGCGAGGCACCGAUACUUUCUCUACCCGAUGGGGUUGAAGACUUCGCUGUUUAUAGCGAUGCGUCUGGGGUUGGAUUGGGUUGCGUUUUGACCCAAAGGGAUAAGGUGAUCGCAUAUGCGUCUCGACAGCUGAAAGAGCACGAAAAGAACUACCCGACUCAUGAUUUGGAGUUGGCAGCGGUAGUUUUCGCACUGAAAAUAUGGAGGCAUUACCUCUAUGGCACGAAGUGCAAACUUUUCACUGAUCAUAAGAGUCUCCAAUAUCUCUUUAGUCAGAAAGAAUUGAAUAUGAGGCAACGACGCUGGCUGGAAUUACUUAAGGACUACGACUGUGAGAUACUUUACCACCCCGGUAAGGCCAAUAUUGUUGCUGAUGCUCUCAGUCGGAAGGUCAAUCUUGAAAAGAAAAGGCCAAGAGCGUUGAGAAUUGAAGUUGUCUCGACUAUUUUGGAAAGUAUAAAGAAAGCUCAAAGCGAAGCUUCUGAGAAAAAUGACCGAAAGGAGGAACGUUUGGGCAAAACGUUGGUGUUCGGUGUAAACAGUCACGGACUGAAGGUGUUCCAAGAUCGGAUUUGGAUACCUAAGACAGGAGGAGUCAGAGAUCUUCUGAUGGAAGAAGCUCACAAAACCAUGUACUCGAUUCAUCCCGGUAGCACAAAAAUGUAUAGGGACCUGAAACCCUAUUAUUGGUGGCCGACGAUGAAGCUCGACAUUGCGAAGUAUGUGGCCGAGUGUGUGACUUGUGCAAGAGUCAAGGCACAACAUCAGAAACCAUACGGGAGUUUAGAACCAUUACCUGUGCCUAUGGGUAAGUGGGAAGACAUUGCUAUGGAUUUUGUCACUAAACUACCCAGAACAAAAAGUGGUCACGACAUGAUUUGGGUGGUCGUUGAUCGAUUCACUAAGAGUGCGCAUUUCAUAGCAGCCAACGAGAAAUGGUCUAUGGAAAAGCUUGCGAAUUCUUACGUGAAGGAAAUUGUGAGGCUUCACGGUGUUCCGUUAACGAUUGUGUCGGAUCGUGAUAGUCGUUUCACCUCACGAUUUUGGAAAAGUCUACAAGAGGAAUUGGGUACCAAGUUGUGUUUAAGUACAGCUUACCAUCCGCAGACUGAUGGUCAGAGUGAAAGAACGAUACAAACACUUGAAGAUAUGCUGAGAGCGUGUACCUUGGAAUUCCUAGGUAAUUGGGAUGAACAUUUACCUUUGGUAGAAUUUUCCUAUAAUAAUAGUUUUCACUCGAGCAUAAAGAUGGCACCUUAUCAAGCAUUGUAUGGACAGAAGUGUCGUACGCCGUCUUGUUGGCUUGAGGCUGGGGAAAAGCAGUUUAUGGGACCGGAGAUAGUCCAUCAAACGGCUGAAAAGUUGAAAAUAAUUAGGGAAAGAAUGUUAGCAGCUCAGGAUCGUCAAAAGAGCUAUGCUGACAAAAAGCGAAGACCGAUGACUUUUGAAGUUGGAGAUUCGGUUUUGCUUAAAGUCUCGCCGUGGAAGGGACUUAUAAGAUUUGGUAAAAGGGGAAAGUUAAGUCCAAGGUUUAUUGGACCGUUUAAAGUUCUUCAGAGGAUUGGGAACCAAGCUUACAAGCUCGAACUACCAGAAGAACUGAAUGGAAUUCAUAACACUUUUCAUGUGUGUUAUUUGAGGAAGUUCACGGGAGAAGUUCCCGACAUAAUUCCACUUUCGGAGUUGAGGAUCGAUGAGAACAAAAGGUUGAUUGAGGAACCGGAGGCAAUCGUUGACCGAAAGACUAAGAAGUUGCGACGUAAGAUGGUUGAGUUAGUGCUUGUCCGAUGGAAACACACGAAUGGGCCGAAUCUCACCUGGGAGACGGAGAGUGACAUGAUGAGUCGCUAUCCGCAUUUGUUUGCUGGUGUGUGAUUCCGGGGACGGAAUCAUUCUAAGGUGGAGAGAAUUGUAACGCCCGUGUUUCUGGGCUUGCCAUUUUUAGCAAUGUAAUAGUCUAGGUUAACCUUUGUAACCCCAAUUUGAAAUAAUAAAAUGUAUUAUUUGUGAAUUAUUUGAAUUAUGUGAUUUAUGUGUGUAUUUUCUUAAUUUUUAUAAUUUAAUGAAUUAAGAAUAAAAUAAGCGUCAAAAAUUAAAGUGUGAGAUAAGCCCGACAUCUUUUCAUAAAGUUGUAGUGGUUGAAAGAAGGAUUCCGGAGAUAUAAGGAAUGCCAAAAUCCGAGUUAUAACGAAGAAGUUAUGACCUGUCGAAGUUUCGCGACAGAACCGGCACGACGUCGAGUGACGUAAAAUAUGAAUUUAAGAUAGAGCGAUAUUUAGCCUUAGCGAUCUAAACGAAAGUCGUAGAUUUCGUUAAACCGAGAGCGUGCAUAAAAGGAACGCCCAAAUCUGACUUCGUAUGAGGAAGUUAUGAUUUUCUGAAGUUUCGACGUGGCAGUAUGCAGCCCGAAUACUCGAUUUGAGAUCGAGCGGUUUUUAGCCGAAACAAUCUAAAUGAGAAUCGAAGAUCUCGUUGUUAGUAGCGAAACGAUGAAAAGAUAGGCGAGAACGGACGUCGGACGAAGAAGUUAUGAUUUAAUAACGAAAUUUUCCUGUCCGAGCCUUCUAAAAAUAAUUAAUAAAAAUAAAAUUCAAAAUUAGCCGACGGAGUCUAAACGAAAGUUGUAGGCGUAGUCUCNAACGUUGAAAACUGAGUUCGUAUGAAGGAGAUAUGAAUUUUUGAAGUUUAAUAAAUAUUUAAUAUUUAUUUUUAAUUUAACUCCGAUAUUAUCCGAAGAGAAGUGAGGCGGUCUAUGCGAAGUACGCAGUGUGUACUGUUGUACGCCCCGCAUACAGCGAAGGGCACUCGAGUAGUCCGAAGUAGUAUGCAGUGACGUAAGGAGAACGAUGACGUAAGCGCUGACGACCCCCCGAGGCGUACGCCACGCGUACCCCGAAGUUACGCCCCGCGUUCAUGCGAGGGUCAGCCUAUAAAAGGGGAUCCGAAGGCAGCUCAUUCUUCAUUCACAAUUCCCUCAUUCUCUCUAGUCCUUUGCCUCGUUUUGCGUGCCGUUGUACCCCGAAGCCCCGGUAUUAUUCCCGAGCCCCGAAGCGAGAUCAGAAGCCCCAAGAACCCCGAAUAGCGUUAUUCCCGAGCCGAAGCCCUGCCCGCGAGGAUCCGGUUUUUGUGAAGAUCUUCCAGAUCUAUGGAGAGACGCUACUUCUGUAAGUCGUAGUGCUGUCGGAUCAUCUUCUGCUCAAGUGAGUGUGUAGUUAUUUUCUUUCCAACGCAAUAUUAUGAAGUAUUUAAUAUAAAAUACGUGCUACGUGUAAAUAUUUUUUGGUUAUAUGUGUGAAUGUGUAUUCACUCUCGUCUAUCUCAUAGAUCUGAUAUAUUCUCUAUGAAAUACAUGUUAUGUGUGUAUGCCUCAUCUGUUAUGUGGAAUAUGUGUUGAUUAAAACAUGCUAUACAGGUUUUUAAACAAUGUAUAAAAAUGUAUAUUUUUAUCUACUAAUAUGUUGGGUAGAACAUGGGUAGAUAAUUGGUGUGUAAUAAACAGAUGAGAGGCCUCGGUGUUAUUGGUGUUAUUCUAGUCAUUCAGUAGAGUAUGGAUGACGACCACAGACUAUUCUAGACUGUCCUGUGGAACACUAGCAGGCUCAUUACCUGUAGGUGUUGUGAACGACGUGUUCACCGGUGUACUCUAUCCCCCACAUGGUUGCCUUUAGGACACUUAUUGUUGAGGAAGCCCCUCUGCAGUAAUGUCCGUCCCGAUGAAAAUCCUGAAAUAAGUUCCUUAUAAUAGACGUUAUUUUUAGGAACGUAAGGUGAGGAUAACGGGAAUGGGUAAUCGGGUUUAUUGUUGAUUGUUGUAAUUAAAUAUAAUUAUUGUGGGUUUGAAAACCCUAUAUGCUCAACAGGCUCCCAAGCCUGACCCACUCAGUUGAAUUAUUUUACAGGAAGUGGCGCAAGAGCUUAAGAUGGGCGAAUUAUCAAGUUUUUUUGUUUACAAGUCUGUAUAUGUAUAUAUUUGUUGAAUGACUUGUAAUGUUAUCGUUUAUGCUUUAUGAUCUGUAUCGGAACAUGACACCUCGACUUUUGAUUAUGAAAUGAAAUCAUGAAAUGUUUUGAUAAAUAUCUAUUUUAUCAUGUUUUGUUUUUGGGAACAAAUUUCGCAUCUCUUUUAAAAUCAAACGGAUUUACUCUGAAAAUGGUUUAAAAAGCAUAAAUGAAAUCGGUCUUUUCUGGCCGAGAUUUUGGGGAUGUCACAUUUAUUUUCUUGUCUAAUUGAUUUUCGACCUCAUGUUUAAACUCUUUGAACUUUUCAAAGGUUUCUGACUUAUGUUUGAUCAAAUAGAUAUAACCAUAUCUACUAUAGUCGUCAGUGAAAGUGACGUAGAAUCGAUUAGCAUCCCUUGUGGUUGAUCUGAUGGGCCCACAUACAUCUGUGUGUAUGAGAUCCAACAGACCUUCACCUCUUUCACAUGACCCUGUGAAUGGUUAUUUUGUCAUCUUUCCCAAAAGACAAGAUUCACACAUAUCAUCUGAUUUUAGGUCAAAUGAUUCCAACACUCCAUCCUUUUGGAGUUGGGCUAUGUGUUUCUUGUUAAUGUGUCCAAGAUGACAAUGCCACAAGCAUGCCUUGUCUACACUAUUAGACAAGUCAAUGUUAAGUACACUAUUUCCUAAGCUAUCAACACGAGUCACUGUUUCAUACACACCAUCACAAGGUAAAGCUUCAAACACAAAAACACCAUUCUUAUAAACAGAAAUUGAACCAUUCAAAUCAUUAAAAGAGUAUUUAAAACCUUGUCUAAACAAUGCAUGAAAUGAAAUGAUGUUUCUCGUCAUCUCAGAUGAAUAGCAACAAUUUAUUAAAUCUAAUCUAACAUCAUUACUAAGCAAAAGUUGAUAAACUCCGAUCUUGGUUACUGGUGAAGACUUUUUGUUUCCCAUCAUCAAGUUUAUCCUACCUCGCUCUAUAUCCUCACUUUUCUUUAGCCCCUGCAAAUCAGUACAGAUAUGAAAACCACAUCCUGUAUCAAGGACCCAUGAACGAGAAGAUAAUGAGUUAUUAGAAGAAAUAGUGUAAAUACCUGCUGAAGACGGCUUUACUUUGCCAUCUUAGAUGUCCUGCAGAUAUUGUGGGUAGGUUCUCUUCCAAUGCCCCUUUUGAUUGCGAUAAAAGCAAAUAACUUCCUUUGGAUCAGAGACAUGGGGAAUGGAAGCAUUGGGCUUAGCUUUUGGGCCUCCGCUAGAUGACCCGACUUGGACUUUUGCCUUCUGGUUUUGCUUUGGAGGACCUUUCCUCUUUUUCCCUUUUCCCUGUCCAAUAGCUAGAACAGGAGGACUUGUAGGAGUGGAGGCUAUACUUUUACCCUUCAUCCCUGCUUCAGCAGUCUGCAACAAGCUGUACAAUUGGGCCAAUGUCUGCUCGGUGAUAUUCAAAUGGUAAGUUAAGAUAAACUGACCAUAACAAUCAGGCAACGAGUUCAAGACCGUGUCAAUGGCCAAUUCCUCAUCAAAAUGAAUGUUGAGCUUGACCAAACGCUCUAUGUAGCGUUGCAUUCUUUGCACAUGAGAUACAACCGACUCCCCUCUUUUAUCUUACAAGCCAUGAGUGACUUGACUACUUCAUACUUUUCUUGAUGGGCUCACUUAUGGUACUUUUCCAUCAGGUCCUUGUUCAUCUCAAAAGGUCAGUAGUCCUCAUAGUACCUCUACAGUUCUGGGGACAUGGUUGCGACCAUGAUGCAUGCGACUUUGGUAGCAUCAUCAUAGUGUUUCUUGUAGGCAACAUACUCUUCGGGAGUGGCUUUGGACUCAUCAAGUUUUUUGAGCUCCUUUUCAAGGACAUACUCUUUUUCCUCGAAUCUAAGCGCCAUCUUGAUGUUACGCAUCCAAUCGUUAUAGUUAGAGCCAUCCAUAACGACUUUGGAGCAAAUGUUGAGUAAAGAGAAGUUGUGGCUGGAGGAGGAUGAAGCAGAAGUGUUUCCAGGAGUAGACAUCUGAAAAAGAAGGAUAGUGUUCGUUAGAUUUCAAGACACCUCAAUAUAAUAACCCAAAGAUAUCAUAUCAAGGUUAGGACCCAACUAUGACGAUUUACAACAUUAGACAAAAUAAACGAAGUGAAAUUCCUAAUUCUUUUGAGAUACAUUAAAACAAUUUAAUGGCAUGUUUUAAUCUCGGAUUAUGCUCUACUAUUUGUGACUGGGAUACUGAGGAUCACAAACUAGAUGUGAAUAACCAUGCAAAUGUGCUUGGUAACCUUAUUGUCUUUAUCAUUAACUAUUGAUGUGUCGGUAAACCACACAUGCUCCAUCAACAUGAUAAUUAUAAUAGACCCAUUACUACUCUUUAUUAGUGCCUAUUAGUGUGCCGGUUAUCCACACACGCUCCACCAACUAGAGUUGGGAUUUUGAAAAAUAAUGUUCUAGUACAUUCUUUAAUAGCAUUAUACUUUUAAUGAGAAGUAGUUUUCCUAUCAAAUCCAUUCUGCUAACGACCCUCCACUAAUCAAGGAAGCGGUGGGUGAGAGUGGAUGCCCAUUCAACUACCAUUUUAUAGGUAGUUUCCUUAUACCCCCCUUAUAGACUAGCUUCGUGAAUGAGGCAUACUAGCGAUUUGACUAACCAUAUUCUUAUACANNNNNNNNNNNNNNNNNNNNNNNNNNNNNNNNNNNNNNNNNNNNNNNNNNNNNNNNNNNNNNNNNNNNNNNNNNNNNNNNNNNNNNNNNNNNNNNNNNNNNNNNNNNNNNNNNNNNNNNNNNNNNNNNNNNNNNNNNNNNNNNNNNNNNNNNNNNNNNNNNNNNNNNNNNNNNNNNNNNNNNNNNNNNNNNNNNNNNNNNNNNNNNNNNNNNNNNNNNNNNNNNNNNNNNNNNNNNNNNNNNNNNNNNNNNNNNNNNNNNNNNNNNNNNNNNNNNNNNNNNNNNNNNNNNNNNNNNNNNNNNNNNNNNNNNNNNNNNNNNNNNNNNNNNNNNNNNNNNNNNNNNNNNNNNNNNNNNNNNNNNNNNNNNNNNNNNNNNNNNNNNNNNNNNNNNNNNNNNNNNNNNNNNNNNNNNNNNNNNNNNNNNNNNNNNNNNNNNNNNNNNNNNNNNNNNNNNNNNNNNNNNNNNNNNNNNNNNNNNNNNNNNNNNNNNNNNNNNNNNNNNNNNNNNNNNNNNNNNNNNNNNNNNNNNNNNNNNNNNNNNNNNNNNNNNNNNNNNNNNNNNNNNNNNNNNNNNNNNNNNNNNNNNNNNNNNNNNNNNNNNNNNNNNNNNNNNNNNNNNNNNNNNNNNNNNNNNNNNNNNNNNNNNNNNNNNNNNNNNNNNNNNNNNNNNNNNNNNNNNNNNNNNNNNNNNNNNNNNNNNNNNNNNNNNNNNNNNNNNNNNNNNNNNNNNNNNNNNNNNNNNNNNNNNNNNNNNNNNNNNNNNNNNNNNNNNNNNNNNNNNNNNNNNNNNNNNNNNNNNNNNNNNNNNNNNNNNNNNNNNNNNNNNNNNNNNNNNNNNNNNNNNNNNNNNNNNNNNNNNNNNNNNNNNNNNNNNNNNNNNNNNNNNNNNNNNNNNNNNNNNNNNNNNNNNNNNNNNNNNNNNNNNNNNNNNNNNNNNNNNNNNNNNNNNNNNNNNNNNNNNNNNNNNNNNNNNNNNNNNNNNNNNNNNNNNNNNNNNNNNNNNNNNNNNNNNNNNNNNNNNNNNNNNNNNNNNNNNNNNNNNNNNNNNNNNNNNNNNNNNNNNNNNNNNNNNNNNNNNNNNNNNNNNNNNNNNNNNNNNNNNNNNNNNNNNNNNNNNNNNNNNNNNNNNNNNNNNNNNNNNNNNNNNNNNNNNNNNNNNNNNNNNNNNNNNNNNNNNNNNNNNNNNNNNNNNNNNNNNNNNNNNNNNNNNNNNNNNNNNNNNNNNNNNNNNNNNNNNNNNNNNNNNNNNNNNNNNNNNNNNNNNNNNNNNNNNNNNNNNNNNNNNNNNNNNNNNNNNNNNNNNNNNNNNNNNNNNNNNNNNNNNNNNNNNNNNNNNNNNNNNNNNNNNNNNNNNNNNNNNNNNNNNNNNNNNNNNNNNNNNNNNNNNNNNNNNNNNNNNNNNNNNNNNNNNNNNNNNNNNCGUAGGGAGGGCGUAGGUUUUGCUGUUGGCUCCAAUGGUGGAGGUGACUUCCCCAGACGGGAGUCGGUCCUUGAAAGUUCCUUACGAAGACGGGAGGUUGAAUGGGUGGUGGAUCGAUAACUUCCGGCUCUGAGUCGGUACCGGAGUCAUCACCCACUUCUAUGGGUUCCUCGUCCUCUUCGGGAUCAUCUUCGAUCCAUCCUCCGUUGCCUUGGUUGGGAAAGUAGGGGUCGCCAGGGUGGUGAAAUCCAGCCAUUUGACUGUACGAGAAAUAGGGUUAUAAGAAUGGAAUAAAGUUGAAACGUGCAAAACAUGUAAGUUAAACUAGUUUAGAUAGCAAAUACUCCUAUAGUAUUUAAAUUCUUGUGUUUGAUUCUAGAAAUGGUUUGGUAAUUUUUGACUUGUUGCUUACUACGACCAUUCCUCGAUAUGCAUUGGUCCAAUCUCGAGCAAAUAUAGUUGAUCACGCUAUAUUUGUCCAAAAUCUGAUUACAUAUAUCGAGUCUCAAUCGUAGUGUCAACUUGUCUAAAUACUUGUAUAGUUGGAUAACAUGAAAAUAAUUUGUGGUAUGCAUGUAAUUGUACUUAAAUGAACGAUCAAUUUAAGUUGGACGCAAUGCUGCUUAAGCGUAAAAAGAAAAUUUGUUUUGUCAGAGAGUAUUAGUCCCUUAAGCAUUUAUAGUUUGUAUAUCUUAUGUGGUUCGAUAUACUUAGUUCACUAUAAACAUUGCUCUGAUACCAAUCUGUCACACCCCCAAACCUGAACGGCGGAAACGUUCGGGGGCGGAUGACUUCAUGUGGUAACGUAACAAAUGAAUACAUAGUAAAGAAAGCAAUACAACCAUCAUAUAUAUAAUUGAAAGUUUACAUUUGUCAAAAGUUACAUGUUCAAAACCAAUUACAAUAUGAUGUCCAAAAUACGAGAUUAAACUGGCGCCGCAGCAUCCCUUCAUCAAAAGCGUAAUGAAUACCUGAAAUUACUGAUUUCCUGGGACAUACAAGUAAUUUUGAAAGAGUAGAUCAGCAUUUAAGCUGGUGAGUUUCAUAAGUAUUUAAGUGACAAUGUUUGUAUGAAAUGAAAUGUUUUGUCUUUGUUUGUUUGUGUUUAGAAAAUCCUAUAUUUUCUACUAGUAUAAAAGUAGCCUUCACUCAAGACCAAUGUUUGUUUCAAAAAUGUAUGUAAGUGUAAAAUAACCAAUGUGUUUGAAAACCUUGUAAAUCAAUGCAUUUUUAAUACCCCAUGUGAGUUUUAUAACCAUACUAUUGACUCGGAAUGCCUAUACACAACGUUCUUCAGGCGUUGGAAUGUUAUGACGUUUGUCACCCCAAACGGUGGACUGCAGCUAACAGUCAGGGCGCGGGUUGUCAAGCCCGUAUAGAUCUAUACACAAACACCAUGCUCCCCCUCCAAGGGAUUCUGGUAUAUAAUACAGGACUUGAAAUGUGUACUCGAACGUACAUGAAGUUAGUGUCUCACAAAACCGUGGUAUAAAAACAGAUCUACUUGUUAAAAUGUUACGUUUGUUCUUGUAUACGAAAGUGACUUCUUGAAAUUCAUGUUUCUAGUACAUAAGAGUUAGAAAUUUGUUCGUAAAACUAUACCUAUUAUAGUUUUCUAAAAGUGUGUCUCGUUUGUUUAGAAAUACCUAGAAAAGGAAUCAUUUGUUAUGAAAGCAUAGAUUUUUGGUGUAGAGUCUAAGAUAGACAAGUAUACAUAUAAUCUAAGAAAAUGUUUAGUUUAUACAUGCAUUACAAAAAUUUAUAUUUCAAAAGAUAGAAUGCUAUUUUAACAUAUGUUAUAUAUAUGAAAGUUCCUUAUAAAGUUUGUAAAUCGCAUGUGAUUUGGAUAUAUAAAAGCAUAUAAAAGAGUUCUUUAUGUAACACACGAUAAUACUCGUGUGUUUUACUUGUAAUCCCCCCCUUGAAAGCAUAUAAAAGAAUUUAUAGAACAUUUAAAAGGUAAAUUAAGGGGUAUGAACUCACUUGAAAGUUUGAAGAUAGCGAGAUGGAAAACCGGGCAGAGUUUCGUCUCGGGAAACGGAUUUUUCUCGGGAUUCUCGGGAAUCUCGGGAGUAAAAUCGACCCUCGGGACUUGAGCAAAAAGACCAGAGCUUCGGGUUUGAACGGGCACGGAAAACGAGGCAAGAUCGUGAGAGAAAGGAGAGAAAUGAGCAUUUUUCUCGGAAGCCCUCGCAUGCUAUUUAUAGGAGGGUCUGAGAAGCCUCGUACGCGGGGCGUACGCUCGUACGCAGCGCGUACGCGUACGUCAUGCAUGACCGAAGCCUCGAUUGCCUCGGCUUCGGAUCGGACGGAUCAGUCUGUCGGGUCGGAUGGGACGGUCGGACGGGACGGUCGGACGGGCGGGUCGGACGGGUCGGUAGCCUCGCAUAGGGCGACGUGGACGAUCCGAGGCCAAGUCCCUCGGGUACGCAUGGCGUACAGGGGUACGCAGCACGUACCUCGGAUGAGGAUGCUGACUCCUCUUCGGAUAAUGCUUGAAUUUUGAAUUAAAUAAAUAUAUAAUUUAUUUAAUAAACUUCAAAAAUUCAUAUCUUCUUCAUAAGAACUCCGUUUUUGAUAGUCUUUAUAUCCACGCGUAGGUGAGACUACGCUCUACAACUUUCGUUUAGACUCCGUUGGCAAAUUCCGAAAUUAUUUUUAUUAUUUAUUUUAUAACUCAUCGUGUUUAAGGAAUUUUUUCAAAAAUUCAUAACUUCUUUCUCUGAUGUCGGUUUUUGCCAGACUUUUUACCGUUGAAAUACCAUUGUCGAGACCUUCGAUUCUCGUUUAGGUCAUUCCGGCCAAAACUCACUCGAUCUCCGAUUCGAGUUUUUAGCUGUCUGUUGCUAAGCUGAACUUGGAAAAAUCAUAACUUCAAUAUACGAAGUCGGAUUUGGGCGUUCUUUUUACGUACGAUCAUGUUUUAACGACAUUUAAAUAUAGAAGGAAUUUAAAUAGAACUAUUUGGACAUUUUAUUAUGAAAGUUAAUUUUAUUAACUCAAAAGUGGUUACAAUACUUGACCUUUUAGGUCAUUACAAAGAGUUGAAAUAUUAGGUUGUCACAAUAUACCUCAUCCACAUGAUUUCACGGCCGUGAACUCAUGGAUGGUGAUUUUGGGUGCAAAAUGGCUUCAUAACAAUCGGGAAUAAAUGCUGGACUUGGAUAUUUGACUUUGGAAUGUUCCAAAACUCAUUUAGGUACCAUUUAUUGCAGUUUACGGUAGUAAACAUGGAGUUUACGGCCAUAAACUUCCCCACACACAAGAUCCCUAAUGUUUUGGACCUUAAACAAUCAUAUGUGAUUCCAAUGAUUUUUCCCAAGCCUUGUAUGGAUUUUAGGGGACUUUUGGCAUGAUUUUUGGAGUUUACGGCCCAUGAACCCCCUCAUGGCCGUGAACUCAUUAGAAAGUGUGUUUUUAUAUGUUUUAGGCUUCUAAAUUGAUGGUAGACACUUCUAGAAUUUAUCCCAAGGCUUAAGGUGUGUUUAAGUGGCAUCUUAACACAUAUAGAGGAUUUUACUCCCCAAGAAUAUGAGUUUACGGCCCAAGCAUGUUCUUGGGCAGUAAACUCAAGUUUACUCCUCUAAAUUGAUGUUCAAGGUGUUGCAAGGCCAAUUCCAUAAUUCUACAAGUCGUAUCUAAGCCUUAUUGGUGUUUUGGAAGGGUUUAAGGGCUUAAAAACCCCCUUUAUAUGUGUUUACGGCCCAAGCAUGCUCCAGGGCCAUAAACACAUGAACAAGGCUUUAAAUCAUGGUUUAGGGCAUUGUAAGUCCAUUCGAUUAAGUCAUCUGGCCAUAUCUAAGGUCUAAUUGUGGUUUGGAAGGGUUUUGUUGCUCAAAAACCCCAUUUAAAUGAGUUUACGGCCUAGGACAGUUCUAGGGCCGUAAACUCAUGAUAAUGGUCCUAAUCCAUGGUUUAAAGUCGAAUUUGAAGGCUAGAGGGGUUGUAUAACAAGUUAGGGAAGAUACCUUGGUGAUUAGAAGCCUUAAAUUUUAGGUUUUGGACCCUUAAACUUGGUUGAGGAGAGAGGUUAGAGAGCGAGAGUAGAGAGAUGAAGCAAAAGCUUCAAAUGAAAUCUUGAACACGUUUAUAUAGGUCCCAAAACUUGGACACGGAGGAAUUCUACCCGACACCGGCAUUUAACGCGGCUUUUGGUCGCACCCGACCAAGAUGUUGUAACCCGAUAUGGCUGAUUCUAUAAAUGUUCCGAUUACUAAUAUGGGGUGUUAGAAUGAGUUCUAAAUGCACUAGGACACCCAUUAAGUCAUUUUAGAUAAUUACAGUUUAAUGAAUUAAUUAAAUGGCUAAAUCGGAAACGAAUUUGAAAACGACGACUGGUUGAUAGAAAUGGAUUACGAAAAGGGUUAUAUGCAAUGAUACGAAAUUUCAGGUUGUUACAUUAUCCCCCCGUUAGAGGGAAUUUUGUCCCGAAAUUCAAAAUUAAGAUACAAGUCAAGAUGCAAAUCAUGGAUUGGAAUGAG